AGAUCCUUGAUCCUUCAACAAACAAGGUGCUAGUUAGCAGGGAUAUAGUGUUUGAUGAGAAGCCAAGCUGGAAUUGGGACAAGAAUGAGCCAAAAGUAGUUUAUGAAGACCUUGUGGCUGAUCAGACUGGAGCUGAUCAAAAUGGUCCAGAAAUGGACAUUGAUGAUGAACCAGUUAGGGGUACUAGAUCAUUAGCUGAAUUUUAUGAAAGAACUCAAGUAGCAAUACUUGAACCAAGCAGUUUUGAAGAGGCUGAAGCACAUCAAGGCUAGAAACAGGCUAUGGCUGAUGAUAUUGCCAUGAUCGAGAAGAGCCAAACAUGGGAAUUAGUUGCUAGACCAGCCAACAGAAAGAUCAUUGGGGUGAAAUGGGUCUAUCGAGCCAAGCAUAAUGCUGAUGGAAGCUUAAACAAACUCAAAGAAAGGCUGGUUGUGAAGGGGUUUUGCCAAAAGUAUGGUUUGGACUAUCUGGAGACAUUUGCACCAGUGGCUAGGCUUGACACCAUCAUGCUGUUGGUUGCCUUAACAGCACAGAUGCAUUGGAAGAUCCAUCAGCUCGAUGUGAAGUCUACUUUUCUCAAUGGUUUUCUAAAAGAAGAGAUAUAUAUUGAGCAACCUCAAGGCUUUGAAGUAGCUGAGAAAGAACACAUAGUACAGCAGAAUUGAUGGCUACCUAGCUAGCAUUGGAUUUGAGAUAAGUAUCAGUGAGCCUGCUUUGUAUGUCAAGAAAGAAGGAGCUGAAACUCAGCUUAUAGUGCCCUUAUAUGUUGAUGAUCUGCUAUUGACAGGAAGAGAUCAAGCAAUGCUGGCAGAUUUCAAGGCUAAAAUGGAAUUAAAGUUUGAAAUGUCUGAUCUGGGACAAAUGUCAUAUUUUCUUGGCAUGGAGGUGUCACAAACUUAAGAGGGAUUCUUUCUAAGCCAGAAAGCAUUUGCUAUGAAGAUCUUGAACAAGUUAUCAAUGCAGAAUUGCAAAGCAACAAGUAUACCAGUUGCUGUUGGAAAGAAAUUAACAAGCCAAAGCAAUUUUGACAAGGUUUGGAGACAACCUAUAGAAGUCUAGUUGGAUGUUUGCUGCAUUUAACUACCACCAGACUAGAUAUUAUGUUUUGCUAUGAGUUUUCUCUCAAGGUUCAUACAGUGUUGUAAUGAGGACCAUUUUCGAGCAGCAAAAAGAGUGCUUAGGUACAUCAAAGGUACCCCGAGUUAUGGAAUGCUAUAUAGCAAGACUGAAAAGCUAAGAUUAGUUGGAUAUACUGAUAGUGACUAGGCUGGUUCAAAAGAUGACAUGAAGAGUACUUCAGGGUAUGCCUUUACCCUUGGUUCGGCCAUUUUCUGUUGGAGUUCUAAGAAGCAAAGUGUGGUUGCUCAGUCAACUACUAAAGCUGAAUAUGUAGCAGUUGCUGGCGCUGUGAACCAAACCAUAUGGCUAAGAAAGAUCUUAGCUGACUUGAAUCUACAUCAAGAGGAAGCUACAGAGAUCUAUUGUGACAACCAAUCUGCUGUUGCAAUUGCAAAGAAUCCAGUUUUUCAUGGUAGGACAAAACAUUUCAGCAUUAAGCUUCAUGUUAUGAGAGAAAUGGAGCAAGCACAUGAGGUGAAACUGAUUCAUUGCAGUUGUAACACCCCUAACCUGUAUCCGUCGUUGAAUUAGGGUUUUGACAACCAAUCUGCUGUUGCAAUUGCAAAGAAUCCAGUUUUUCAUGGUAGGACAAAACAUUUCAGCAUUAAGCUUCAUGUUAUGAGAGAAAUGGAGCAAGCACAUGAGGUGAAACUGAUUCAUUGCAGUUGUAACACCCCUAACCUGUAUCCGUCGCUGAAUUAGGGGUUUGAAGUAUUACCGGUCAUAUCACAGUUCAUACAAACAUUCAUUACAUUUCACAAUUCAAAAUUUCAUCUAACAUAUAUCAAAACAAAUUAUAUAAAUAUACAAAACAUAUAACAAAUCAUCUAUUUCAUUAAUUGAAAUAGUAACCGAUCAUUAUAUGGUUUUAGCAUAGGUAUAAAUUAUACAUCAAACUAGGGGUGAGCGUUCGAUCGAAUCCAAUGAAAAAAUUUCGAGUUAAUCUAAUUUGAUUUGAAAUUUUCUCGAAUCGAGUCGAGUGAGAUGGAAUUUGAGUUGAAUCGAAUCGAAUAUAUUUGUUCGAGUUAAAUUUUAAAAAAUAAUUUUAGGUCCUUGUAACCGCUGUCACCCAUCGUAAUAAAAUUUGUCCACCUUAAUUAAAAUUUUUAUUAAUUUUAUCACCUCAUAAUUUAUUUAUUAAACUUUUAUAUACGGGUUAGCUUAUUUGCUUGCUUAGUUGUUUCAAUUAUCUUUAGAUUCUUAUCACUAUGUAUUUUAGAAUUAAAAAAUAUAUUAAAUGUAAAAAUGUGAUUUUUUAAUAAAAGUUAUUUUAAAGAUAAAAUGUGAAAUUGAUACCAAUAUAAAAUUUUAACAUGAAUAUUUAAUGGCAUAAUCAAUAAUUCAAUUUUAAUAUAAAUAUUCAAUAUGACUAAACAAUUCAAUAAUAUAAAUAAUAUAAAAUGUGAAAUUUAAUUUAAUAAUAUAAAUAGUAGAUAUAAAUAAAAUUAUUUCUAUUAACCAUCAUCAUAUCACCAUUAACCAUCUAUAGACACAAAUAGCAAAUUUAUUUCAUGUUUUAAUUCACAAACUAAGAAUUAUAUCUAAACAUUAUAUUAAAUUACAUAUACAUGACCAAUUUACUUCACGUCUAUUUAACUAUCAAUUUAAUCACAUAAGAUUAUACCACACGUAAUGACACCUUAACUAAAUAUACCAUUUCAUAAUUAUUUAACCUAAAAUGUUAUACACAUUAUGCUAGCUCGAUUAACCAAUCAUUCAUUCAUAAAAUAUACUUCCAUCUUACCAUAACAAAUCAUAUCAAACUAGCCAUUACACAAUCAACCAUGUGUUCAUCAAUUUACCUCAUUACCAAGUCAUGCUCAGUUCACUAAACAAAUUAUAUUCAUACAUUUUCAUUAUAAACUGAAUAUAAAGAUUAUUGCACAUUCGAAUAUACAUAUAUAUUUAUAAAUUAUUAAACCAAUCAUAAAUAUAAAACAUAUCAUAUAAUAUAUAUACCAAAUUAAUCAACAACCAUGUUUGAAUUUAACUAAAUAUUCUUUAUCACCAAAUCACAUAAUAACAUUUUAACAAAACAUAUCAACAAAAUUCCCAUAUACCUUUAUCCAUGCAUGUACCAUAGCCGAACCUAUCAAACAUACAUAUCCACAAUCACCAACCAUUUUCAAAGCAUAUAACACAUAUAAACAUGACUAAAGUUUCAUAUAAUCACUUAACAUAUUAACCAUUUUCGCAUGGCUUAAUAUAUACACAACUUCAAACCUAACUAAACAUAACCUAGCUUAUACAUGCCAUAAAAAUAGGUUCAAACUUAUAAUGUACCAAAAACGGUCAAUAGUGUGAUAGACUUUGCUGACGAUUCCUGAGCUCGUAGCUUGACUUCAAAAUCUAUAUAACAGAGUAAACAUAACACAAAGAGUAAGCUAUCAAAGCUUAGUAAAUCAUAAGCAAAUAAACAUCUCAUUAUCAUAAUUGACUCAUAUUAACUAAACGAAUUGCAUUAACAUUAUUAACCACCUAUGUCGAAUACAUAUAUAAUCGUUUAAUGCAAUAUAAAUCAAUUUCCAAACCUAAUAGUCAUAAUAACCACACAUCCAUUUAUUCUUUUAUGCAAUUUAAAAAUCAACUAAUAUCAUCUCAUGUAUACAUAAUACUUAAGUAGUCGAAUAUACAAAUCUCAUAUAUACAUAUUAAAUAACAUUUCAAUGUUACACAAAUUAUUCCUUUACAAGCCGAAUACACAUAUCAAUAUCCAUAAUUUCUUCAUUUGCAUUGUACAUGAUUUACAGCACAUAACAAUAGUACUUUCUUACCUUAUCUUAAAUAGAUAUCAAGUUAACUCAUACCUGACCGUUUAGCUCGUAUUAUACAAUCCGUACACGACUACCUUUUCCCGAUGAACCAUUUGGAAUUAGAUAGGACACUCGGAUAAUCACAUAAAUCAUACAAUGCCAACGUCCCAGACGUGGUCUUACAUGUAACCACAUUUCGAUGUCACUGUCCCAAAUAAGGUCUUACUCGUAAACACACAUCAGAAUCAUAAAUCGAUGCCAUGGACUUACUCGUACACAUAUAUCGGAAUCCUAUGUCAUGACAUAUGUAUCCUAACUAUUCCUAAGGUUCAUACGGGGCUUUCGGACAUCGUAACUUGGUCGAAUUGAACUCGGAAGUGUAGCAGCCACAUUUAAUCAUAUUCGACCAUAGUAUAUUUACUUUCUAACAUUUCAUAACAACAUGUAAAUAUAACAUUAAAUUACCAAUAAACACAUCUAUUUACUUAUAAACUUAUCUCAGACGUCGUAAAACGGGACGGGUUUGCUAGCCAACAACUUUCGUUUUUCCCCAGUCCAAAUCCGAUUUCUUUGGUUCUUGAUCUUGAUUUUAGCUUGGAAGAUGGCCGAACCUAACUUCUCCUAUUUCUUUCCUUUUGUUUAUAUUCGGCUAUGGUGGAAAUAAUAUGAGCACUUUGUUUAAUUAUCAUAUAUUAUAACAUAUAUAUUACUUAUUAUUAUUUUACCUUUUUAACCUUAGUUAAUAAAUUAUAUUACUUAUUAUUAUUUUACCUUUUUAACCUUAGUUAAUAAAUUAUAAAAUCAUAUAUAUCAUGUUCACUCCCAUCCACUUCAUUUGAUAUUGGGCUAUUUACUUCUUAAAGGCUUCUAUUUUAAAAGCUAAGUGCAAAUUAUCCCUUUUUAGAAAUAACCACCUAAUUUUCACUUUACGCGAUUAAGUCCUUUUAUUUAAUCGGACACCUAAACAACAAAAUUAAAUCACGAAAUUUUCAAAAACAUAAAUUCACACAAAAUAAACACUAAAAAUAAUUUAAAAAUAUUUUUUUGACUCGAAUUCAUGGUCCCGAAACCACCGUUCCGAUUAAGGUCUAAAUCGGGCUGUUACAGCAGUUCAGAGGAGCAAAUUGCUGAUAUUUUUAUAAAAGCCCUUAGUGUGACUCGAUUCCUUCACUUGAGAGCUGAAAUGGGAGUAUGCAACAUGCUAACUAAGGAGGAGUGUUGAAGGUUGGUUAGCAUGCAACACCAAGUAGCUGGCCAAGCGCACCGAGCCAUGAGAAUAGCAGAACCAAGUAAAGCUGCUGUCAUUUAAUUCUUUUUGAUUCAUUUUGUUGGUGUAAUGUAAUCUUAUUCAUUUUGAACUAUGUUAGUUUAAUGAUUGAUGUAAUUAGGUAGUAAUUGAGCUGAAAAGCUUUGUUUUGUUGUACAAGUUAAUUUACCAAGUUUCAAUGAGUUAUAGUGGUGCUAGGUGAUAGUUUAGGUAAAAUUUGCUUGUAGUGUUUGACUUAUGCUUGAUAUAAGUAAUGGCACUAUGCCAAUAUUGAAUGUAUGAAUGAAAUUCAUCGAAUUCUUCCAUAUACACUCUCCAUUUUUCUUUGAUUUUAAAAUUCUGUUCAAAUUGCUGCUUGUUUCUUCUGCAAGUCACGAGCCUUGCUGCUCAAGAUUCUGCUAAACUUGCAUGGAAAUGCAGACUUCUUUUCUUUCUCUCCUGUUGAAUGCUUAGAAAAUGCAGGUCUUGAUGGUACUGGCAAUGACAUGGAAUAGCUACUAAGCAUGAGAACUAUAGAGGCCAUGGUUGGUCUGUAAGCGCUAUUGUCUUGAACACAAAGCAACCCUAAAUGGAUACAUCCCAUUAUUUCACUUCAUAAGCCAUCCCUCAGAAUUGGAUCUACAACUUCCCAAGCAGUCCGUUCAUUCCAGUUUCUUAAUGCCUGCAAAUGUUUGAGGAUAUGAACUUAAAUUGCCUUGUACCAAGUUCUAAUCUAGUAAUACCAUAAAGGUAGUAAGUUGCUUACAUAGGUUAGAAGAGAGUCUCCUAGUUCUUGGUUGGUGAAGCUAUUGAUUUUUUUUACCACUAAUGAUUUCCAAAACCAGCACUCCGAAGCUGUAAACAUCAAUUUAACCGAAUAUCGUCCAUGUAGUGCACACUCUAGAGCCAUGUAUCCACUACGGACAAAUAAAUCAUAAUGAGUGAAUUUAAAUGGUAGCUAAAACUAUCCUCUAGAAGAAAUCUAGUGCUUAGGAUCUGAGUUUAAACAACUCAAGUGUAACAAGUAACAUAUAAAAUCUAUCAUUUUUAACACUUACAAGGUCCCAACGAUUUUGCUUGUAGCAGCUCGAGUUUGAUCAGGAACAAGCAAUUUUACCAUUCCAAAAUCUAAGAUUUUAGGAUUCAUCUCUUUGUCUAACAAUAUGUUAGCUGCUUUUUAAGUCACGAUAGAUGAUCCGGUACUGAGAAUCUUGGUGAAGAUAAAGAAGUCCCCUGGUUAUUCCCUCUAUAAUUUUGUACCUCUUCUCCCAAUUUAGUAAUAAACGCUUUACUGUAUCUACAAAAAUUGCAAUAUCUACGACUUUCAUAAUUCAAAAUGUUUAUACCCAUGUAAGAUUCACCAAUAUAACAUGGCAUGAACUGUAUUCUACCAGGACUAGUAACCUAAUAAAUGAAGAAGAACUCAAUAGGUAUAGUUUAAAAGGAUCCAAACCAUACGGAAUAUUAAGUUGUCAAGGCUUGAGUUAGGCAGAAAUUCAUAGUUGAGAAUUCUUUCUUUUUGUUCCAAGCUAAAACCCAGAAGCCUAACCAAAUUCUUGUGUUGAAGCUUUGCCAAUAAAAUGACUUCAGUCCUGAAUUAUUGUUGUCCUUGUCCGGAAUUUUUUGAUAGCCUCUUUAUAGCUACUUUUCGUCCAUCUUCAAGCUGACCCUGAGAAUUUGGAACAAAUAACAAUGAUGGAAAGCAAUAACUUUUAUUUCCAUCAAACUAGAGGCUUCAAUUCUAUAUAUUCAAACAUUCUGUCUUUUUCUCCUUUUGAGAUAUUGGAAAUUUCCAUACACCAAAUCUGAAAUUAACUUAUAAACAGAACCAAAACCACCUCGUCCAAGCAUGUUUGCAUUCAAGAAGUUUCCUAUUGCAACUUUUACUGCAUUGAAGUCAAAUUGCAAGGAUUCAACAUGGCUCUUGUCAUCUGCAGGUUAACAAAGAGACAAUUUAAAGAAAGUGUAAAAGGAUGCUUAGCUAUUGGAAGAAGUAUGAAAAAAAGAAAAUCAAGGACCGACGUAUUUUGAUUCUCCUGCUUUAUUUUCUUGAUCCUCUUAAGGACAAUAGCAACUGCAAGUAUAACAAGUACUGCCACCAAAAUGACAAUUGGAACAAUUAUAAUAACAAUGGUUUUGGAUGAACUGCCUCCCCCUACUUCACAAGAAAGAACUUUGUAAGUACUUUUACAGAAUAUGCCAUCUACUUCAUAAAACCAACAUGCCAUCUAGUAGAUCCGUACUUACCUUUUGUAUUUGUGGAGUUCGCUGACUGUGGCGAAAGACUAAUAGGUGGGGGAGGAGGGCUAAAAGGUGAGGGUGGAGGUGUAGCGUUGUGUUAUGGGAAUUUAAGAAACGGUUUUGUAGUUAAAGUCUAUUAAAAGUAGUUAGGAUUAUCUGUUAGCUGUUAAAGGUGGUUAAGGGACUGCAUGUAUUAAAUACGUGGGUAUUCCUAUCUCUUAAGUAAGAAAGAAUGAAAGAAGUUGUUUUGAUUCAGUUUGUUCUAUAAUUCAACAUUGUAUCAAGAGCCAAGAAAUUUCUGGUGUAGUUUUUCUUUUCUUCUCUGCUUUCUUUGCUGUUUUUCAUGGCUACUGAUCCUGUGCCUGGGGUUGAUAAGUCCUGCCCGUCAACUGAUUCUCGAAAUGCUGCUCCUUCACCUGGUUCUGGCAGCAUUGUGUCACCCAUGAUUCACUCCUUUUCCAAGCAUGACACCAUCAAACUUACUGAGGCUAAUUUUCUUCUCUGGAAACAUCAACUUUUGUUCAUUCUUGAAGGUUAUGAUCUUGAAGGAUUUGUCCAAGGUACUCUUCCAAUUCCCUCUCCUCUUGUUGCUGGAGUCAAUGGUCAGUUAAUUGAUAACCCGUUGUUUCUUGCUCAUAAGCAACAAGACAAAUUGCUUGCUUCCUAGCUACUGUCCACAGUUUCGGAUGAGGUUCUAGUUCAUCUUACAAUAGCUAAAACUAGUUUUGAUAUUUGGUCUACUAUUGAGAAAUGGUUUGGAGUUAAAUCUAAUCUAAAGGUUUCAAGAAUGCGUCAUGAAUUGUAUUCUCUCAAGAAGGCGAAUCUCACAGCUAAGGAAUAUUUGGCAAAGGUAAAACGUUUGAGUGACAGUCUUGCUGCUGCUAAAAGUGUAAUUACUGAGCAAGAGCAAGUUAGCAUUAUCUUGGCUGGACUCUCGCUAGAGUUUGAGUCUAUUCGUGUGAUUGCUUCAGCUAGUCCUAUGUCUCUCGAUCUUCUGACUGAAAUGCUUCUUGAUUGUGAGGCACGACAGAUAGAAUUGUUAGCAGACGUACCUAUGCAGGCUAAUGUGUCUUCCUAUUCCAAGAAUCCUCAUCACUUGAAAAAUAAUGGUGAUUCAAAUGGUUGUACUCAAGAUUUUAGAUAGGGCAGUCGAGGACAUGAUAGGAGUUGGUUUCGUGGUAAGUAUCGUGGCAAUGGUAGUGGUGGUCGCGUUCCAAACCCCAGUGUCAACUAUGUGGUAAAGUUGGACAUGUGGUUCAAUCAUGCUAUCACCGGUUUGAUGAGAAUUUUUCUGGAGUGGAGUCUAACGACUCAAAAACUGUCAAUUACCAUCGUUAUGAGAAGCAGUCUUCUUCUUCUUGUUACAGCUCCCUUUCACAACCAUCUCCUUCCUCAAUUCCACAGCCUUCCCGAUCUUCUUCAGAUUCUUCAGCUCAAGUUUGGUAUCCUGAUUCUGGAGCCACAAAUCACAUCACUCCUGAUGUAACCAAUCUCUCGAUUGUCUCUCCUUACACAGGUAUGGAUCGGGUCUCUAUGGGCAAUGGUGAGCAUGUUUCUAUAGCACAUGUAGGCUUUUCUUCUAUGUUGGCUGGUUCAAGGGUUCUACAUCUUAAAAAUGUGCUUCAUGUGCCUACUGUUUGCAAGAACUUAUUGUCUGUUGGACAGUUUGCUAUGGACAAUUCAGUUUAUUUUGAAUUUCACCCCUAUAUGUGUUUUGUGAAGGAUAUUCAGACAAGGAUGAUUCUUCUCGUGGGCCACAUGCAUAAAGGCCUCUACCAGUUUGAUGUCUCCCAGGAUGGUUCUUCCAAGAUGGUGCUACCCAACUCUAUGUCUGUGUAUCAAGCUCAGCUCUCUUCUAUACCUCUGUUGUGGCAUAAUCGGUUCGGUCAUCCGUGCAAUAACACCCUUGUUCGAGUAUUAAAGAAUUGUAAUGUUUCUUUUCAGCAUAAAGGUUUGCCAAGUGUGUAUGCAGCUUGUCAACUCGGCAAAUCUCAUAGACUUCCAUUUAGUGCGUCAAAAAUAGUCUAUUCUGUUCCAUUUGAGCUUGUUGUGUCUAAUGUUUGGGGACCCACUCAUGUCAAGUCAAAUGGUUUCUACUACUAUGUGUCUUUUGUUGAUAUGCACAGUAGAUACACCUAGUUGUAUUUCAUAAAGGUUAAGUCUGAAGUGUUGAACUGCUUUCUUCAUUUUCAACAAAUGAUUCAAGCACAGUUCGGUUAUCUAUAAAAAUGCUUCAAAACGAUUGGGGGGUGAAUAUCGCUCUCUGUCCACUGAAUUAUUCAAACAUGGUAUCUAACACAGAAUUACAUGUCCCCACACCUCAAAACAAAAUGGUGUGGCUGAACAGAGACACCGACAAGUUGUUGACAUGGGCUUAACUCUUCUGGCUCAAGCAUCAAUGCCUCUAGAAUUCUGGUCUUCUUCAUUUUCUCAUACAGUCCAUGUAAUCAACAGGCUACCUAUAUUGUUCUCCAAUGCAUUAGUCCCUAUGAAAAACUGUAUAAAGAGCUGCCUGACUACUCUCGUUUGCGAGUUCUUGGUUGUGCCUGUUUUCCUUACUUGCGGCCAUAUAAUCAACACAAACUUCAGUUUAGGUCCAAGUGUUGUACGUUUCUUGGUUUUGGGCCGAAUCACAAAGGCUAUAAGUGCCUCGAUGACACUCGUCAUGUGUUUGUGUCUCGCCAUGUUGUCUUCGAUGAGACUCAGUUCCUGUUUCAGCAAGGGUGUUCUUCUCGAACUCUAGUUUGUCCCAAGGAGCAACCUCGUCAGUAGUCUCAUAUUCCUGUUGUUACAGCGCCAACUUCUAACUCUCAUUUUAGUUCUGAAGCUGGCCCAACCACCUCAUCUUCAAUCGCACCUCCUACAUCAGUUCCUUCUAACCACAGUUCUCAUGUUGAUCGUGUGUCUUCCUCUCCUCCAGCUUCUGAAUCCUCACCUUCUUCUUCUCCCAUCAGGCCAGCUGUGAAUAAUCAUCCAAUGCAGACUCAGUCUAAAUGUGGCAUUUAUAAACCGAAAGUGUUCUCAUCAGUGGUGGCUGUGAAUGAACCAGCUUCCACACAUGAAGCUUUUUAGAGUCCUGAGUGGUCAGCUGCUGCCCAAGCUGAAUAUCAAGCCUUGCUUGCGAAUCGUACAUGGGACCUUAUGCCCUUACCUGCAGGCAAAAAAUCGGUAGGGUGUAAGUGGAUAUUCAAAGUGAAGAAGAAUGCUGAUGGUUCCAUAGCACGAUACAAGGGUCGGUUAAUGGUAAAAGGCUAUCUCCAAGAAGCCGGUAUUGAUUUUCAUGAGACUUUUAGUCCGGUGGUGAAGCCUACAACAAUUCGGGUGGUUCUGUCAAUAGCAUUAUCCAUGGGAUGGUCUCUAAGGCAAGUAGAUGUGAAUAACGCGUUCCUUAAUGGUGAUUUAAAUGAGGACAUAUACAUGGUGCAACCACCAGGUUUUGAACAAGUAGGGGUUAAUGGACAGCAGCUGGUGUGCAAGUUAAAGAAAGCAUUGUAUAGGCUUAACCAAGCUCCUCGAGCUUGGUUUCACAAGCUGAGGGAGUUUCUCUUAACUAGUCAGUUUGACAUAUCAAAGGCUGAUAAUUCUUUUUUUAUCAGAAAGUCUAGGGAUCAGCUGUUGUACGUACUGGUGUAUGUAGACGACAUCAUAGUCAUAGGGUCUGAUUCAGGUGCUAUAAACCAGUUUGUCAAUGAUCUUGAUCGACAAUUUUCUUUAAAGGAUUUAGGGAAGUUGAGUUAUUUUUUAGGCAUUGAGGUUCAUUAUACCUCAGAUGGGCUGGUUCUCAAUCAGAAGAAAUAUAUUCAAGAUCUUCUUAAGAAGGCUUCUAUGGAAAAGUCUAACAGCUCUUCUACACCAAUGGUGUCUACUUGUCGACUGUCAACUCAUGAAGGAAGGUCGGUUGACGAUGAGACCCUUUUUCAAAGUUUAGUAGGGGCCCUCCAGUAUGUGGUAAUCACUUGACCGGAUAUUGCUUUUUUAGUAAACAAAGUCUGCCAGUAUAUGCACCGACCCUUAGAUACGCAUUUUAAAGCAGUGAAGAGAAUUUUGAGGUAUUUGCAAGGCACACUAGACUAUGGUCUGCAUUUUCAUCGAACAUCUAAGUUUGUUCUUGAAGGCUACUCGGAUUCAAGCUGGGGGCCUGAUUUUGAUGACCGGAGAUCCACCUCGGGUUAUUGUAUUUUUCUUGGAGGGAAUCCAAUCUCCUGGAGCUCUCACAAACAGCAAGUUGUGUCCCGUUCGACCGCCGAAGCAGAAUAUAGGAGUUUGGCGAAUGUCAUAGCCGAAUUGGUCUGGCUUCAGUCGUUGUUGGCUGAAUUAAGUGUCUCAAUAUAGAAGAAGUCAUUGGUUUGGUGUGAUAGCUCUUGUGCAGUUGCUGUAGCAGGCAAUCCAAUCCUGCAUUCAAAAUUUAAGCACGUAGAGCUGGAUGUGUUCUUUGUAAGAGAGAAGGUAGCAUCGAGUGUGCUUCAAGUUGGUCACGUGCCCAGUGAGGGUCAGAUUGCUGAUGUUUUGACAAAACCAUUGUCUGUAUUACUGUUCACCAAGUUCAAGAGGUAGCUUCAAGUUCCUUCAUAUGAAAGUUAGAAGUGCAUGGGGAAUGUUAUGGGAAUUUAAGAAACGGCUUUGUAGUUAAAGUCUGUUAAAAGUAGUUAGGAUUAUCUGUUAGCUGUUAAAGGUGGUUAAGGGACUGCAUGUAUUAAAUACGUGGGUAUUCCUAUCUCUUAAGUAAGAAAGAAUGAAAAAAGUUGUUUUGAUUCGGUUUGUUCUAUAAUUCAACACGUUGGAUGUAUAGAAGGGAUACAAUUCCCAGCGAAAAUAACAGUUAGGCCUCCGAACAUAACCUCCUUUCUUCCCAUGGCAACAUGCUUUAAAGUAACUUACGGAUAGGCUGAGGCAGGAAUCACAAUCCUUGUGUGAUAAAUCUGGAGUGCACUGCAUUCGUGUAUUUAUCUUUUGGUAUUCCCCAAAAUCUGCUUCCCCAUUUGCAAACUUAAAGAGUAGACGUGUCGUUGGAAGCCUUUUACCCAACACUGUCCAUCAAACUAUCCCAAGCUGUAUAAAAUUGUGUUAAGUUCGACGUGAUGUCGUCAUUAUUAGAGCCUGCCUCACGGGUUCUAGCUCCAGGGUUCCAUAAAACGAGCGAUCUGAAUAGUGUACAUGACAUAGACUCCUCGCAUAUGAAAGGGCUUCUUUCUGGUUGGGACAGCUAGUGACGAGAUUGUGGAUUGAGCAAUAGAUACAUUCAUAACAAGCGUAUGGACUAGAGUCUCCUCUGCACAUAGCAAGAGUGUAAACUUUGUUAGAGUUUUGGCCAAUACUAGUAGUAAGGAAACCACCUUUAGUAGAGACAUUAGAUGGGAGAGAAGCAAGAAUAAGGUCCCGGUUUUUACCAUAUUCGCUAUUCGUAGAGAAAUUACCAAUGUCAAAACUUAUUAGGAGAGCCUCAACAAGAGUAAUGCCGAUGAGGAGAUAGGAGAGAAUUAAAGAGAGAAUUAAAGAAAGAGCUGUAACUUGAACCCACAUUUUGAGGUUGUAUGAUUUGAAGGAAACGAAACCUAAAAGAAACAAGUGGGAACUUCAAAUCCAGAUUUUUCAUGGAUGAGAAGAGAUGAGAGUUUUAUUGCCUCGAGUAGAAGUCAAAAGUCAUAGGAAACUUGGUUUUUAAUUCCUCAGUCUCAUCUGUCUGAGAGAGACAGGUCUAGUUAGUAGACAAUCUCCUUUAGGAAGACAGAUGAAAGUAUCUAUAUGUUGUAACAAGUGGCGGGCUUGUUAAGGAAUCCAAAAGAAGACCGCUACUAAUUAGACAAGUGAGACUCAGGCAUGAAAGACACAGGAUUCCAGUGACUUUUGCCUUAAUGAGUGCUCUUGACAACUUAAGGCGAGGAAACAAAAACCACAAGGAAAACUCACCUCCCUGCCAAGUAAAAUGUAGAUUAAAAGUUCCCAUUUCUAUUUUUGGAUUCAUUCAGUUUCUGUUCCCAUUUCUUUACUUGCAGUAUGGGCCAAAACUCCACAAUCACAAAAGGUAAGUACGCAUGUGGUAGAUGCCGUCCUGGUUUCAGGAAGAAAUUGGGUUUGUAAUAUCCUGAAUUAGGGCUUAAUCAGAAUAGUGGUUUCGUGGCCACAAAUCCGAGAUAGAAAUAAUUAUUUUAUAAUUAUUUUGAUGAAUAUGAUAUGAUUGCAUGAUUGUGUGAAAAUUUCGUGAUGAAAUUCUAUGCCUAAAGUGUUUAAAUUGAAAGUAGGGACUAAAUCGAAUAAGUUGCAAAAUUUGCAUUCUAGAAGUUUUUAGUAUGAAAUUGCAUUGAAAUAUUAAUUAGGAGGUCUUAAAUAGCAAUUUGACCAAUUUCUAUGUCUAUGGACAAAAAUUGGACAUGGAUGGAAUUUUUGGAAAGUUUAGUAGUAAGGGCAUUUUGGUCAUUUAGUUAUUAAAAUGAAUUAAAAAUAAAAUUAAAAGCCAAUUUUUGUCCAUCUUCUUCAUUAGGCCGAAAUUUCAAGGGUUCUCCAUAGUUAGGGUUUGUUUCAAGCUUCCAAGCUCCAUAGUAAGUGAUUCCAAGCCCCGUUUUUAAUGUUCUUUACGUUUUUGGAAUCUCGGUAGCUUGAUUAAGCUUAUGUUAGCAAUAAUUCAACCUAGGGUUUAUAUUUGGAAAAAUACCCAUAGGUGAAAUUUGUGUAUUUCGAUGUUUUAUGAUAGAAUAUGUGGUUUUAAAUUAUGUUAGACAACUUUUUCUACUCGAUUUUGAGUGAAAACGAGUAAAAGGGCUUAAUCGGCAAAAAUACCUAAUAGUCACAAGUAUAUGUUAGAGUAAGAAUUUGAUGUUGCCACAGAAGGGAAAAAUGAUCAGCAUGUUAUAAAACAUAAGAAUAAGAAAUAAAGUUUAAUUCCCGAGCCUAGGGGCAAAAGUGUAAUUAUGCAAAAGUUUAGGGGCAAAAGUGUAAUUUUUCCAAAGUUCGUAUUAAAUGCUGUUUUGAUGAAUGUAUGUAUUGAAUAAGAUUAAUUUGGCAUAUAGAUCAAGAGAAACGAGAUUCAAGUCGCGAUCGAGGAAAAGAAAAGAUUGUGGACUAAAUUGCAAAAUCUUUAUAUUUUGGUACCAAGGUAAGCUCAUGUGUAAAUAAUGUAGCAUAAUUGUUAUUUUUAAGUUAUUGAUGUUAAUUAUAUGAUAUGUUGAUUUUUUUUAUCGUGAAAUAUUAUGCUUUGUGGUUAAUGUUGAGUAAUAUGCAAAUUAUGUUUACUAUUUGAUAAAUAUGAAUUGCUACCGAGUAUCGGUUCCGAUAUUCCAUGGAAGACGGCAAUGUGAGAACGAAAAAAAAGCCUGUUUGAACCUUAGGAAUAGAUUAGGAUACAAGUGACAUGUCACUAGGAUGGUUGAGCAUCCGAACUCGUUGAGUUGAGUCUGAGUUCACUUAUGGAUGCGAAUGUCCGAACUCAUUGAGUUGAGUCCGAGUUCGUGAGAUGUAACUAGGCAUCCGAACUCGUUGAGUUGAGUCCAAGUUCACUUAUGGAUGCGAACUCCCGAGCUCGUUGAGUUGAGUCCGAGUUCACUUAGGGGCGGGUUACAUGAUUUCUUGAUUACAUAUGAGGCACUUAUGUGCAAAUUAUCCAUGUAUCCGAGUUGUAUUCCGAUGUGUUCAACGGGUGAAAUUUCUAGUGAAAUGGAAGAACACUUAAGAUGCAAGCGACGUUUUGGUAAGUGUUGUGAAAUGGACACUUUGGACAAGUAUGUUCUUAACCCUCGGGUUGAAAAUAGAUACAACAACGAUAAGGUGGUAAGAUGAUGAAUGAUGUUUAGAAAUGUGAUAUAUGUUUUGGUGAUACCAUGCUAAAGUUGUUUGGUAUAUUUGUAUUGUUAUGUUACUUGUUAUUUACAUAUGAACUUACUAAGCAUUUAUGCUUACUCCCUCCUCUUUAUUUACUGUAGUUUUGAACAAGCCAGCUCGGGAAUCGGGACGGCUCGAAGGUUCGAUCACACUAUCCAAAGGACUUUCAUCUGGGUAAAUGGCUUGUAAAACUUAAGUAUGGCAUGUAUAGCAAUAUACUUAUUUUGUGUGAAUAAUUUUAUGAUAUGGCCAUGAUUGGUUGAGAAAAUGUUUGAUAUUGAUAAGUUAUGGUGAUGGUUAAAUUUAGAUCAUGUUUGAUAUCAUGGAAGUUUAAUAGGUUAUCUAGUUCACAACAACUCAUGAAAAGAUGAAAUUUGCCUUAUGACAGAAUAUUGCUGCAGCAAUGACAUGAAUUUGAAAAAUCACUAAAAAUAGUAUAAAUGGAAUUAAAUGAUGAUCAAGUUAUUAAAUUAAAGCUUAAUGAGUCUAUUUUCAUAUGGAUAAAAAAAACAGGCAUAUAUAUUAUACUUUAUGAGAUAUUUGAAACCUUGUGAAAUAGGGCCAGAGUGAUUUCUGGAUCCUCUGUUCUGACUUUAAAAAUUCAUAAUAAAUUGUAAAAACAUAAUUAGAAGUCAUUCUUUAUAUGUCAAAAUUCCUUUUUGAGUCUAGUUUUAGUAAAAACAAACCUUGUAGUCAUUGAAAUUCUUUAUAGAGAGAUAUCUGAUUCGUAAUACACAGAGGUCAGAGCAGUCAAACCCUGAAACAUGGGAGAAUUUAACUAAUAAACUGUACUAAUUGGCCCAACCAAAAAUUCUAGAAACAAAUUAUUAAAUAUAUAUAUGAGUCUAGAUUUAGGCAAAAUUUACGGAUCUUGAUUUUGAGUUUUGUAACUCGAGAUAUGAUUUUUCUUGUAACUGUGAUGCGGGUAGCUAGAAAGCUGUGAAUGUAGAAACAAAUGAUUUGAAGUUCUUAAUUUGAUAAAUCAUGUUCGGUAACCCCUCAAGCUCGACUCCGGCGACGGUUUCAGACGUGGGGGCAUUACAUUUGGUGGUAUCAGAGCAGGUUUAGUCGGUUAUCGGACUACGUGUUGUAUGUACGGAUUUUGCUAUACAUGCCAUAUGUAUGAAUUGUGAUAGUGUGAUGACUUCUGACCUUUUUAAAUGAGUUUUAUAUGGUAAAUGGAUCCCAAUCCAGCUGUGGCAGAUGAAGUAGAGAGUAAUGCGCCAGCUCCGGCUGAAGGGGCAGCGCCGACUGAAAACCCACCCUCUACUGUUGGUUAAGGAGGAGGAGAAGGGGAUCGGGAAGCCUUUCUCCAAAUGAUGAGUGCAUGGUACACUGAGUUCGUUUGUACGAACCCAAAUGUACGACCUCCCCCACCUCCCCCAAUUCCUCAACCUAUGCCUCUGAUGCCUCGGGGAGUGGAUAUGAUAAAAUUUCACAAAACCCCCAUUGAUAGAAUUCGUAAACAAGGGGCUGAAGAAUUUAGAGCAAAUAUUGAUGAUGAUGCAGAGAAAGCAGAGUUCUGGCUUGAAAAUUCUAUCCGGGUAUUUGAUGAAUUAUCUUGUACACCUGAAGAAUGUUUGAAAUGUGCUACAUCUUUGUUGAGAGAUUCAGCCUAUAAUUGGUGGAAGACUUUGAUUUCGGUGGUACCGAAAGAGAGGGUAACCUGGGAAUUCUUUCAAGAAGAGUUUCGGAAGAAAUAUAUUAGUGAAAGAUUUAUUGAUCAGAAAUGUAAAGAGUUUCUUGAGCUAAAGUAAGGUAAUAUGACAGUCUCAGAAUAUGAAAGAGAGUUUGUUCGAUUGAGUAAGUAUGCCAGGGAAUAUGUUCCUACAGAAGCCAAGAUGUGCCGACGAUUUGAAGAUGGGCUUAACGAAGACAUUAAGGUAUUUGUUGGGAUCCUUGAACUAAAAGAAAUGGUGGUACUUGUCGAUCGAGCUUGCAAGGCUGAAGAAUUACUGAAGGAAAAGAAAAAGGUAGAAUCUGAAACACGAAAUUGGAAGAAAAGACCAAUGAGUAAUGCACCCUCACAACAAACCAGAAAUUCAAGAAAUAUGAAUCCUCGUUCCCAAGUUUCAGCUGGGCAAUCAUAUGGAAAUUUUAAGAAGCGAAAUGUGGGUCCUAAAUCUCAGACUACUUCUACGGCUAGUGUGGGAAAUACGAGAUUUGUUAAACCCGAGUGCCAGCGGUGUGGUAGAAAUCAUUUUGGUCCGUGCAGAGCAAAUGAAUGUUUUCGAUGUGGUUCUCCGGAUCAUUUUAUUAGAGACUGCCCAGAGAGAGCUCAGAAAGAAAAAUUUUCAGAAUGUAAAAGCUAGUGGUGCAGACUCGAGGGGAAGGUAUCUAAGAAAAGCUGGAAGUGAAACAAGCAGUAAGAAUGUAGCCAGAGAUGCAGUAGUUAGAUCUGAAGGAAGAGCUCCGCUUAGAACUUAUGCUAUUAAAGCGCGUGAAGAUGUUUCCUCACCCGAUGUGAUUACCGGUACAUUUUCUCUUUAUGAUACUAAUGUUAUUGCUUUGAUUGAUCCCGGUUCUACUCAUUCAUAUGUAUGCAUGAAACUGGUGUCUAGUAUGAAUAUACCUAUUGAGAACACAGAAUUUAUGAUUAGAGUGUCAAAUCCACUAGGCAAAUGUGUGAUAGUUGAUAAAGUAUGCAAGAAAUGCCCUUUAAUGAUUCGGUGUCAUUACUUUCCGGCCGACUUGAUGUUGUUGCCGUUUGAUGAAUUUGAUGUUAUUUUGGGUAUGGAUUGGUUGACAUUGCAUGAUGCUAUAGUAAAUUGCAAAGAAAAGGUUAUAGAAUUAAAAUGUGAAAGUGGUGAAAUCUUGCGGGUUGAACCAGACAAAUCAGAGGCAAUAUUUAGUAUGAUUUCUUCGAUGUCGGCUCAGAGAUAUUUGAGAAAGGGUUAUGAAGCUUAUUUGGCGUAUGUAAUUAAUACAAAAGAAGUUGAAAAGAAAGUUGAAUCAGUGCCGGUUGUGUGUGAAUUUGCGGAUGUAUUUCCAGAAGAAUUGCUGGGUUUGCCUCCAGUCAGGGAAGUAGAAUUUGGUAUAGAUUUGAUACUGGGAACAGCUCCGAUCUCGAUUGCUCCAUAUAGAAUGGCACCCACAGAGUUGAAAGAAUUAAAGUCGCAGUUGCAAGAGUUGACUGAUAAAGGCUUUGUGAGACCAAGUUUUUCACAUUGGGGUGCUCCCGUGUUAUUUGUGAAAAAGAAAGAUAGUUCUAUGAGAUUAUGUGUUGAUUAUCGGCAGUUAAACAAGGUGACAAUAAAAAACAAGUAUCCAUUACCGAGAAUUGAUGAUUUGUUUGAUCAGCUAAAAGGAGCGACAUGGUUUUCAAAGAUUGACUUGAGAUCUGGGUGUUAUCAGCUGCGAGUGAAAGAGUCAGACGUGCCUAAAAUUGCUUUUAGAACAAGGUACGGUCAUUAUGAAUUUUUAGUUAUGCUAUUCGGGUUGACAAAUGCUCCUGCUGUGUUUAUGGACUUAAUGAAUCGCAUAUUUCGGCCAUACCUGGACAGAUUUGUUGUGGUGUUUAUAGAUGAUAUUUUAAUUUAUUCAAAAGAUGAGACAGGGCAUGCUGAGCAUUUGAGUAUAGUUUUGCAAACUUUGAUAGAUAAGCAGCUGUAUGCUAAGUUUAGUAAAAGUGAAUUUUGGCUCCGGGAAGUUAGAUUUUUGGGUCAUAUUGUUUCAGGUGAUGGUAUACGGGUUGAUCCUAGUAAAAUUUCAGCCAUUGUUGAUUGGAAACCACCGAAAAAUGUAACUGAAGUUAGGAGUUUCUUGGGGCUAGCUGGGUAUUAUCGGUGGUUUGUAAAUGGAUUUUCUAUAAUUGUUGCUCCUAUGACUAGACUACUUCGAAAGGAUGUUAAAUUUGAAUGGACGGAAGAAUGUCAACAGAGUUUCGAAGAAUUGAAAAAGUUAUUAACUGAAGCACCAGUGUUGAUACAACCCGAAUCAGGUAAAAAAUUUAUGGUGUAUAGUGAUGCUUCUCUAAAUGGUUUGGGGUGUGUACUCAUGCAAGAAGGAAAAGUGGUGGUUUAUACUUCGAGGUAGUUAAAACCUCACGAGAGGAAUUAUCCUACUCACGAUUUGGAAUUGGCUGCAGUGGUGUUUGCUUUGAAGAUUUGGCGACAUUAUUUGUAUGGUGAAAAGUGCCGAGUAUAUACCGAUCACAAAAGUCUUAAAUACUUGAUGUCACAAAAAGACUUGAAUUUGAGACAGCGAAGAUGGUUAGAGUUAUUGAAAGAUUACGAGCUUGUUACUGAUUAUCAUCCGGGAAAAGCGAAUGUGGUUGCCGAUGCUUUAAGCAGAAAGUUGUUGUUUGCUUUGAGAGUUAUGAACACUCAGUUGAAAAUGUCAGAUGACGGUUCGAUUCUAGCAGAGUUAAGAGCAAGACCAAUGUUUUUACAAGAGAUUUUUGAAGCUUAGAAAAAUGAUCAAGAUUUGCUAGCUAAGAGAAAACAGUGUGAAGCUGAUACGGGAUCAGAUUUUAGAAUCGGUUCUGAUGGUUGUUUGAUGUUUAAAAAUCAGAUUUGUGUAGUGAAAAAUGAUUAGUUGAUUCAAAAGAUUUUGCAUGAAGCAUAUAAUGGUUGUUUGGCGGUUCAUCCGGGCAGUACGAAGAUGUAUAAUGACUUAAAGAAAAUGUACUGGUGGAGUGGAAUGAAAAGAAAUAUUUCCGAGUUUGUAUCAAAGUGCUUAGUUUGUCAACAAGUGAAAGCUGAACACCAAGUACCUUCGGGAUUACUUCAGCCUAUUAUGGUUCCUAAAUGGAAAUGGGAUCGGAUUACUAUGGAUUUUAUAUUAGGGUUGUCGUUAACUCCAGGGAAGAAAAAUGCCAUCUGGGCAAUAGUUGACAGACUGACUAAAUCGGCUCAUUUUAUUCCAGUACGUACAGAUUAUUCUCUUAAUAAGUUGGCUGAAUUGUAUAUCCGAGAGAUUGUUAGACUUCAUGGGAUACCUUUGUCAAUCAUUUCGGAUAGAGAUCUAAGGUUUACCUCACGGUUUUGGCAAAAGUUGCAAGAGGCAUUAGGUACAAAGUUAAAUUUUAGCACUGCCUUUCAUCCACAAACUGAUGGACAAUCAGAGAGAGUAAUUCAGAUUCUUGAAGACAUGCUCAGAUGUUGCGUAUUGGAAUUUCAAGAUAGUUGGGAAAGGUACUUACCAUUGGUAGAAUUUGCUUGUAAUAAUAGUUAUCAGACGAGUUUGAAGAUGGCACCUUAUGAAGCAUUAUAUGGUCGUAAAUGUCGGACGCCAUUGUAUUGGACUGAACUCAAGGAAAAUCAGAUUUAUGGAGUUGAUUUAAUAAAAGAAACCGAAGAAAAGGUGAAAGUGAUUUGAGAUUGUUUGAAAGCUGGUUCAGAUAGACAGAAAUCUUAUGCGGAUUUGAAACGAAAAGAAAUGGAGUUUCAAGUUGGUGAUAAGGUAUUUUUGAAAGUGUCUCCAUGGAAGAAAGUCCUUAGAUUUGGACGAAAUGGCAAGUUAAGUCCGCGUUUUAUUGGACCGUAUGAAAUAAUUGAAAAAGUUGGACCGGUAGCAUAUCGGCUAGCGCUACCACCUGAAUUAGAGAAGAUUCAUGAUGUGUUUCACGUAUCUAUGUUAGUCGGUAUCGUUCGGAUCCUUCACAUAUAAUUUCACCGACAGAAGUUGAACUACGACCGGAUAUGACUUAUGAAGAAGAACCGAUUAAGAUUUUAGCUCGAGAAGUCAAAAAACUAAGAAAUAAAAGUGUUGCACUUGUGAAAGUGUUGUGGCAAAAGCAUGGGGUAGAAGAGACUACAUGGGAACCUGAAGAAACUAUGAAAAACCAAUACCCACACCUGUUUACCGGUAAGAUUUUCGAGGACGAAAAUCCCUAAAAGGAGGGAGAGUUGUAAUAUCCUGAAUUAGGGCUUAAUUAGAAUAGUGGUUUCGUGACCACAAAUCUGAGAUAAAAAUAAUUAUUUUAUAAUUAUUUUGAUGAAUAUGAUAUGAUUGCAUGAUUGUGUGAAAAUUUCGUGAUGAAAUUCUAUGCCUAAAGUGUUUAAAUUGAAAGUAGGGACUAAAUCGAAUAAGUUACAAAAUUUGCAUUCUAGAAGUUUUUAGUAUGAAAUUGCAUUGAAAUAUUAAUUAGGAGGUCUUAAAUAGCAAUUUGACCAAUUUCUAUGUCUAUGGACAAAAAUUGGACAUGGAUGGAAUUUUUGGAAAGUUUAGUAGUAAGGGCAUUUUGGUCAUUUAGUUAUUAAAUGAAUUAAAAACAAAAUUAAAAGCCAAUUUUUGUCCAUCUUCUUCAUUAGGCCGAAAUUUCAAGGGUUCUCCAUAGUUAGGGUUUGUUUCAAGCUUCCAAGCUCCAUAGUAAGUGAUUCCAAGCCCCGAUUUUAAUGUUCUUUACGUUUUUGGAAUCCCGGUAGCUCGAUUAAGCUUAUGUUAGCAAUAAUUCAACCUAGGGUUUAUAUUUGGAAAAAUACCCAUAGGUGAAAUUUGUGUAUUUUGAUGUUUUAUGAUAGAAUAUGGGGUUUUAAAUUAUGUUAGAUAACUUGUGCUACUCGGUUUUGAGUGAAAACGAGUAAAAGGGCUUAAUCGGCAAAAAUACCUAAUAGUCACAAGUAUAUGUUAGAGUAAGAAUUUGAUUUUGACAUAGAAGGGAAAAAUGAUCAGCAUGUUAUAAAACAUAAGAAUAAGGAAUAACGUUUAAUUCCCGAGCCUAGGGGCAAAAGUGUAAUUUUUCCAAAGUUCGUAUUAAAUGUUGUUUUGAUGAAUGUAUGUAUUGAAUAAGAUUAAUUUGGCAUUAUAGAUCAAGAGAAAUGAGAUUCAAGUCGCGAUCGAGGGAAAGAAAAGAUUGUGGACUAAAUUGCAAAAUCUUUAUAUUUUGGUAACAAGGUAAGUUCAUGUGUAAAUAAUGUAGCAAAAUUGUUAUUUUUAAGUUAUUGAUGUUAAUUAUAUGAUAUGCUGAUUUUUUUUAUCGUGAAAUAUUAUGCUUUGUGGUUAAUGUUGAGUAAUAUGCAAAUUAUGUUUACUACUUGAUAAAUAUGAAUUGCUACCGAGUAUCGGUUCCGAUAUUCCAUGGAAGACGGCAAUGUGAGAUCGAAAAAAAAAAGCCUGUUUGAACCUUAGGAAUAGAUUAGGAUACAAGUGACAUGUCACUAGGAUGGUUGAGCAUCCGAACUCGUUGAGUUGAGUCCGAGUUCACUUAUGGAUGCGAAUGUCCGAACUCGUUGAGUUGAGUCCGAGUUCGUGAGAUGUAACUAGGCAUCCGAACUCGUUGAGUUGAGUCCAAGUUCACUUAUGGACGCAAACUCCCGAGCUCGUUGAGUUGAGUCCGAGUUCACUUAGGGGCGGGUUACAUGAUUUCUUGAUUACAUAUGAGGCACUUAUGUGCAAAUUAUCCGUGUAUCCGAGUUGUAUUCCGAUGUGUUCAACGGGUGAAAUUUCUAGUGAAAUGGAAGAACACUUAAGAUGCAAGUGACGUUUUGGUAAGUGUUGUGAAAUGGACACUUUGGACAGGUAUGUUCUUAACCCUCGGGUUGAAAAUAGAUACAACAACGAUAAGGUGAUAAGAUGAUGAAUGAUGUUUAGAAAUGUGAUAUAUGUUUUGGUGAUACCAUGCUAAAGUUGUUUGGUAUAUUUGUAUUGUUAUGUUACUUGUUAUUUACAUAUGAACUUACUAAGCAUUUAUGCUUACUCCCUCCCCUUUAUUUACUGUAGUUUUGAACUAGCCAACUCGGGAAUCGGGACGGGUCGAAGGUUCGAUCACACUAUCCAAAGGACUUUCAUCUGGGUAAAUGGCUUGUAAAACUUAAGUAUGGCAUGUAUAGCAAUAUACUUAUUUUGUGUGAAUAAUUUUAUGAUAUGGCCAUGAUUGGUUGAGAAAAUGUUUGAUAUUGAUAAGUUAUGGUGAUGGUUAAAUUUAGAUCAUGUUUGAUAUCAUGAAGUUUAAUAGGUUAUCUAGUUCAUAACAACUCAUGAAAAGAUGAAAUUUGCCUUGAGACAGAAUAUUGCUGCAGCAAUGACAUGAAUUUGAAAAAUCACUAAAAAUAGUAUAAAUGGAAUUAAAUGAUGAGCAAGUUAUGAAAUUGAAUCUUAAUGAGUCUAUUUUCAUAUGGAUAAAAAAACAGGCAUAUAAAUUAUACUUUAUGAGAUAUUUGAAACCUUGUGAAACAGGGCCAGAGUGAUUUCUGGAUCCUCUGUUCUGACUUUAAAAAUUCAUAAUAAAUUGUACAAAAAUAAUUAGAAGUCAUUCUUUAUAUGUACAAAUUCCUUAUUGAGUCUAGUUUUAAGAGAAACAAACCUCGUAGUCAUUGAAAUUCUGUAUAGAGGGAUAUCUGAUUCGUAAUACACAGAGGUCAGAGCAGUCGAACCCUGAAACAGGGGAGACUUUAACUAAUAAACUGUACUAAUUGGCCCAACCAAAAAUUCUAGAAAAAGCUGUGAAUGUAGAAACAAAUGAUUUGAAGUUCUUAAUUUGAUCAAUUAUGUUCGGUAACCCCUCAAGCUCGACUUCGGCGACGAUUUCGGGCGUGGGGGCGUUACAGGGUUAAAGUACCUAGAAAGCCCUUUCCUUAGCUGCAGAUUGUAUUACUGUUUUUUUACCGAAAAAAUUGGUAAAUUAAUCAUUUUGAAAUAUGUAAAUUAAUUCAUUGUUUCAAUUUUCUGUUAAAUAAUAAUAUGAAACAUACUAUACUGAAUUUUGUUACGAGUAAAUUAAAUUUUUCGAAAUUAAAUAUUUUAGUACCUCUAAAUAGAUGUGAGCUCAUUUAUUGAUUUAAUAAUAAAAUUAGUCUUCUAAUGUUUACAGAUUCUAUCAAUUUAAUCCUAAAUAUAAAUAAUUAAACAAAUUUUUCUCUCAAUGCUUACAAAAUUUGUCAUUUUAGUUCUACUUCUAAAAAUUCAAUAAAUUUGACCCUCAACAUUUAUAAAAUCUAUCAAUUUAGUCUUUAACUCUAAAAAUUUUAAAAUUAGUUUUUUUAAAAAUUAUUUUUAGCCCUUUUAUAACCUACUGGCUAACUAUGAUUACAAUGGGAUCAUUUUUUGCUUGCCCCACCCUGAUCUCUAUCGCCAUGCCUUGAGCUUGACCCCACCCCAACUUUAAAAAAAAAUUAACUAGCUCUGAAUCCAAACCCAAAAAUUAAUAGUAUACCCGACUUCGAUACGGUUCAACCUGAGUUUAAUUUUGUUAUUUUGUUUUUUGUGAAAAUAUGAUUAAUUAAUUUUUUUUAAAAAGCGUAAGCAACCAAAAUAGCAACUUUUGUUUACCUCAAGUUACAUUUUAGUUACUUAUGUUUGGAAUGUUACGUUUUAGUUACUUACGUUAUCGUGUUGUGACAUUUUAGUCACCAAGUCAUUAAUUGUCGUUAACGGUGUAACGAUAAGUUGACGUGGUACGUUAAAUCAUCAUUUCAAAAAAAAAAUUUAGGUUAAUUUAUACAAUCGGUCCCCAUAUUUUUUCGUUUUGAGCAAUUUAAUUUUUUUGUUUAUAGUCUUUUAACUUUUUUUUUCCAUUCUCUUUUGAUUCUUCCUUUGUUUUCCUCUCUUCUCCAUUUCUUUUAAUAUAGUUUUUCUAUAUUUUUCAUUUGUUAAAACUAGUCCCUAUACUUUUUUUGGAACAAUUUAAUUUUUUCGAGUGAGUAGAGUUUGUGGACUAGUUUUAACAAAUAAAAAAUAUAGAAAAACUAUGUUAAAAUAAAUGAAAAUGGGAGGGAAACAUUGGGAGAAGCAAAAGAGAAUAGAAAAUAAAGGAAAAAAAUUUAAUUGCUCAAAAUAAAAAAAUAUAUUGGGACAAAUUGUAAAAUUUAACCUAAAAUUUUCGUUUGAAAUGAUGAUUUAACGUGCCAUGACAGCUUACUGUUACACCGUUAACGACAAUUAAUGGUUUAGUAACUAAAAUGUUACAAUACGAUAAUUAAGUGACUAAAAUGUAACAUUUCAAACAUAAGUGAUUAAAAUGUAACCCAAAACAAACAAAAGGAACGAUUUUGGUAGUUUACCCUUUUAAAAAUGAAGAUUUACACAAAUAUAUAUUUUUCAUAAAAAUGUGAUUAAUUAAAUUUAUAUUUAUAUCUAGAGUUGUGUGUUAAUAUAUAUUUACACAAAUGUCGUGAUUACAACACACAAGAAAAAAGAAAGAACAAAUGUUCCUUUAUAAAUUAUUAAAUUAACAAUAUAGGAAAUGGGGAGGGUGAAAGGGAACUAAUAUAGGGGAGGUAGAAUGAAAUUACUAGUGAUAAAUUUGAGAGAUAUUUUUAAUUUAAAUCAUAUUAAAUAUGUAUAAAGGGUAAUUUCAUAAAUAUCCUAGAGUGGGGUAGGGUAGUUUUAUUCUAAACUUGACCCUGACCUGACCCCAUUAUUUUUAAAAAUUAACCUACCCUGCAUCGAACCCAAACUUAAAUAAAAAAAAACUUGACCCUAUCGAGUCGAAUCGACUUGGAAUCCAUUGAAUUUGGAGUUUUUUUUCCAUACCUUCGGCUAACUCAUGUAAGAUAUUAAAAAAAAAGGGAGUACUCUCUUUUUAAGUUGUUUGCAAAAAAAAAAAACUCUAAAAAGUUGGGAUAAACCACAAAAAAAUUUAAGUUCCAAAAAAAAACAUUAAAAAUAUUAUCUAAUCGGUUAGUAAUGUAGCCAAUUAUUCCAAAUCAAUUGGUUUGGUCCAGUGUGAAUCCAAAAUUAUAGUAAAAAAAUUUUGUUGCAAGUUACUUGAAAGAGGAUACUUUUGUUUUUUUUUAAUACCUUGUAUGAGUUAGCCGAUAGGUUAUAAAUGGCUAAAAAAUAAACUUUUUUUAUAUUUUUUUAUUUUUAGAGUUGGGACUAAAUUGAUAGAUUUUGUAAAUGUUGACGGACAAAUUUAUUAAUUUUUUAAAAUUAGAACUAAAAUGACAUUUUGUAAACAUUGAAUGCUAAAUUUGUUAAUUUUUUUAUAUUUAGGAUCAAAUUAAUAGAAUGUGUAAAUAUUAGAAGGCUAAUUUUGUUACUAGACUAAUAAAGAAAACCUCACAUCAUGUCAGAAUGACUAAAAUAUUUAAUUUCGAAAAGUUUAGUGAUUAAAUAAAAAUUAAUAGUUAGGUGCAGGGGCGAAGCUAGAAUAAAUUUUUAGGGGAGGCUGGAUAAAAUUUUAAUUUUUAUAGUUUAUAUCUUUAUAAUUUAUAAAGGAUUAAAUCGAAAUUUUAUAAUUUUAUGGGGGUCAAAUUAUAAUUUUAUCUUUACUAAUUUAAAAUUUUUAAAAAAUAUUAAAGGCCAAAAGAGCAAAUUUAUAUUUUAGGGGGGACCGGGGCCCAUGCCAGCCCCCUGACUUUGCCCCUGGUUUUGUGACCAAAAUAAAACAAAAAGUAUAAUUGGGUGGCCAUUUUUAUAAUUUACCUAGAAAACAAUAAUUUUCAAAAUGUUACGUGUUGUUAAAUAUUUAAUGGAUGAGCUAAUUUGCACAUUUCAAAAUGUAUAAAAAUUAAUUUAUUAUUAUUUUAAUAAAAAAGUUGAAAUAUAAUAACAAGAGAAGGAAUUGAUGCAUAUAGAAAUUCGAGUAAAUCAAUAUGUUAUAUAAAAUGUUAUUGCUCUAAUUAUUUGAUUAAUUACUAAUCUAUAAGCACAAAAAAAUAUAUUAUUGGAGAGGUUUUAAAGUUAAAAAAUUGAUUUUUAGUAUCGUAUAAUUUAAUAAGAACUUAUUGAUCAGAUAAUCAUAUGUAGUUAAUGGCUGGCAAUAAAUCAAGAUAUUAUUUGUAUAUAUAAGAUAAUCAGUUCUUGUACCUAAAUUAUUAAUUUAUUUAUAUUAAAGGAAUUUAUUCAAAUCAAAUUUAAAUAAAAAUUACACAUAUCGAAUUAAAUAAAUUAUCCUUUUAUCAUAAACAACUUUAAUACUCAUUGCUUUGCUUUGAAUUAUUAUAUACUUAAAACUCUCUAUAAACUCCUCAAGGUAAGGUUAUCUUAACCAUUUUUGACUUUCGCCCACAAUGUAUUAUUAUAAUCUAAACUUGGGAAAAUGAGAAAGAAGAAACAGAAAUGUCAAUCAAAAUAGCUGAAUCGCCUUCACCCCAUCUUCAAACUAAGAAGAAGAAAGCUUUGAUCGUGAUUGAUGCCUUCCUUCAACCUCAUUUCCUCUGUGCUUUUGUUUUUUUACAUCUUUGAUCUCGCAGCCGAUGCCAACCCAAGUUUCUUAUACAAGUUCUGUUAUGACAAAGAUACCACUUUCACAACAAACAGCACUUAUGGAACCAAUCUCAAUCUCCUCCUCUCUUCUCUUACCUCCAACGCCAACCGGAUCGACGGUUUCUACAACACCACGGUGGAGCAACAACCACCCGACAGAAUCUACGGUCUCUUCCUUUGUCGAGGGGAUGUUACACCGGAUGUUUGCCGAGACUGUGUGGCUGCAGCUGCCAGGAAUGCUACUAGUCUUUGUCCCAUGGAGAAAAACUCUGUGAUUUGGUACGAUAAGUGCAUGCUACGUUACUCGAAUGAAUCUAUCUUUUCGACGAUGGAAACCUGGCCUGGUGGGACUGUAUGGGAUAACGACACUUUCACGGAAGAGGAAGACUUCGUUGACAUAGUGGCGUCUUUGGUGAAAGAUGUAGCAAGCGAGGCAGCCGAUGCUCCAAUGGGUGCUAAAAAGUUUGCGACCAAAGAGGCGAAUCUUAGCGGGUCUCAAACGCUGUACAGCCUUGCACAGUGCACGCCGGAUAUUUCCGACGUGGCUUGCAAUUUAUGUCUUGAGAGUGCUAUUACAGAGUUCUCAGAUUGUUGUCGUCAAAAAGAGAAAGCAACUCGAGCAAGUUCAUUGCUGCCUAGCUGCAAUGUUCAAUAUGGAUUAACCCCAUUUUAUAACAAAACUGCAGGGGAAGUAUCCAGGUCCAAGCCAUCUCCUCUGCCGCCAAGAGAUUCAGGGAAAGGGAAGAUCUCAUCACAGACAAUUAUUUACAUUAUUGUUCCAACGGUUGGUUUCUUAGUGCUUUUGUCAACAUUUUGUUAUUGCAUUCUAAGAAGGAAAGCAAGGAUGAAACCCUAUUUGCUAAAGGACCAGAAGGGUACUGUGGCCGUUGUCUUAUAUGUUAGCAUAUGGUUAACAAUUCAUAUUUACUUUUUCUAUUUUUUUUUUCAUAUAAAAUUACCCUGUAAUUAAUAUCAUAUCAAUUGUCUGUAGAUAAAAGCAAGGCUAGAACCAUGAAUUCUUUACAAUAUGACAUGAGCACAAUUGAAGCAGCUACAGACAAUUUCUCUGAUGCAAACAUGAUUGGUGUGGGUGGAUUUGGCAGUGUGUAUAAGGUACAAGUUGGUAGUAGAAUUGUAGAUUUGUCUAAAUCCAUUAACCAUACAGCAAUUCGGACUAUUGAGGAAUGCCUAUGGUAUUUAAUCAGGGUACACUUGCAAAUGGACAAGAAAUUGCAGUGAAAAGGCUAUCAAGAAGUUCUAAACAAGGUGCAGAGGAAUUCAAGAAUGAGGUUGCGUUGGUAGCCAAGCUUCAGCACCGGAAUCUCGUGAGGCUGUUGGGAUUUUGCGUUGAAAGAGAAGAGAGGAUGCUCAUCUAUGAGUUUGUCCCCAACAAAAGCCUAGACUGCUUCCUCUUUGGUCUGCCCCUCUUCAACUUAAAGCUUUCACCAAAAGAUACAUAUACGUUAUGGAUUAAACUGUUACUUAUGGACAUUGGUAUUUCUUAUUUUGAACAACAUUUGAUCUAGAUUCUGUCAGUUCCAUAGUCUUGAUGCCGUCUUGUAUGCAGAUACUGAGAAGCAGAAACAAUUAGAUUGGCCAACACGUCUCAAGAUUAAAAGGAACCGCUCGUGGACUUCUAUAUCUUCAUACAGAUUCAAGGCUGAAGAUUGUACAUCGUGAUCUCAAACCUAGCAAUAUCUUGUUGGAUGAGGAUAUGAAUCCCAAAAUAUCAGAUUUUGGAAUGGCUAGAAUUGUUGAAGAAAACCACAACCUCGAAUAUACCAAGAAGAUUGUUGGGACAUAGUAAGUUUCCCAUCCCAUAAUCUUUAUUUCAACAACUGAUAAAUAAAGUCUAUGUUUCGGGAAAAUUCCAUAAAAUUUCCUGUUUUAGUCAACAUAAGCAUACUAAUAAAUACCCUCGUCUUAGUGGUUAUAUUGCUCCAGAAUAUGCAUUGCAUGGGAUAUUCUCUUUCAAAUCCGAUAUGUAUAGCUAUGGCGUGUUGACGCUUGAAAUUGUUGGUGGCAAAACGAACACCAGUUUCUAUAAUCCUGAAAGUUCUGAGAACCUUCUGAGCUAUGUAGGUCCAGCAUGAAAUUUCAAUUUCAUCAUAUAAUUUCCUAUGAAGUGAUAAAGCACCAAUGUUGGGAUCAUUACAGGCUUGGAGAUAUUGACAGAGAGGAGGCCACUGGAGAUAAUGGAUCCGACUUUAAGAGAUUCUUAUGUGAGUGAUGAAGUCAUUAGGUGCAUUCAGAUUGGUUUGCUGUGCGUCCAACAAAAUCCAAAGUCAAGGCCGACCAUGGCUAGAAUUGUUCCCAUGCUUAGCAGUUCUGCUAUUACUUUACCAGCACCACAACAACCUGCCUUCUUUUUAGGAACAAAGACAAGAGGAAGCACCUCAGGAGAAGAGAUGGGAUUGGAUCAAUCAACAAGGAAGUUCCAAUGCUCAACAAAUGAUGUAUCUAUCACCGAAUUUUACCCUCGGUAGCAAGUUGAGUCCAUUCUUUUGAAAAGAAAAUUGAUGUAAACUGUUCUUCCAUUAAUUCUAUGGAAAGGUUCUAAUUUGAAGCUUCUUUGUUAAUUAUUACUACGUUUAUUUAUAUCAAAGAAGCAUUGAGUAUCUAGACAAAGAUUCAGAAACUAAGCAAUGCAAGUACUAGGUACCAUGUUAGAACUUCACCGAGGAUCUAGUUCAGAAAUUGAAGCCUCGUUGACUGACACUUGAAUGGUUUCUCGUUUAGAUUGAUUGGAGAGUGAUGAUGACUGAGACUUCGUUUCUGUCUCCAAGGUGGAAUGCAUGGAAAAUGCAGGUCUUGAUGGCACUGGCAGUGAUAUGGAAUAGCUACUAAGCAUGAGAACGACAGAGGCCAUGGUUGGUCUAGAAUCAAUAUUGUCUUGAACACAAAGCAACCCAAGAUGGAUACAUCUCAUUAUUUCACUUCUGGAGCCAUCCCUCAGGAUUGGAUCUACUACUUCCAAAGGAGUUCCUUCACUCCAGUUUCUCCAUGCCUGCAAAACUCGAGGAAUGUGAACUUACAUUGUGUGUUAGCAAAUUCUAAUCCAGUAAUACGAUAACCACUGUAUGCAGCUUACAUGGGUUAGAAGAGAGUCUCCCACUUCUUGGUUGGAGAAGCUAUUGAUUUUUUUACCACUAAUGAUUUCCAAAACCAAUACUCCAAAGCUGUAAACAUCGGAUUUAACUGAAUAUUGUCCAUGCCAUGCAUACUCAGGAGCCAUGUAUCCACUGUGGAUAAAUAAAUCUUAAUGAAUGAACUUAAAUGGUAGCUAAAACAUCCUCUAGAAGAAGUGCUAAUACUUAGGAUCUUUGAGUUUUAGAUAUCACAAAGUCAACAAAUAACAUAUACAAACAGAUCCGUCUUAAUACUUACUAGGUCCCGACGACUUUGCUUGUGUCAGCUCGAGUUUGAUCAACAGUAAACAAUUUCGCCAUUCCAAAAUCUGAGAUUUUAGGAUUCAUCUCUUCAUCUAACAAUAUGUUGGCUGGUUUUAAGUCGCGAUGGAUGAUUCGGUACUGAGAAUCUUCAUGAAGAUAAAGAAGUCCCUUAGCUAUUCCCUCUAUAAUUUUGUACCUCUUCUCCCAAUUUAGUAGUAAACACUUUACUGGAUCUACAAAAUUAGAAAAAUUCUAGGACUUAAAUGCACAUUCAGAAUUCAAAAUGUUUAUACUCAUGUGAUUAGUCAUGAACCGAAUAGUAAAAACCAGAGUUCUGAAACUUUUCACCAAUAUAACACAACUUGAACUGUAUUCUGCCAAGACAGGCAACCUAAUAAAUCAACAAGAAUUCAAUAGGUAUAGUUUGAAAGGAUCGAUAUCCCACCGAAUAUAAAGUUAUCAAGGCUUGAGUUAGGCAGAAACUCGUAGAUGAGAAUCCUUUCCUUUUGUUCAAAGCUUAAACCAAGAAGCCUAACCAAAUUCCUGUGUUGAAGCUUUGCCAAUAACAUCACUUCAUUCUUGAAUUCUUGUUCUCCUUGUCCCGAACUUUCAGACAGCCUCUUGAUAGCUACUUUUCGUCUGUCUUCAAGCUGACCCUGGUGGUAUUUGGAACAAAGAAGAAUGAUGGCAAACACCAAUGUUUAUUUCCUAGUAUUUGUUGGAAGCCAUCAAACUGGAGGCUUCAAUUUCAUAAAUUCAGUCAUUCUGUAUUUUUUUUUCCUUCAUUGAGAUAUUAGAAAUUUUCAGAGGCCAAAUCAUGAAUUACCUUAUAAACAGAACCAAAUCCCCCUCGUCCAAGCAAGUUGGCGUCUGAGAAGUUGUCUGUUGCAACUCUUACAGCAUUAAAGCCAAACUGCAAUGAUUCCCCAUGGGUCUUGUUAUCUGCAGCAUAACAAAGAAUCAAUUAAGUUAUAGCAAAUGAAUAGGAGAGGAAAGCAUCAAAGCUACUUAAAGCUAACCACAUCCUGUUGUGUGUGUGUGCGUGUGUGUUUCUUUUUUUUUUUUUUUUUUUUGUUUCUAGAUUUACAUAAUCGGUAUAUGAUUUCUAAAGAAGUAUGAAACAAUGCAUAAACAUGGCAAGGGGUCGAUCUUUGGCGAAGUAGUCAAGUUAGGACUAUAGAAAAGAAAAUCAAAGACCAACUUACUUUGAUCAUCCCGCUUUGUUUUUUUUAUCCUUUUAAGGAGAACAGCAACUGCAAGUAUGAUAAGUACUGCCACCAAGAUGACUAUGGGAACAAUUAUAAUGGCAAUGGUAUGGGAUGAAUGGCUGCCUCCGUCCCCUGCACAAGCAACAACUUUUCAUUUACAUCAAUUUCUUCCUGAAACCAGCAUGCCAUCUAGCAGAUAGGUAGUUACCUUUCUUGCUUGUAGAGUUCACUGACAGUGGCGGAGGACUAGCAGGAGAAGGUGGAGGAGAUAAGGAUGCAGCAGUAGAAGCAUUGCGUGUAUAGAAAGGAUACAAAUCCCAUCUGAACCAACAGUUAGGCUUCUGAACAUAACCUCCCUGCUUUCCACGGCAACAGCUUUCAUAGUAACUCACGGAUUGCCUUAGGCAGGAAUCACAAUCCUUGUGUGAUAAAUCUGGAGUGCACUGCAUAAGUGCAUGUAUCGUUUGGAAUGCUGUAAAAUCUGCUUCCCCGGUUGCAUACUUAGUAGAAGACCCGCUGGAAGCCUUGCUCACCACUCUGUCCAUCAAACUCUCCCAAAUAGUAUCAAAUUGAGUUAAAUUGGAAGUGAUGUCGGCCGUAUUAUAGCCUGCAUCAGUGGGUUGUAGCUCCAGGGUUCCAAAAAAGGGGCGAUUUGCAUAGCGUGCAAGACAAGGAGGAUCAGCUCCCCAUGAAAGGGCUUCUUUCGGUUGGGACAGCUAGCUAUGAGAUCCUGGAUUGAGGAAUUGAGACAUGUAUAACAACCGUUUGGAGUAGAGUCUCCUCUGCACAUACCAAGAGCGCAAAUUUUGUUGGAGUUUUGGCCGAUACUGGCAAUAGAGAAACCACCAUUUGCAGAGACAUUAGGUAGGAGAGAAGCGAGAAUAAGGUCUCUGUUUUUGCCAUAUGUACUAUUAAGGGUGAAAUUACCAGUGUCAUAGCAUCGUAGGUUAGCAUCAACGAGAGCAAUGCCGAUAAGCAGAUGGGAGAGAAUUGAAGAAAGAGCUUUAAGUUUAAUCCACAUUUUGAGAUUCUAUAAUUUCAAGGAACCAAAAUCGAGAAAAAAGAAGUGGGAACUUAGUAUUCCAGAUAUGUUUCGACAGAGAUGGGAAGUAUUUGUGUUUAGGUUUCCUUGCCUGGUGUGGGAGAAAGAUUCAAGAGCGCCCAUUAAAGCAAAAAGGUCUAAGCUGUUAAAAGUCGCUCGAAACUUAAGACUUCCAUUCCUCAGUGUUACCUGUGUGAGUGAGGUAGGUCUAGUUAGUGGACAAUGAAUCGGAGCGUGACCACUGGCUUCAAUCCAUGCUAGGAAGCUUGGUUUUCGGGUUAUCUUUUUGACAAAAUUUCGGAAAAUAAUUUCUCGCUUAAUUCAUUAUGAAAACUCGUAUAUGUUGAAUUGGAUGGUUUUGUCAGUUUUGAAAAUUCAAACUCGUUUUCUGUGGUACGUAUUUUGCCACAGUUCCCACUUCCUUUCCAAGUUUCAUUUGCUUCUUGAGUUUACUACCUGCCUGUCAGAGUAAUUACUCUUGUUGGGCUAAUUAGUGCAGUAUAUUGGAUUUUUUUACGUAAAUAAUUCAAAAAAUAUAAAUAACCUAUAAUGAAAAUUACAUGAAAUCUAUAGUGUCAAGCGAUACCGGCACUCCGAUGGUUGGCACCAAAGUUAAUCACCGUGUAAUGAUUGCUUGUUGAUUGGGCUGAGGUUUAAAAAAAAAUAUUUCACUUUUGCGGCGUCUACAUGGUCGGCACCGGAAAGAAAACUCAAAUAUUCUUUCAGUAUUUUUUUAUGUUGGCACUUGUGGUAGGUAAAAAAAAAUUUUGGUCCCGUGUUUCUCAAGACUGAAACCCGGGUAAGAAAAUAACUUCUUUUUGGUAUCGGCCUUCCCCAUGCCUCAUCGGUUAUUCUUUUGUAGAGAAAAUAUUUUUUUUAAAAAAAACUUUGGUGUCAACCUUCUAGUUGCUGACACUAGUAUUUUAUCAAUAAUAUAUAUAUUUUUGGUGUAGGCCUUCCAUCUAUCGGCACCCAUGUUUGAAAAAAAUGAAAAUUUUUUUAGGGUGCCGGCUAUCUUCGUUGCCGGCACAAAUAGGCUAUAUAUUGAUUUUUUUUGUCUGUUUUGGUUGAGUUUUUUUUCUUUUUUUUUCUUUAAUAGUUUAAAAGAAAAAAAACCAAAGAAAUAUCAAUGUUUCAUUGUGAAUGAAACAAAUUUUGUUGAAGAUGAAUAACCAGAUGUUAGUGUAUGUUCAUUUCGAUGAAAAAAUUGUAAAUACAACUGAAAUGCUGGCGGAACAAAAGUGGAAGAUCAAUGUUGUAACACCCCUAACACAUCUUCGUCGCGGGGUUAGGCUUAUAGAGUAUUACAACAUACAUCACAAGAAUUACUAACAUUUAACUAUUCAAAUAUAAAAUUAAAUAACAAAAUUCAAAUUCAAAUGUUAUUCAUAAAAUAAAUACGAUUAUUGACCCUAAAUCAGACAUACAGAGCUUUUAAAAAAUAAUUUAGGAACAAUCAAGGACUAAUUUGAAACAAAACUGAAAGUUUUAGAAAAAUUUAAAAAUUUUGAAAACAAGGGUCAUACGGCUGUGUCGCAAGAUAUGUCCCCGACUAUGUGACACACUAACUUGGAACACACGACCUUGUAAAAUGACCAUGUGCAACACACGGCCAUGUAACAGCCAUGUCUCAGGCCGCGUGCCCCUAAUUUUUCCUUCAAAUGCAAGUUUACCAAAACGUGCUUACUUGAACAUCAACACCUUAUUUACCAACAAUUAAACAUAUUCAAAACACACUUGAACAAGCCCAAAACAUGCAAAAAUCAUCUAACUUAAGUUCCUACCCAAUGUGUCUUCAUUGACACCACAAUUCAUUUAACAAACUUAUCCACAAAUCAUAUCAAAUAAGUUACAUUCUAACCUAUGAGUUCAUACAUAAAAACACAUACCAACUUAUCAUGUUAUUUUACCUAUUCAUAUUCAAUUCUACCACAAUGCAAACAUUUCUAGAUUAUUUAUAUCAACUAAUCAAACCCAAGGUUAUAUGCACACUUCAUUCCAACACAAAAGGCCUAAACAUAAGUGGUCUAAAACCAAGCUUAAACAUCUUUACAUCACCCAAAUAUGAACACAUAGAAAUAUGUACUCAACUUAAGUACAAAACACACCUAUUACAUUACAAGUUCCAUGCCAUAAUUGAAUUUUCAUACCAUUAACAAGCAUAUUAUUAACCAAAAACAUACAUUCAUCGCACAAAUAUAGAACAUACCAUUUUUAAUAAGUACUUUAAACAUAUACAAGAUACUCUUAUUACAUGUCACAUAUCUCAAAAAUAAAUGUUUUCAAAAUCUACCAAAAAAAGUCUGGAUAGUGUGAUAUUCGUGUUGAUCCAAUUUCCCGAUUCUGCAAAAUAUUAUCUACAAGGAAAUAAGAAAUUGAAGUAACUAAACUUUUACGAUCUUAGUAAGUUCACAGGUUGAAAUGUUUUAACUUACCAUAUAAUCAUAGUUUUAUAAAUAGCAAAAACAAUAUCUAACAUUAACUAUGUCAAUCACAACCAUUCAACAGGUGAAUUUCGUAAAUACGAGUUAUUUAAUCACUUCAUUUAUAAAGUAUCAAUCAUUAUCAAGUCACGAUAUAACAUUGGAAAUCAUGAAUACAUGUACAAAUCUUUCACAAGAAAAUAUAACUAAAUAUCAGUUACAUAUCAUCAUUAAGUCAUUUAACCGUUAAAAAUUCAGCCUAAUGAACAAUACAAACGGAUAUGGAUACGUAGUUAUCCACCCAAAACUAGCAAAAAAGCUCAUACAAGCCAAACCAACCGAGAACAUGCCUUGGCACCAAGUGCCUAGCCCAGAAGCUAACAUCUCUCUAGAAACACGGCUGGACACCAAGUGCCAAACUCGAAGACUUUACAUCCGCCUUCGGUAACACGCCAAAUCACUGUAAAUAUAACACGGAAGUCCACAACAAAUGUUAGACUCCAGUAUAUUCAGUGGACAAUAACAAGUCAGGAAUCAUCAUCUCAAUACAAGUUAAUCCCAUACAGCGCGUAAAAUAAUCUAUUGACAUGCGAAUUGUAUUUUAUCCUAUGUUCAUUCGGGCUCGAUAUACAAUACCGCAUAAUAUCUUAUAAUACAAUUUCAUUACUCACCUUGAAUAAUAAUUAUGAUUAUUUCAUUAAAUAUAUAGUCAAUAAAUCAUAAAUCACAAGUUAAUAAAAUUUUGCAAAUUACUUAGUAGUGCUAAAUUGCAGAGAUGGCAAAAUUCAAGGACUAAUCAGCAACUUUUGCUUUUCCACGAUUAUCUAUUUGUUCUUGAUUUAUGAAGUAAAUUUUAUUUCAAUUAUUAGCUUCAGCUUCAUGUAAUAUUUAAUUUAAUGCUUAUGUCUUCCUAUAUAUAAUUUUUCACAAUUACCCCAAACUUUUACACAUUAUUCGAUUUAGUCCCUACAACUGAAAUAAGUUUAUUUUCACAAUUAAUCCUUAUACCUAUUUAGUCGAAUUUAAUUGGAUUCCAAAUCAGCCCUCUAAUUCUAAAAUUUUACAAGGAAACCAUUCCAGAUUUAAGAACUUAACAAUUUAGCAAUUUAAUCCUUAAACUUAAAAACUAAACAAAAUCACUUUACAAACUAGUCCAAACUCAUUAUCAAGCUUCCAACUAAACCAUUUUCUAUAUAAAAAACCUAAAAUUCACCAAUGACAAAUUUUAAAAUCUUUAACAGUUUUGAAAGCGGAGGUACAUGUUAGUUGGACCUAGUUGCAACGAUUAUAAAAAUAUAAAAUUAUAAGAAACGAGAUAAAUUUGCACUUACAUGCAUAACCCAAACGUUGGCCGAAGCUUCCAAGUCUUUUAAAAUGGUGGUUCGGCUAGGAGAAUGAAAGAAUGAAGUAGAUGAAGUUUGAUUUACCUUUUUGUUUUAUUAUUAUAACUUAAACAUUAAAAUAAUAAACAUUUUAGCUAUAACUUAAUUAAAGUUGUAAAACCGACCACUAGUUUUAAUAAUGUGCUAUUUGCCAUUUAAAUCCAACCAUUAAUACUUUUAAAUCAAUUUAGUACUUAAAAAUUAAUAGUGAUGAAGUUUUGCAGUUUUUACGAUUUAGUUUUUUUUCUUUAAUUAACUAAUUAAACUAUAAAAUUUCUCAAUCAAACCUUCACAUAACAAAAUAGUAACUCUGUAAAUAUUUAAUAAAAAUAUUUACAGUUUGGUUUUCAAAAACGAGGUCUCGAUACCUCAUUUUUCGAAACCACUUAACUUUCAAGACAACCACUUAUACUAGUCAUUUAUUCAAUUUACUAAAAUUUCAUCAAAUCAAAAUAUAUUAUAAAUUAUAAUUGGCUCAUAUAAUUUAAAUACUAAUUAUUACAUAUUUACUUAUUAGAUUUUUGGUAUCGAAACCAUUGUUUCCGAAACCACUGAAAUUAGGUUGUUAAAAGUGCAAAGAUAGUUACCCAUUGUGGUAAGCAUAUGUCAAGAUUGUUCUACAAAUUUCUAUUUUCAACAGAUUUGUUGAAGUUCUCGGAUAUGGAACUUGUAGUUGACGAUGAUGUGGCUACAAUGAUCGCAAUUUAUUUCCCACCUGAGAUCGAGAACCCCUAACCAGUUGAGUUAUUUGCAAAGUUAAUUGAUCACGAACCCAUUCAAAUUGUCCCUCAAGUAUGUCAACAUCACAAAUUUGACUUUGAUCUUAAUGUCUAUUAGGAAGAUCAAUCAAUCUAUAGAGGGAUAUUGCAAACGUCCGAAAAUAUAAACUACGGUGGUUAUUCGUAUAACAACACAUCUCGGGCCCUACUCUAGAGAUACAUCCAGAGGUAUUGGGCACCAUAGAAGAUGGUGAUGAAGGGUCUAAAAAUGAAGAUUUGUUCCAUCAGUUGUUAGAGUAUGCCCAAGGACCAAUCAUGAGAUGGUUGUAAUUACAUACUCGUUUUACCUUAUUUAUUAAUAUAAGGAAAUACCAUUGUUAUUUCAAUUUCUUUUUGUUUGUGUAUAAAUAAAUUGAUUAAAAUAAAGUCCUCAGAAUAAUAUGAUUAUUCUUAAAAGGUCCUUAUUCAAGUAUUAUUCUGGACUUGGACAAUAAUAAUGCAUUGAGACUAAUAUGUAGUUGAUUGAUGACAAAGUGUUGUCAUUGACAUAAGGAUGUCAAAAUCAAUACAUGAGCAUGCGUUAGAGAACAACAUACUGGACUGACCCACCAUGAGUAUGUUUCUUGGAUUAUUAUGUAAUAGUCACAAAUAUUACUUAUAGUGAUAACCAUGUAUAUGAUCCUCAAACUUGAGAUCAUCAUUGUCCGAACAUCGUGAGUUGUAUAUUUUGAUAUAGUCAAACAUCUACUGUAACAGGUUGAACUAUAAAGACUAAUAUUGGAUAUACCAUAAUCCAUGUAGUGGGAUAUGAUUUAUCAGGAUAUAAUUUAUCCUUCCUACAUAAUGAGAGUAAUAUCUUGGGCCACUUGAUGAAGUAAGACUAGAAAUGCAUAGUCAUGCUCAAUUAAGUUGAUAUGAGACAUCACACUUAUUUGUUUAACAUAGUCUACUCAGAUUAUCAAGAAAUAUGAUAUUUGACUAUACAAGUGUGACUAUACCAUGAUUUGUGUCCAAUCUAGAUAUAAAGGAUAAAAGGAUAUGAUACAUGAAAAGUUUAUUAUAGAAAGUUUAUGUUGAAUCACGACUUCUUAUAACUUGGGUAGCAAUGAUGCAUUUCUAAACGCCACUCAUUGCUUGUAACAUUUGAAAUGUUCUAGUAUUACUACGAACAUUACAAGAACCUACAGGAUCAAACCCAUGGUUACAGCGAAGAGACUUCAUGCCAAUAGAAUAGGCUUAUACUCUUUUUCAUACAAUUAUGGCGAAUUCUUAUCCUUGGUGGAUAAGUAUUGCCUGGUGGGCAAGAUAGCCUGGCAAACAGUUUUUCCUGGUUAAUAGUAUCAUAUUGCGUACAAAAUAGCAUGGUGGAUGAAAUUACCUGGUGGAUACGAUUCGCAACAUCCUUCUAGAGUUAAUAUUUAUAGAAGUUAAUAUUCUUUUGGAAAGAAUAAAUUUCAAUAUCUUCCAUGAUUUUCUUUGAAAAGUAAAAGGGGAAUUAUUUCAUUAUUAAUAUACAUGAUAUUAAUAAAGUGAAUACAAUCCCAUAUUAUGUAGAAGAGAGUAAGAAAAAUCAAACUAGGUCUAGCAGCUAAAAAUUUUGGAUACUCUCUGAAAAGUUCAAGAGGAGUUUUUCUAUUCGUGCUUGACUGGGUGAACUACAUAGAGCUUGAGACACUUUAUUGCCACUAGGAUUGACAUUGUGCAAAGGAAUCCAACCAACAACAUUAUUCGCCAUUCUUCAGUUUUAAAAGGUAUAUCUUCAACCCUAUUUCAACCCUAUUCAUUACUCAAACAUGGAUCUGUGAUUGACGAUAACCAAAAUAAUUUUCCCGUUACACCAUAGGCCGUACUGGCAAUCUAACAUCAUGAUCUUGAAGAAUUUAAUGACCUCAAUUUGGAUGAGGUCUCGAAAGAUAUUUGUAACAUCCCAUUUUUUAGUGGUGUCAGAAACAGUGAUUUUGGGACCAAAAUUUUGACUAAUAAGUUAUUUUUAUUUAUUUAUUUAAUAUUUAUAGAGUUUCCAUAAUGUCGUAUUAAAAUUUGGUUAAGAAAUUUUAAUAUUUAGAUAGUUAAUUAAGUAAAAAGGAUUAAAUCGUAAAAAUUGAUAAAGUUGAUUGGUAUUAGUAAAAUGGAUUCAAUAGCUUUAGAAACCUAAUUUGGUGGCCUUAAAUGGUAAUUAAACCAUCACUAAUUAUAGAGAAUGGUUACGGGUAAGCACAUUUCUUAUUAUAUAAGUUUAAUAAAGGACAAAUUAGUAAUUUAAUGAAAAUAAAAGUAAACAAAAGAUUAAUAAACUAUCAUCUUCUCCAAAAUUUCCUUCCACCAUUGAAACACCAUGAUUAUGUAAGCUUCAGGUUCGACCAAGUUUUUAGGUGUGCAUGUAAGUUAAAUUUUAAACCGUUUUUAGUAAAUUUUAUGUUUUUAAAAUCGUUGUAGCUUAAUCUAGCUAAAUCGGGUGGUAAUUUAUGAAAUUGUUAAACGUUUUGAAAUGUGUCAUUAUUGAAUUUGUGAGAUGUUUGAAGUUUUAUGAUAGUUUUGUAAGCUUGAUAGCUAAAUAAUAUUAUUUUGUAAAGUAGUUUUUAGUGAUUUUGAUGAUUAAGGAUUUAAUUGUUAAAUUAGUAACAUUUCAUGGAAUUAUUGUGAAAUUUAGAAAUUUAUAGGAUAUUCAAGGAUUAUAAGAAAUUCGACUAGCUUUAUUUAAGCUUAAUUGUGUUCAAUUUGAUAGUUUCAGGUUUAGGGAGUAAAUUGCAAAAAAGGGUAAAGUUUAGGGGUAAAAUCAUAAAAUGUGAUUAAAAGGAUUUAAAUGCAUAAAUUUGAUUGUUUAUAUGGUUUGAAUAGAUUUAAUUUAAUUAAAUUAUACUUUAGAUCAAGAAUCUCAAAGAUCGGAGCACGUGCGAGGAAAAGGAAAAAUUGCCGAUUAGCCCCUAAAAGUUUAAUCACUUUGAUAGGUAAGUUCAUACUACUUUCUGUAGUUACAAAUUGUUAUUAAAUGUGGUUAAUUACAUAUGUAUAUAUUGCUAAAAUGGAAAUCAUACUAUAUGGUAUUAAACUGAAUUAUGUGAUAAUUCCGAUGGAUCGAGUAAAAGUCUCAUACAUGUGAUUUUUGUAUGAUUCCCAUUCUGGACUAAGCUCUAGCAUUUGUUGUGGACUCAAAUAUACAUGUGAUAUAGAUUUAGCCUAGAUUGGUAAUCUAUUAUCAUUUAAAGGUUUAGCCUGGACUUGUAGCCUUACAUGUAUCAUCUAUUUCUCAGACUUGUGUUAUCAUUGGUUUAGCCCGGACAGUAACCUGAAACAUAUAUUUUUGAAUACGAUUAGCUCAAAUGAGCAUCAUCUAUUUCUCAGACUUGUGUAUCGAUUUCUUUUACAAAGUUCUAUCGAAAAAACAAAGGAUGUGCAGUGUUCAAUUGUUUCAGUAAAAUGGAUAAAACACGAAUUCUGAGUAUAUGUAUAUUUGUUGUUUACUGACUUGGAAUUGUUGAAUAAUAUUGUGUUAAGGUUAACACUUUGAAUGACUAUAUGAAAUUAACUAUGAAUUGAGAAUGGUAAGUUAUUGAAUUGAAUUGAAUUGUAUGAGCUUACUAAGUAUUUCAUAUACUUAUUUUUGUUAUUAUUCUCUGUAAAUUUUUGGAUACUAGGAGCUCUAUCGAUAGGAUCAACAGAGCUCAAACUUAUCGUCUUCUAUUUAAGUAGAUUUUGAAGUUUUGAACUAUGGUUACUUGUGGCAUGUAUAUAGGGUGUUUGUUUUGUUCACGUUGAAUAUGUUUUGAUAUCUUGAUUGUAAUAUCUAUAUGCCAAUUUGACGUAUAUAUUAUGUUUGGCCUUUUGGUAGUGUGUGAUGAAGGUUAUGCUGAAUGGUAUUUUGGUUGAUAUAUGGUAUCAAGUUAUGGAUGUGAAUGUUGUUAGUUCAUGAUGCUAGAAUGGAUGAAAUUAAUGGACUUGGAUAAUUGUUAAGUUUUUUGUUGUAAUGUGGUGUCAUUGAGGGUACAUUGGUUAGACACAUAGGUUGAGUGUUUUUGGCAUGUUUUGGUAUGUUUAAUUGUGUUUUGAAUAGGUGAAUAGAGUUAGAAAUGAUUUGGCUUGAUACCUAAGAAAUGAAUGUUGUUUUUUUCUAGUUUUGGAAGUUAUUCUUGGUGCACACAACCUGAGGCACGGGAUGUCACACGGCCAUGUGCCACACAUGGUCAUCUCACAUGGUCGUGUGUCUAUUUAAUUUUUGUGCAAGUUUAUCCCACAUGGUCACAAGUUGUUACACAAUCUGAAGAGAAGACCAUGUGACCUUAUUUCGAUUUGCACACGAUCAGGCACAAGAUUUGGCCAUACGGCUUUGUCCUUGAACCACAUGGCCUGGACUAUGUCACAUGGCUUGGCCAUACGGUCGUGUGACCCUUAUUUUCAAUUUUUCUACAUUUUUUAGUUUUAUUUCAAAUUAGUCCUUGGUUGUUUCUAAAUUGAUUUUUAGGUUCCGUAAGCUCGUUAUGAGGCCUAUGUCCAUAUAUAUGCUAUGGAUUAUGAUUGGUUUCAAAUACUUGAUAUUUAAAGUAAUAUUUGAAUGGUUUUAUGUUGACAUUUGAUUUGAUAUGUGUCGUAAUACUCUGUAACCCUAUUCUGAUGAUGGGUUAGGGGUGUUACAAUAUCAAUAAUGAAGAGCGAUGGAGGGUCAAGAUGUACACCCCUUUAUUGAAUGAUCUUGGGGUCCACAUGUUAAGCGUAGACCCCGAUGCAACAUUUCCGCGCGAGUUCCUCAAAGACCUAGAUAUAGUACCUGCUCACCUGAUUGGGAUAUAUUCAAAGUUUAGAGAAUUGUUCAUAGGCCAAUAGUUUGAUAAUAAGAAAGACUGUGUAUACGUUACAAAAUGAAACAACAUGAAGUUGUUGAUAGACUACAAAGUAUUGAAGUCUACAAAAAAUUUAUAUGUUGAGGAAUGUUUGAGGGCUAACAGCGAGCACAACUGGCGGGUUUGGGCUGCAUUAAUGCAAAGGACUCAAAUGUGUACAAUCAAAAAAUUAGAAGAGCCCUAUACAUACACAGCUGCACGUAUGAUGUAAGACCACCGCAAACUAGAUGCAAAGGCAAUCAGCAAUUGUAUCAUGCCACUGGUAAAAUACAUGCCCACCAUUCCUGUAUCAGUCUUUAUUGCUGACAUGAAAGCUUGAUUCAACUGCAGAGUGUCCUACAGAAAAGCAUGGUGGGUGAAAUAAAUGGCGGCGAUAAAGCAGAUGAAUGGUGAUUAGGAUGCGUCAUAAAAUGAACUUCAAGGGUGGAUAGUUGCAAUAUAGGAGUAUGUGUCAAGUACUGUGAUUAAUUUGCAAACACUACCUUACAAAGGCCUAGACGAUGAACUAGAAGCAGGGAGAUGAGUUUUCCACUGAUUGUUUUGGACGUUCGAUUCUUGUGUUAGGGUCUUCUCCCAUUGCAAGCCAUUGGUACAGGUUGAUGGUACCAAGCUUUAUGAUAAGUAUAAGCAAAUACUCUUGAUUGCAGUACAAUCGAAAUGUAUUUUCGGUCGCUUUCUCUAUCGUGGAGUCUAAGAACUUUGAAUCUUGGGAAUUAUUCCUGAGGAACUUAAGAAUGUAUGUUGUCAAGAUAGAUAAUAUUUGCAUUAUCUCCUAUAGAUCGAAGGGACUAGUUGCUGCAAUUAGGUGUUCUGGGGUUCCAUAGAGGUCCGUUUACUGCAUCUGACACAUCGUCGCAAACUUCCACAAGGAGUACAAAAAUAAAGAUUGGCGCAAAGAAGUUGUGAUCAUGGGUAAAAAAUCUCGUUUCUAAAUUUAUUUGUUGAUAUUUUAUUUUUAAUCUCGUUUCUAAAUUUAUUGUAAAUAUUUUGUUUUAAUCUCGUUUCUAAUUUAUUAAAUAUUUUGAAACACCGUCAUAUCGAAAUUCAUACGUAGGGUACAAGCUAGAACCACGUUGAUUCAGGAAAAAUUUGGCGAGGCUUGAUGCUAAAAUGGUAGGGUUACCAACUUCUUUCCCACAGUGGUUAGGUAGCAUAGAGUCAUGGCAAUGGGCUCAAUGUUAUGAUGACAGGUAUCAAUAUGGUCAUAUAACGACCAACCUCAUAGAGGCGAUUAACUUCAUCUUAAAGCAUACACAUCAUUUGUCAAUUUUAGUUGUUUACUUAGUAACGUUCUAUAGGCUGGUGACAUUGAUCCCAAGAAUGGGUGUUGUUGAUGACUAGAACUGUAGUUGCCCAUCUUUGGAUGAUAUGAUUACGCUUGUGAGGCCAAAUGUUGGGGCUCGGGAUCGGGCACUGAGACAUGUUGGAUUACACCAGACGAUUGAGCUUAGUGACGAUGUAGUUGAGUCGUGACCUUUGUUGGCACAUAUGUGGUGGGACUAACCAUAAAUUGAACACCAAAUAUAUAUAGCUUCAUGUUCUCCAUGUACCAACGUUGGUACUCGACUAGAGGCAUGAAGUUAAACAUAUAACACUAUAUUUGAGGUCAUUUUUCACAACGAGUGUUCUAUUAUGCAAUAUAUUGUCGAUGUUCAACUACCCAAUUUUUUGUUCAUGUUGUGGACAUUGUCAAACCUUUGUGGAUCAUCUGGGACAUGUUGUAUGCACCCAAAUUGUCCUAACACCCGAUUAGCAUUAUGCCGCUCCACCAUUGAAAAAUCAAUCAACGGUACAUUAGUAGUCCACACAAGUUGUUGCUAGUGGAUCCACGUUGAAAUAAAAGCUGCAAUGUCUUCCCCUGAAUACAACGUUCAUACAAACUGCACAAUAUUGACAAUUUAUAUAGUUAAAUAAAUCUAUUUGAAAUAAUGUAAUUAAAAAAAGUAAAAUUGAAAAAUAAUAAUUUACUUUGUUCCCGGAGUGCGCCUUAAUCAUUUGAUGGUUUACAACUACUAUCUCUGACCUCCCAAUUCUCAAGUCAUCACCAUCUGAAAAAUAAAUUGCAAUUUUUAGCAAGUGCACGCAUAAAAAAUAAAUUUAUUUUGCAACCAUCUUUUCAUUUUUUUUUACCUAUUAACAAGUGGCCACAUGAGUGGUUAGUGACUCACUGAUGCUAGAAAUGGCAUCUUGUAUAAAGCCUAAGAUUACAACAGAAUAAGGCAACCACUUAUAUCUUGUAUCUCAUGCUUUGUCACUCGACAAAGCUCACGGUACAACAUAGUUAAAAUUACUAAACCCCAACUAUGGGAUCAAGUAUUGUUAAGAUCUUCCAAUAAGGUUGAGUACAUAUGUAGACUCUAUUUUGAUUUGAGUCCAACAUUAUCACCCCACCUAUCAACUGCAAAAUAUACGCUUGAGCAGUGCAAAUGAGCUAAUACUUAGUCGGAUUGCUCAAUAACAUUUCAAAAUUUUAUUUUAACCAAGAAAAUUUCAAACUGGUUAAUCUUCCUUCCCUAUCAUCAGGGAUGUGUUUGAGUAGAUGGCAUCAAAGGCCUCAAGGAUUGACCACUUUACUUGGCCCCGUGAUCGCAACUUGAUUUGUCGAAAUUCGAUGUAGUAGAUUAAACUAGCUUUCACACUUAAGGAGCCUGAAUACAAGUAUUUUUAUUAUAUUUUAGUUAGGUUUCUUUAGUUUUACUUACAUUCAAUAAAAUGUGCAAAUUGAGUCUUUUAUUCACUCUAAGGGUAGAAUGAGGCCUAAAGGAGAGCUAACGUACUUUGUGAGUUGCAUGAGACCAUCAGAAGGCAUUUUAGGGCAAUAUUGGAUGUUAUGUCGCAACACUGGAGGACUGAUGUUGUAACAUUUGGAACAAAAUGAAGAAAACUCAAGUCUGCCUUCGAUGUUGUGACACAGAUUGAGGGUGUUGCGACAUACCCUUGAAGAUGGCUAUAGAGGAGCAUACUGGUUGUUAUUCGUGACACAGGUCCUAGUGUGUCGCGAUAUUGACUCUGUGACGAAAACUAAACAUGAAGAAGGGGCAUUUUGGUCUACACAAUCAAACUUUUAAGCUUGGAAACGUCAGCUAACCCAGGGUUAAGGACGACGGCCACUUGAAGGCUAUAAAUAGGCUUAUUUGUCACUUGUUAUGGACACCUUUUUAAUUAACCUAGUUUCUUUCUCUAAGAUUUAGUUUUGUUUUCUUAGGGUUCUAGUUUUUAGUUUAUUUUAUUCGUUGUUUUCUUUCAAGAGAUCUGGAUUGUGGAAUCAUUCAACUUUGUGGAUUUACGCUUAAUACCAAUACAAUCAGGCUCUUUCAUUUACUCUAUCUUGUCUAUUUAAUUAGCAUGCUUUCUCUUUACAUCGAUUAUAUAUUGUUUAUGAAUGCCAUGAGGAACUAAUCCUUCUAUGGGGGAUUAGUGAGUGGAAGUAUGAUCUGUUAACUGCUUGUAGGGUUACUCAACAGAUCAACUAUUUGAGAGGAAGAACGUGAAACAAAUCAUAGGCUUGACAACCCUAGGAAGUCAUCAAGGUGGGAAUUAACCCAAAAUUGGUUCGUGAACACCUUAUCCCCAAACCAAUAUAGACUGUAAGGUCAAAAGAUAAGUAGUUCUUGCUGACUCGUUAUGUUAGUGGAAGAUCGAAAGAUUCUACUAGGGUAGUGACUAAUUGAUUGGCAAGGAGCUCGAAGUGACAAUUGAUGGAAAUUACAGAAGCGAGCUAAUCACCCAUAAUCAUAUUUGAUUUAUUCUUCCUUUUUAAUCUCUUAGAUUUUAUCUUUUUAUGUUGUUUUAUUUUUAUUAUCAUAAAAACCCUAAAAAUCAUUUAUUUUAUAUUCUUCGUACUCUAACUAAAUUUAAAAGUACUAUUAGAUCUUUUAGUGUUUAGGUUAGAAUUGAUCUAGCACUCACCUCUAUUGGGUACGAUCCUCGGAGUACUCAUCCACUCUGUUGUAAAACUAUAUAACAACUAGACUUGUAUACUUGCGGAUACUGCCUCAUAAUUCUAUAUUUUAUUGCAAUAUUCACACUCUGGUCAUUAGUACAUCUGGAGGCAGUCACAACUCCAUCAACUGAGAGCCCCAAUUGAACUGAUACGUCCUUUAGUGUAAUCAUGCACUCCCCACAUGACAAAUGAAAAGUGUGGGUCUCUGGGCACCUUUGCUCAACAAGGGUAGAUAUUAAGUUUGACCUUAAGUCGAACAUCUGAAUGAAUGUCGCAGUGCCAAAUUCGACGGCAUCCAAAUAUGGUACAAUAUGAUGGUUGGGAAUAUAUCCUGGACCAUGAAGUCGAGGCCUCAAGACCAGAUACUCAACCUGUACACAUAAUAAAAUUGAUAUUUGUUAUUUUUGACAACUUCAAUAUUCACAACUAAUGAAUAUUUUUUUAUUUACAAACUGACUCGAACAAAAUUUUUUAAAAAAUAAAUUAAAUGGUUUUAUUUAAAGACUAACUCAAACAACAUUUACAGGCUCGUUAAUCAUUAGUGUUGUAUGGUCGGAAACUCGGAUAAUAGAACUCAUUACAAUUUAUGCAUAAUUAAUAAUAACAUUAUCAAUCACCAUUCAAUUAACAACAAAUAAUUGAAUGAAUUAAAAAUAUAUUAAACAUAUUAACUUACCUUAGCACUUCAAACUUAAUACACAAAAAAUAUAAUUUCAAAAAAAAAAUUCGGUGAGGGGGUGUCAGUCGACCGAUGUGAUGGUGGAAGGGGCACCAUUGAGAUAUAUAAAAGGGGAACCAAUUGUUCCCUUUUUUUUUCUUUCUUUUAACUUUUUUUAAUAGUACUAAUAUUUUUUUAAUUCACUUAAUAAAUUGGUUUAGCAAUUUUUAAUACGGAAUUAUUUUAUUAUAAUAUUGAAUUUUGGUUUAAUCAUUUUUAGUUAAGUUUUUCAUUCCUAAAUUAUUGCAACUUUUUCGAUUAAUUAUACUUUUCCAUUACUUGAAUAUGUGUUUAUGAUUAUUGUUCACACUUAUAAAGAAUAAAAAAAUUUAUUUAUGAUUAAUUUUUUUUAACUUCUUUUUAAUUUUUAAAGCAUUGCAUCACGACUUCUUUUAUUAUUCUCGAUUUUAUAUUGGUUCGCUUGCGGAUAAAAUUUUCGACAUUAAGAACAAUAAAGUUUUUCCUAAUUUUAAAAAGUUUCCUUUCUUUUUUAUCAUACUAAUAUUUACAUUAAAAAUUGCUCAAAAACAUAUUUACCUCUACUAUUGUCCCUCUUUUUUUACUAAAUCGAACCAACUAAUUUCAUAAUUUAUGAAAAAUUCUGUAACGCCCCGUACCCGAGACCGUUUCCGGAGUCGAACACGAGGUGUUAACGGACUUAAUUCAUUACUUAAACAGCUCAUACAAUUCAUUUUAAAAUUUCCAGACAAGCUGGCUAACUGCAUCACAGUCGUUUUAAAAAUCAUAUCUCGAGUUCCGAAACUUGAAAUCCAAUUCCGUAAAUUUUUCCUGAAACUAUACUCAUAUAUCUAUCUAGUAAUUUUUUUCUAGAAUUUUUGGUCGGGCCAAUUAGUACAGUUUAUUAGUUAAAGUCUCCCCUGUUUCAGGGUUCGACUACUCUGACCUCUGUGUAUUACAAAUCAGAUAUCUCAAUGUACAGAGCUUCAAUGACUAUGUCGUUUGUCUCCAAUAAAACUAGACUCAAUAAUGAAUCUGUACAUAUAAAUCAUGACUUCUAAUUAUCUUUGUAAAAUUUAUGGUGAAUUUACAAAGUCAGAACAGGGGAUCCAGAAAUUGCUCUGGCCCUGUUUCACAAAAAUUUAAACAUCUCAUAAAAUAUAGCUCAUAUACCUGUUUCGCUUAUUCCAUAUGAAAAUAUACUCAUCAAGAUUCGAUUCCAUAACUUAUUCAUUAUUUAAUUCCAUUUCUACUAUUUUUAGUGAUUUUUCAAAUUCACGUCACUACUGCUGCCUGAAUCUAUUUUAGGUAAAUUUUACCUAUUUCAUGGUUUCCAUGGAUUAGCUAGUAAUUUGACAUACAUAACACCAAAUAUGAUCAUGAUUAGCCAUUCCAAUGGCUAAUCAUUACCAAGCAUUUCCAUACCACUCAAUAACCAUAUCAUAAGACCAUAUAUACAAAAUGAUUAUAAUGCUAUACAUGCCAUACUCAAAAUAUACAAGCCAUUAUGCCAAGAUGGUAUACGGAUAGUGUGAGCGAGCCUCCGACCGUUCCCGAUUUCUGAGCUGGCUUGUCAAAAAUACAAGGAAUGAAAAGGAGGGAGUAAGCAUAAAUGCUUAAUAAGUUCACAUGCAAAUAGCAAGUAACAUAACCAUAUAAGCAAACAUAAAACAUCAUUUGCAUAAUCAUCACCAAGACAUUCAUAUCACAUUUUCAUUUAUCAUCUUACCAUAUUGUUGUUAUAUCGAUUUUUCAACCCGAGGGUUAAGUACAUACCUGUUCAAAGUAACCAUUUCACAACACUUACCAAUACGUCCCUUUCAUCUUGAGUAUUCCUCCAUUUCAGUAGAACUUUACCCGUUGAACACAUCGGAAUAUAAUUCGGAUACAUGGAAAGUUUGCACAUAAGUGCCACAUAUGUAGCCAAGCUACCAUGUAACCCGCCCAUAAGCGAACUCGGACUCAACUCAAUGAGCUCAGGCGUUCGCAUCCAUAAGUGAACUCGGACUCAACUCAACGAGUUCGGACGCUCGCAUCCAUAAGUGAACUCGGACUCAACUCAACGAGUUCGGAUGCCCAAAUAUCCCAGUGACAUGUCACUUGUAUCCUAAUCCAUUCAUAAGGUUCAACGGGUAAUUUUUCCCAAUCAUAUGUCUCAACCAUCUUCUAUGGAAUGUCGAUACCGAUACUCGGUAGUAUUUCACAUUUUCCAAGUAUAUCACAUAAUUUGACAUAUUAUCAAACAAUUGUCACAAGUAUGAUAUUUCAUAAUAAUUAUCAUAUCAUUUAAAUAACAUUAAAAUAUUUAAAACAAUAACUAUGUUACCAACAUUUACAUAUGAACUUACCUCGUAUGCGAAAAUGGCUACUUUUACCAUUUCGUCCACAACUUGGUAUUUUCCCCAUUUUAGCUCGAAUUUCAGUUUUCCUUGCUCUAUCAUUUAAAAUAUAGUCUAAUUAGGACUCACAUUAUUCAAAUUGACCCAAAAUCAUAUUUUGGAAAAAUUACAAUUUUGCCCCUAAAAUUUUGCAUAUUUACACUUUUGCCCCAAAUUUCGUAAAUUAAACUUCAGCCUAUUUUCUUAUGUUUUAUGACAUGCUGAUCAUUUUUCCCUUCUAUGGCAACAUCAAAUUCUGACUCUAACAUGUACUUAUGACUAUUAGGUAUUUUUACCGAUUAAGCCCUUUUGCUCGUUUUCACUUAAAACCGAGUAGCACAAGUUGUCUAACAUAAUUUAAAACCUCAUAUUCUAUCAUAAAACACCAAAAUACACAAAUUUCACCUAUGGGUAUUUUUCCAAAUAUAAACCCUAGGUUAAAUUAUUGCUAGCAUAAGCUAAAUCGAGCUACCGGGACUCUAAAAACAUAAAAAUCAUUAAAAACGAGGCUAGAACAGACUUACAAUCGAGCUUGGAAGCUUGAAAAACCAUAUCCAUGGUUUCUCCUUGCUAUAUUCGGCCAUGGGGUUGAAGAUGAGCAAAAUUGGCUUUUAAUUUUGUAUUUUAAUUCAUUUUACCCCUAAAUGACCAAAAUACCCUUACUACUAAACUUUCCAAAAAUUCCAUCCAUGUCCAAUUUUUGUCCAUAGACUUAGAAAUUGGUAAAAUUCUAUUUAAGACCUCCUAAUUAAUAUUUCAAAACAAUUUCAUACUAGAAACUUCUAGAAUACAAGUUUUGCAAAUUAUUCGAUUUAGUCCCUAAUUUCAAUUUAAGCACUUUAUGCAUAAAAUUCCUUCACGAAAUUUUCACACAAUCAUUCAAUCAUAUCAUAGAACUUAAAAUAAUCAUAAAAUAAUUAUUUCUAUCUCAGAUUUUGUGGUCACGAAACCAUUAUUCCGACUAUGCCCAAAAUCAGGAUAUUACAAAUUCUCCAGGUGCAAUAAUACUAACUAAAUUUGGUUCAAUCAAAUUACAUAGUUGCUAAUGUAUUUUUAAAAGUAUUUUCUUCAGUUCAUUCAUCUUCUGCUUGAAUUAGGUCCAUCGAGAAUCUCAUAAAAAUCAACUUUGCUUAAUUUUCAUCCAUCAUGGAUCCAGUGAGCCAACGGUGCUUUUAGUAAGACUAGGUCGGCUACCCUCAAUCAAAUAUACCGAUGUUGCUUAAUUUUAUUAUUAAUUGCGUAGAAAUCGCAAUGACUUCUCUUAUUCGAGCUUCCGACCAAACAAUGCUAGUCCGAGCUUCAAUUGGCUUCAUCACGAAUCUCGUGCGCAAAGUUUUGGGUUUUCAUGAUACAAGGUUUGGUCGGCAAAGAUUUCCAUCUACUCGUGUAAACCAUAAUCGGCACCUCCACCCUUUGAUAGCAUAGCCUUUAUGGUUCUCGUGACAAUAUAUAUUUCAACUCCAUUAGUGCAUAACUAUCAAUCGAUAAAUGACACAUCCAGGUGAUGAAACACUACUCAAACAGAUAAAACAUUUUCCGACCUCUCUCCCCAAUUAUUAAGAGUUACAUUUUUUCCUAUGUUCUCUCCCUCUCUUUUAUAUUUUCAUUAGGGCAAUUUCAAAAUAAAAAAAAUGAAAUUCUCGCUUCCCUUUUUAUCAAAACCAAUGUUCAACCACGGUUGGUAUAUUUAGCCUAUUGUUGCCAACAACGAGAAAGUUGGGACAAUUAUUUUUAAACACAAGUGUCAGGAUAGUGGCCAGUGCAAAAAAAUAUUUUUGAUGAAACACGGGACCAAAAUUUUUUUACCUAGCACGGGUACUGACCAGCACAGUGUCUGUACCAAAAAAUACCAAAAAAAUUUUGCAUUUCUUUUCUCGAUGCCGGCACCUGAUAAAAAAUUAAUUUUUUAAAUUGGGAAAUACUCGCAUUUUUCAAAAAGUAGACAAAAAAAUACAUAUGAAUGCCGACCAUUGCAAUGUAGACAACUAAAUUUUUUUUAAACCCUGACCCAAUCAACAAGUAAUCAUUACAUGGUGAUUGACUUUGGUGCUAGCUAUCAGAGUGCCAACAUCGCCCGACACUGUAAGAUUCAGAUUAUUUUCGUUAUAGUUUUUCAAUUGGGUCAUUUUCAUAAAUAUUUAUAUUUUUAGGUUAUUUUCGAUAAAAAGCCAGUAUAUUGUUUUGGGACUCCAUCCUUAUGCUUUUUGUUGACAACAUUGAUUAUUUGAUUCUUUUUAACACCUUAACUUCACAUGGCAACUUGAAUAUUUAAACAUUUUUUAAAUUUAAUUGGUACAUAAAUUUGAAACUGUAAACUAAUUUGAUACCCUUUUUUAGGUACAUGAUUAACCCGAUAAAAUGUUGACAUGACAUUGAUGAUCAAUAAGAUGAUAACACGUGGCAGUCUCAAAUUUUGACAUGUUGAAAAUUAUAAAAAAUUAUAACUUUUUUACACAUAAGAAAAUGAUGUGUCACGAACUUAACUAAAAAUUUGAUUAAGGCAAGUGCACCUAUGAAUUUAUAGUAUAACUACAAAGAGCAAAGAUAUGGUUCCCAUGAAGACUAAAAGUACUAGUAAUUAUUGUCUUUCUAUUAUUUAACCGAAUAAUUUGAGUGAUUGAUUAAAAACCAAAAUUAUCUAAUUUAAUCAACUAACAAACAUGACAAAGUACAAAUCACAAAAAUAAGCAAGUAAUAACCGAGAAGUGAAACAAUACCCAGGAACGAAUUCACCUAGAUAUCCUUUUCAUUUUCAAUCAAAAUUACAAUAUUUCUUUACAUAGAACCUCGACCCGUAGGAAUCCCUGAAUUAUGCUAAUAUCUCUUUCGAGCAUAAGAGCAACUGAACUUAGGUUAAUUAAAAUUUCUUUCUAAUUAAAAUGCCUAUUAUCGCAUUAACUCGUACUAUGGAUUCCCCUAUUAGAUUUGACUCCAAUACGGUAAAUUUAUGUCAUCCUACUACUAGGAUUGCAUGUAACUCUACUCAAUUAAGCAAGAUCUAAUCUUAAACAGGGUCUAUUCAAUAGCUAACUUAAGCACAUCAAACAUGGAUUAAUAAUCUAGAAAUAUCAAAUCAAGAAUUAAUCACACAUAAUUGAGAACAAGAAACUAAGUAUUUAUUGCAUAAAAAAUAAAAAUCAAAUUAUAGAAUUCAUUAUAGGGUUCAUCUCCCCUAAGUAUUUAGAAAAUUAGUUCAUGCUUGAAAAUAAAAACAUUCAAGACAUAUUAUAACCAAAAGAACGAAAGAAACUCAUGAUAACUUCCUAAGAAAUCAACUGGGAAUCUUUAAUCUUGAUAGAAACUACUUUAGAGUCGGCUUCAAUAAUGUUUUUCGAGUUGUUUUCUUGAAUAUUCUCUAACAGCUCACUCUCAUCUUCUUAUUUUUGUCAUAUAUACGUCUUAGAAUGCCUGAAAAACUUAAAAAUCAUGAUUUUUUGCUAUUCAAGGCGUAAUUCUAUGAAAUCAACAUGGUUUAUCACACGUCCGUGUGGGUCACACGGCCGAGUGGAAUGGUUCAACCCAUGUGGCUCCUGCAGCUUGCUCUGGUUUUUGCUUGUUUUUAGCUUCUUUUGCUCCAAAGUGCUCUAUUAAGCAUUAAAACAUGAAUUUAAAGGAUUGAGAGUAUAAAAUUCACAAUUAACAUCGAAUAAUCACCCAAAAAAGCAUUAAAAAUGAGGUUAAAACAUGUUCCUUUUAGCACUUAUCAAAUAUCCCCACACUUAAGUGUUUUCUUGUCCUCAAGCAAGAUUCUCAACCCACAUUUAAGUUAACUUUCCUCUAUUUAUUAUUUUCAUCGAUUUUGUCUUAGGAUAAUUUACAAAUAAUUUUGCAUUGGAAAUUUAAACUAAAAUGACACUAAAUAGUACAAGCAAUCCAAACAAAAAAUUUUAAAGCAUAAAAACUUAAGCAGUCACUAAGGUUCACUCAAAUCACUUAAGGUGUUUAAGGUUAAAGCAAUGUGCACUCAACAGUCCAACAAAAAAUAUUAUUAGCAUAGACUUACUUGAAAAAUCAAAUCUCCACCACUAUAUAAUAAGAUGACACACCAAUCAAGAGGUUUUUAUAAGGUUGUAACGGGGCUUUGGUUAAGGGUCGAAAAAUGUUAUAAAUUAAGAGCCGAAUUGAUAAGUUACCAAUCCAAAAAAAUCAGUUACUGAAUUAGAAGAAUUUAUAUAAACAAUAAAUAAAAAUUGAAUAUGAGCCUUUAUACAAAAUAUGAGACUAAUGAUUCAAGCUCAAUAAAAUAUAUAUAUUAGAACAAAGUAAAACUCAGCAAUACAAAAGAUAAUAUAGUCAAUCAACUAAUCAAAUUGAAUCUUGAAAAAAAGGGAGUCAAUAAAAAAAUUUUAGAACAUUAAUAUGGCUUCUAGUUAAGAGGAACGGUAGUUAAGUAAACAAAAUGUGUUAGGAUCAAUAGGUUUUACUAGGGGUUAAUUCAACGGGUAAGCUGUGUAUGGUUCAGCGGGUUAUAUCCUAAGUUCCCCUAUCAUAUGAAUAUAUCAAAUCAAUACUGUGGUCUCAACAUGUAUAACCGAAGCAAGUUCUAGAAUAACAAAUCAAGUUUACUUACCCAAAACCAAAAAUAAAAUGAGCACAAAAAAAUAGAUUCUCUAUAGGCACAAAAGCUUACAAAAAAUUAUGGUUUUGAUAUCAAAUUUGUAAAUUUAACAUUUCAAGAUAAUGCUUCAAUUUAGGGAGACAACCUAAAAUAAUAAUUUUUGAAAAUUAACUUAUCAUGGUUGACUCUCUCGUGUCUUAAAGUAUAAAUAAAACAAUGCAUAAAAACCCACAAAUUAAUCUUAAAAAAAUCAGUAAAAACUCCAAAUUUUUAAAAAUUAACUUUAAUGUUAGACUUGAGAAAAUUACUUAAAUACAAACAAAAAUUCAGAGAGUAUAUUGCAUAAGCAUACAAAAUCCUCCUCAUACUUAAGAUGUACAUUGCCCUCAAUGGAAAACAAAUAUAAUCACAGUAAACAAAAUAUCAAUGGGGAAGAAGAGAACUGAAACUACCUUAAAUUUGGAUGAUUUCAUCGGAAUAGUGAAAUCGAAAUCGUAUAAGAUCAUAAAUUAAGUACAAGGUUCCAAGCACAUUAAUAAUAAGAUAGAAAAAAAUAAAAUAAGAUAAAGAGAUAACAAAAUAGAAAAAUAGUCGAAAAAAAUAAUAGUAAAGUGCAUAAUAAAAUAAAAUAAUACAUAUAAGUUUAAAAAAAUAAAAUAAAAAUAAAUAACAAUAAAAAUAAAAGUACAAAUAAAAGUAAAAAUAAAUAAAAUAUAAAACUAAAUAAAGUCACUGAUUGACAACAUGGGGAAGGUCAGGACUGAGAGGCGCAUGUACAACAAAGGGAUCAGGUGAAGAAAUAUGAAAAUGUUGGCAUAUCUGUUGUAGAUAGGCCUCGAUGCGAUCUUACUAGCACUAAAGCUAGUUGAAAUGCUCUAAAUGUCGUUGCUCAAUGAGUUCGAUCCCCUCUGAUUGCUACUGUUGAAGGCGAUGGAUACCCUCAAGUGUAAUCAAAUGUGCAACAAUAGAGUGACUAGCAAGAGAAUUAGGAACAGGUCGCGGUGGUGGUGGGAGGUCAUCGUCUAGAUGCUCAUCAUCCACAUUCUACUGAGUCAGAUGUAGCAAAAUGUACUAAUCACCAAAGCCCUGAGCCGACAGGCGACCAUCCUCAUAUGUUUCAUUAUACCUAAACCUUGUGGUGCCAAGUCCCCAAUCAAACUGAGAGUGUCGAUCUACUCAACGGUCUCAAGGAGGCCAAAAUAACGGGCUAGACGUGUCACAUAUGGACCCAUACAGAUAGGUCUUUUACGUAGAGGCUCACUCUGAUGUUGACAAUAGUGGGCCAUAACAUAGGCUAUAUCAAUCAGGUAUUGAUAAACCAUAAUAUAUACAUACUUUUACCCCAUGCUUGGCAAAUUUUUGGAAGGAUUAUCAUAAGAUUUAAUGAAUUUGAUGCUCCUAAUCCUUUAAUUUCAUGUUUUAUACUUAGGAGAGCUUAGGAUAGCAAAAAGAGCAAGAAAAGGGCCAAAAAUGGACAAAUUGGGCCUAAUUCAGUGUUUUCACACGGCCUAGGCACUUCCACACGAGUAAUCCACAUGCCUGUGUGUUAUGGAUGUGUCAACAUUAACCAAGUCAGAAUUGCACACGGUCUAAGCACCUUCAUACGGGCAUGGCACACGGUCGUGUCCCUGUCGAGCACAAGUCUAAUUCUAUUCAAAAAAGGCUAAUUUUGGGCUAUUUUAGGCAUUCCAAAGUCUAUAAAAACACCCGAGAGGAGGAAUCAAGGGACACACAAAGUAGAAAGCAGAAAAUACUCGAAGAAUAGCCAUCGGAAUUAGCUCGGAAGCAGGAUUUACAUCAAGACUGAAGAUCUCCACUAAAUUUCUACUGAAGUUUUUGGGUUUCUUUAUGUUUUGUUAUUUUCCCAAUUUUGAGAUGUUUUCCUCUAUCAUUAUGAACUAAAUUCCUUAAAUACCUGAGGGAGAUGAAACCUAAGAUAGAUUUUAUUACUAUUAAUUAUAUGAUAAAUACUUUUUCUUAUUCUUAAUUAUGAGUUUUAAUCUUUGCUUUAAUAUUCCAGGAUAUUAAUUCAGGUUUGAUGUGCUUAUUCAGUGGAGCAAAAGUCCCUGUUUAAGAGUAGAUCCUCCAUAAUUAAGUGAAGUUGCAUGCAAUCCUAGAGAUAGGACGACAUAAAUCUGCCAGAUUAGACUGAAAUCUAAUAAGGGAAUCCAUAGGUCGAGUUAAUGCAACAAUAGGGGUUUUAAUUAGAAAGAGAUUUCAAUUAAUCAACCUAAAUUUAGUUGUUUUUAGUUUCGAGAGAGAUAAUAACAUAAAUCAAGGAUUUCUACGGAUUAAGUCAAGUGAAUAAAUUGUCUAAUUCAGAAGUAAUAGGGGAAGUCUAGGUGGAUUCUUCCUUGGGUAUUGUCUUCUCCAUCGGUUUUCCAAAAGUACUCUUCAACUUUCAUUUCUGUCGCGUUCUUGGAUAAUUAGAUAAUUGAGUUUAGUUUAGAAAACAUCCUUUCAAUUGUUAGGCUAGAUAAUAAAAAGAUAGUAAUUACUAGUACUUUUAGUCCUUGUGGAUAUGAUAUUUCUAGUCUCACCUUAACUAUACUACUGUUCGAUAGGUGUGCUUGCCUUAGUCGAAUUUUUAGUUAGUUUAGUGACCAUUAAGUUUUUGGCGCCGUUGCUGGGGACUAAGAUAUUAGGAACACUUAAUUUUUAUUACUUUAGUCAUUUUUAUUUUUAUUGAAAUUCAAUUUUGUUUUAUUUUUCUUACUAAUUUUUCUUUUAACUAUUCCUGGCAGGUUUUUGACAGUUUAUGACUAGAAGAAACCCGUCAGGACCUUUGCUUUUUAAUAGUGAAAUCGAUAGCACAGCUCCUAGAAAUUAAAGAGAAAUAAGGCGAAGCCUACAAUACAUAGAGGAAGAGCACGAGGGAGACACCAAUAACUCCGAGGAGAUGGCUAAAAAUUGAAAUAAUCCGCUGCCUUCUGUGGUUGUCGCAAACCCAGUAAAUCAGAAUCCUGCUCCUUGUACUAUGUAUGAUUAUGCUAAACCUACUUUAAUAGGAACUGAAUCGAGUAUAGUUAUACUUGCUAUUGCUGCAAAUAAUUUUGAACCAAAACCUAACAUAAUUCAAAUGAUACAACAGUUUGUUCAGUUUGAUGGUUUGCAGGACAAGGACCCAAACACUCAUUUAGCAAAUUUUCUAGAAUUUUGAGACACCUUUAAGAUCAAUGGCGUUUCUGACGAUACCAUUCACCUUCGGUUGUUUCCCUUUUCAUUAAGGAAUAUGGCCAAACAAUGGUUGAACUCGUUACCACGAGGGUCAAUCACUACGUAGGAGCAAAUGACUAAAAAAUUUUUACUCAAAUAUUUUUCACUGGCUAAAAUGGAUAAAUUGAGGAAUGACAUCUCUUCUUUUGUGCAAACGAAUUUAGAAACACUUUAUGAUGCAUGGGAGAGAUACAAGGAUCUAUUGAGAAGGUGUCCUCACCAUGGGUUACCUCUUUGGCUACAAGUUCAAACUUUCCACAACGGUUUGAAUCCCUCGACUAGACAAAUGAUUGGUGUAGCUGUUGGUGGAACUAUCAAUAAUAAGACACCUGAAGAGGCUUAUGAGUUCAUAGAAGAGAUGUCACUGAAUAAUUAUCAGUGGCAAGUCAUGAGGACAAAGCUGACAAAAGCAGUCGGUGUUUUAACGUCGAUUCAGUUGCUACGCUUUCCAAUCAGGUAGAACUUUUCAAUAGAAAAAUUGUUGGUUUACUUGGUUCUACACAGAUUCAUCCAGUAAUAUAGUGCGAUGCAAGUGGAUGUGGAACAAGCAAUUCAGAAUAUCCACCAUACGGCCCUAACAUGGAGAACGAGCAAAUGAAUUAUAUGGAUAAUAAUCCUCAACCUCAAAAUAAUCCUUAUAGUAACACUUACAAUGCAGGUUGGAAGAACCACCCAAAUUUCUCAUAGGGAGGCCAAGGGAAUCAAAGACCACCACCCCCUCUAGGUUUCCAACAACAACCUUACUAGCAAGAUAAAAAAGCCGAACCUUGAGGAGAUGAUGACAAAGUUUAUUUCAGUAGCGAAGACCCAUUUUCAGAACACCUGCACUUAAAAAUCAACAAGCAUCAAUUCAAGGGCUUGAGAAUCAAAUAGGACAGGUGGCUAAGAUGAUUUCAGAGAGACCACUAGGGAGUCUACCUAUUAACAUGGAACCCAAUCCAAAAGAGCAUGUGAAAGCAGUUACAUUAAGGAGUGGGAAAGUGUUAGAUGAAUCUGAAAAGAAGCUGUCACCAGAAGCUGACGAAAAAGAAGAUGAGGAGGUAAAACCCAAAAACAAUGAAAAACUAGUGUUGAAAAAAUAUAAACCACCAAUUCCGUACCCAGUAAAGUUGAAGAAAGACCACAUGGAUGCACAAUUUGAUAAAUUUCUUGAACUUUUUAAACAGUUAAAUAUUAAGUUACCUUUUUUUGAAGCUAUCUCGUAGAUGCCUACAUAUGCAAAAAUUUUGAAGGGGCUUCUAACAAAUAAAAAGAAGUUUGAAGAAUUGUCUACAGUGGAACUAAACGAGCCAUACUCCAGAAUAAACUGCCAACCAAACUAAAAUAUCCAAGAAGUUUUACUAUUCCCUGCUUAAUUGAUAAUUUAAAUGUUGAGAAGGCACUAGCUGAUUUAGGCGCUAGCAUUAAUCUUAUGCCUUACAAAAUGUUCAAGCAACUUGGCCUUGGGGAACCAAAACCUAUUAGGAUGAGUAUUCAACUAGCUGAUAGAUCUGUUAAAUAUCCUAGGGGUAUUAUCGAGGAUGUACUCAUAAAAGUAGAUAAAUUCAUAUUCCCUGUUGAAUUUUUUGUGCUUGACAUGGAUGAGGAUGUUGAGGUGCCUUUAAUUUUAGGUUGCCCAUUUUUAGCCACUACUAGGGGUGUUAUUGAUUAGGGUAACAGUAAACUUAUGCUUAGCGUAGAUGACGAAGAGAUUAUUUUUAAAAUUUAUGAUGCCAUGAGAUUUUCUAAGGAACAAGCUGACUCCCAUUAUUUUAUUGAUUCUAUUGAUCAUGCUACUCAAGAUUCUUUACAAGAAAUCGUACAUAAGGACACGUUGGAACUGUGUCUUGCCCAAGGAGAGGAGGUAAUUGAUGACGAUUCUAUGAUAGGUAAGGUAAAAGCUGAACUAAAUUCUAAUAAGCCUUCACUGAGACAGCAGAGCUAUGAGGGUAUUGAGGUAAACAAUGAAUUAAAAUUAAAACCCUCUGUUGAAUAACCUCCUAAAUUGGAAUUAAAGCAGCUAUCAAAUCACUUACAAUUUCUUGGAAAUAAUUCCCCAUUACCAGUGAUUAUUGCUUCAGAUUUAUAGCCAACCGAAAAGGACAAGUUACUUCAAGUGUUGAAGGAGCACAAAAGAGCCAUAGCUUGGAAGAUUUCUGACAUAAGAGGGAUCAGCCCAUCUUUUUGCACACAUAAAAUUUUAAUGAAAGAUGAAUAUAAAUCUUGUGUGCAACCUCAAAGGCGACUGAAUCCUAACAUACAAGAAGUUGUAAAAGCUGAGGUAAUUUAACUCCUAGAUGCUGGAAUUAUUUAUCCUAUUUCUGACAGUUCUUGGGUGAGCCCUGUGCAGGUUGUUCCUAAGAAAGGAGGCAUGACUGUUGUGGCCAAUGAGAACGAAUUAAUUCCAACAUGAACAGUCAUAGGAUGGAGAGUUUGCAUUGAUUAUAGGAAAUUGAACGAUGCCACAAGAAAAGAUCACUUUCCCUUACCGUUCAUUGAUCAGAUGUUGGAAAGAUUAUCUGGGUAUAUGUAUUAUUGCUUCCUAGAUGGACUCUCUGGUUAUUUCCAGAUCCUAAUAGCUCCUAAGGACUAAGAGAAAAUGACAUUUACAUGUCCAUAUGGUACGUUUGCUUAUCGAUGAAUGCCUUUUGGAUUAUGUAAUGCUCCUGCUACUUUUCAGCGAUGCAUGUUAGCCAUUUUUUAUGAACUCGUAGAAGACAUUAUGAAGGUAUUUAUGGAUGACUUCUCGGUAUUCGGUAACUCUUUCCAUCUUUGCCUUGAAAAUUUAAAACGAGUUCUAAUGAGAUGUGAGGAAACGAACCUUGUACUGAAUUGGGAAAAAUGUCACUUCAUGGUUUGUGAAGGGAUUGUGUUAGGCCACAAAAUUUCUAGCAAAGGAAUCGAGGUUGACAAAGCAAAAGUUGAAACUAUUGAGAAAUUACCUCCCCCUAGUUCAGUUAAGGCUAUUCGAAGCUUUUUAGGUCAUGCUGAUUUUAUAGAAGAUUUAUUAAAGAUUAUUCUAAAAAACCUAAGCCUUUAACGAAUUUACCAGAAAAAGAUGUGCCUUUCAAUUUCAGUCAGGAAUGUUUAGAAGCAUUUAAUACUCUUAAGGAUAAAUUAAUUAAUACUUCAAUUGUAGAUGCACCUGAUUGGAAUUUACCCUUUGAACUAAUGUGUGAUACGAGUGAUUUUACAGUGGGUGCGAUUCUUGGACAGUGGAAAGACAAACACUUUCAACCGAUCUACUAUGCUAGCAAAACAUUGACAGCCACACAAGAAAAUUAUACGACGACUGAGAAAGAAUUGAUGGCUGUGGUUUUUGCAUUUGAUAAAUUUAGACCAUAUUUAAUAUUAUCUAAAGUUUUCGUUUACACUGACCAUUCAGCUCUUCGAUACCUCCUUACUAAAACAGAUGCAAAACUUUUACUAAUAAGAUGGAUUUUAUUGUUGCAAGAAUUCGAUAUAGAAAUUCAAGAUAAGAAGAGAGUAGAAAAUCUUGCAGCAGAUCAUCUAUCUAGAUUAGAAAACCCACAUCUCAAGGAGCUUGAUGAACAUGAGAUAAAUGACUCAUUCCCUGAAGAACAACUCUUUGCUAUAUCUAACUUCGAGGAACCUUGGUUCGCAGACAUUGCAAAUUAUUUAGCUGCUAACAUUACACCAAAAGGGUUGACACAUCAGCAAAAGAAACGCUUCUUUAUUGAUGUGAAAAACUACUUUUAGGAAGAUCCUUUUGGUUUUUUGUAUAUGUGCAGAUCAAGUCAUUAGAAGAUACGUCACAAAGUCAGAAGCAAUUAGAAUCUUGGAACAUUGCCACUUAGGACUGACUGGAGGACAUUAAAGUGGGACUAGGACCACACAUAAAACACUCGAAUCAGGUUUUUAUUGGCCCACACUAUUCAAAGACGCCAACAGGUAUGUUACUUCUUGUGAUAAAUGCUAGCAAACAGGUAAUAUAUCUAAACAUGACGAAAUGCCUCAAACGUACAUGCUUUUAUGUGAAAUAUUUGAUGUAUAGGGUAUUGACUUCAUGGGUCCAUUCCUUAGCUCAUUUGUGAAUAAAUAUAUCUUAGUAGCCAUUGAUUAUAUGUCUAAAUGGGUGGAAGCCCAAGCCUUACCUGCUAAUGACGCUAGAGUAGUGGUGAGGUUCCUUAAGAGACUCUUCUCUCGAUUUGGAACACUUGGAACAAUUAUUAGUGAUAGGGGUACUCAUUUUUGUAAUGCUCAAUAUGAUAAAACCCUUAAGAAAUAUAGAGUUUACCAUAGAAUAGCUACCCCUUACCAUCCUAAAACUAGUGGACAAGUCGAAGUCGCAAAACGAGAGCUUAAAUGUAUCCUAGAAAAGACUGUAGAGUCAAAUAGGAAGGAUUGGGCAAAGAAAAUAGAUGAUGCUUUAUGGGCCUAUAGAACUGCUUUUAAGACCCCCAUAGGAACAUCUCUUUAUAGACUUGUUUAUGGGAAGAGUUGUCAUUUACCAUUUGAACUAAAACAUAAAGCAUUCUGGGCUAUAAAAUUUUUUAACUUUGAUCCCAAACUCGCAGGUGAAAAGAGAUUGAUGCAGCUAAACGAGUUAGAUGAAUGGCGAGCUAAUGCAUAUGAGAACUCACGAUUAUACAAGGAAGCAACGAAGUGCCGCCAUGAUGCUCGUUUAAAGCAACACAAGCAAUUUGAAGUUGGAGACCUUGUCCUGAUAUAUAACUCAAGGCUCAAAUUAUUUCCUGGGAAGCUUAAAUCACGAUGCUCAGGUCCUUUCAUAGUCCAAACCGUCUUUCCAUAUGACACAGUAGAAGUAAGUCACCCAACCCAAGGCACUUUCAAGGUAAAUGGACAUUGUCUUAAACUUUAUAACGGCGAGGAUUUUAAAGACAAUGGAGAGGAGAUACGGCUCCGCGAACCUGCUUAAAUAUACCUACAAGGUAAAGUCGAGCUUAGACUCUAAAUAAGCACUCUUCGAGAGGCAACCCGAACACUAACCCCACUAAAUAACUUUAGUUUUUUUUUCCAUUUUUUUUAUAAUCUGACUGCAGGUAUUCUUGGCACACACGGCCUAACACACGGGUGUGCCUUAGGCCGUGGGCUCACAACGGGUAAGAGAAACGGGCGUAUCUAUGGUCGUGCUAAAACAGGAUAAACAUUUUCCCCAAGACAGAAUAACACACGGGCUGCGAUAAAUAGCCACGACCAUACAAUAUGGCCGUGUACACCACACGACUAAGGGACACGGGCGUGUCCCAGACCGUAGUGAAACUGCACUUUAAUUCCCCAAAAAAUCAACAGAGGCACGUUAUGCGUUAAAUCACCAUGGCUGUGCGAGGCAGCCGUGGAAGUCACACAGUCAUGAACACGGGCGUGCUUGAGGCCAUGAGGGAACUUGCACAAACAACUGAAACUUUCAACAAGUCAGAAUACAACACGGGCUGAUGCCAUGGCCGUGCUUGAAAGCCAAACGUAAUCCUGAUUACUAGACAUGGGCAUAUUGGACUUACCACAGGUGUGGGAGAAGCGAACGAAUCACCACAUGGCCAUGCGAUGCGGCCGUGUGGCUAGACACACGGGCGUGUCCACCGGCCGUGUGCAACACUGACUUAAAUCAUCAGACCAUAAGCACAAGUCAUUAACAUAGGCAUGGUGUACCUAACAUGGGCGUGGGAGUAGUGAACGAACAUGCACACGACCGUGUGACGCGGCCGUACGCACCAUAUGGCCUGGGGACACAGGCGUGUUUAAGGGACCAUGUGCAACACUGACUUAAAAUUUCACGAAAAAAACAGGCUAGGAGCACACUACACGAGCAUGAGCCACAACCGUGUGGCCCAAAAUGGGGCUUACAUGACUGUGGCCCCCUUUUAUUCCCCUCUCCUAAUCCUAAUUUCUCCCCAUUCAUAUAAAAACUCACUAUUCACCCUUCACUAUUCCCCCAUCUUUUUCAGCCCCAUUCUCCUUCUCUAUUUUUCCUUCCCCUUUCUUUUCCUUUUCUCUUAUUUUUUCCUUCUCCCUCUCUGUUCCUUUCCUCUUUUCCCCUUUUCUCCUUCCCCUCCGAGUACCAAGCAUCGUCGCACGCUUCCGCUCCCCACCACCGACCACCACUCUCGGUUUCCUCUCUUACACCUUUAACUCCUUUAUAUUAUCAUUGUUCUAUCAUUUUCCUGUUUGACUGAUUUAUUAUUAUUACUUUUGCUUUAAUGCUUUUGUGAUUCUUCCUUAGUUAUUAAUUCAGCAAGCUUUGGACACUCGUAAUAUGCUACAUAGAUUUUAGGGCCAUUUGUUCUGUUGAGCAAAUUCGUAGUUUAUAUAUUUAGUACUCAAUUAGUUAGUUUCUUUUUAGGUAUUAUGAUUCUACUUAUUUCGUCUGCCUGAUUAAGUUACAUUUGGCUGUUUUUUCUUAUUCGUUUGGUUACUAUGUUGAUUUGAGUCAUGUGAUUACUUUUGCAGGAAACUAUGACGAACAUAAGAGGCAAGAAAACUGUUGUCCCCGCUUCUAAAAAGUGAAAAGGAUCAGGUGUGACCUCCUCGGGUCCCACCACUGAUAUACGCCAUCCAUUCCUCCAAUUUCCACCAGGGCCCCAAGAGGAAUUGUUUUAUAUUCUACGUGUCCAACCCCUUGGUGUGGGCCAUUGCAUCUAUUGGGCCGCAUUAGAGUAGGUCCACCUAGUUGACGCAGUUCGGGCCCUCCUCUCUACCGCUCUAUGGGACUGCUUCUUUGACAUCAUUGAGCCGACGUACUUGGAACUCACCUUGGAAACUUUUUCAAAGUUUCAGUUGCAGUUGGUUAUGGUGGAGUACGAUGACCUAGGCACAGUCCAAUUCUAUCUCGGUAAUCUGGUACGACAAUUGAGUGUCCUAGAAUUUGGAGUGGCCUUGGGACUUUGUACAGAAGAAUUUAUGAAGGACGAUAAUUUUCCCCAUCUCAACCGUCACAUCCAUUACGCACCUUCCUUUUUUUGGGUAGCCCUCAUGCCUGCUACAGGCAUCUAUGAUUCCAGCUGCUCCAAGGCAUCGACUCUCUCUCUGUGUAACAUCCCGAAAUAAGACCUAGUCAGAAUAGUAGUUUUGGGACCACAAAUCUGACAUCAAAUUAUUUAUUUUAUGAUUAUUAUGAGGACAAGAACAUGAAUAUAUGCAUGUGUUAAAGUUUCAUGAAGAAAUUCUAAGUAUAAGAUGUCCAAUUGGAAAUUAGGGACUAAAUUGAUUAAAUUGCAAAACUUGGAUUCUAGAAGUAAUUUGUAUGUAAUUGCUUUAGAUUAUGAUUUAGAAGGUCUUGGAGAGAAAUAUUCCCAAAUUCUAAGUUUUUGGACAAAAAUGGGCUUGCAUGGAUGAAAUUUUAAAGAAAGGGCAUAAGGGCAUUUUGGUCAUUUGGCUUUUUAAUGAAUUAAAAUGGGAAAAAUCAAUCAGCCAUUCUUCUUCUCCAUGCAGCCAAAUUUCUCUUGUCUCCAUAGCUAGGGUUUCCAAGCUUUCCAAGCUCAAUAGUAAGUGCUCCCAAGCCUCGUUUUCCAUGCUCUUUGUAUUUUUGAAAUCCCGGUAGCUUGCUCUCUCCAUUUCUACCCAUAUUUCAUGCUAGGGUUCAUGUUCAAAAAUUUACCCAUGCAUGAGUUGCUUGUAUUUUGAUAGAUUAUGGAGGAAUAUGAAAGAUAAAUGUGUGUUAAGCAUCUUUUCCUAGUUGAUUUUCAUGAGAAACCCUUAAAGGGACUAUUUUGCCAAAGAUGUAAAUGUGUGGAGAAAUAAGAAAAUAAUGGAAAAUGUGGACUACCAUAAGAAGGAUGUAAAUGUGUGGAGAAAUAAGAAAAUAAUGAAAAAUGUGGACUACCAUAAGAAGGAAAAGUGUUCGGCUAGGCUUGGGUAAGAUAAAAAGUGCAUGUGUUUCAUUAUACGAGCCUAAGGACUAAAUCGUAAAAAUGUGAAAGGCUAGGGGCAAAAUAGUCAUUUGGACCGGGGGUAGAUAUUAAACUUGAAAUGUAUAAUGUAGGGUAUUAAUGAGUUAAUUUUUUUGUUAUAGACCCCGAGGAACAAAUUUCGAAGGUCGAUCGAGGUAAACGCAAGGUUUCGAAAUAACCGAAACACAACUCUGAAAAGAAUACUAGGUCAGGUAAGUUUGGAUAACUUAAAGUAAACCCUUAAUAUGUAUAAUUGUAUGAUUUAUGAAUGCAUGAUGAUUGUAUUUAUUAUUAGCAUGAAAUAUCAUACAAAUGCAUAUUUGAUGGUAACAUGUGAAAAAUGUCUUGGUUAAGGUUGAAAAAGGGAAUUCGAUAGAUAAAACCUCAUUGAUAUGUGUAAGGAGAUCUUGCAUGUGUUGCAGUAAGGAUUUAGCCCAGACAAGUAAUCCGUGAUCUCAAGUAUGAAAAGGAUUUAGCCCGGACGGAUGUUCCUUGAAUGAUCAAGCCUCUCGAAGAAUAUGUGUGCAUUGCGGAUUUAGCCCGGUCGAGUAAUCCAAUUAGGGUCUGAAUUUAGCCUAGACUGGUAAUUCAAAUCCAAGCUCAUUAAGGGUGUUUGUCACUAUAAGGGAUUUAGCCUGGACUGGUAAUCCUGCCAUGAGAUGUGAGGUUCGCGGGAAUGCAUAUAUGUGAAAUGAUCAUUUGUAAGAAUUGACAGAUAAUGGGUAUUCCAUCGAGAUUUCCUAGAAACUCAAUGGGAUUAAUAAGAUGUAUGUCAAUAAGAUGAUGAAUGAUGAGCUCAUCUACACAAAUUACAUGAUGCUUUGUUAUGUGACUAACUCAUUGAUUGAGUGCAUGUGAUAGGAAAUCAUUUCCUAAUUGAUGAUUUCAUGAUUUAAGUAUGGAUAUAUGCUAAUUACUCGGUAAGUUUACUUUCCGGUUAUUCUAGCUUACUAAGCAUGUAAAUGCUUACCCCUCUCUUUUUCCUUGUCUCGCAGAGCUUGAGGACUCAUAAGACCUGGAAGACGAUUGGAGAGUCAACACACUAUCAACUAGACAAGAUUUGGUAUAGAGACUUUAUUUAUUUUUUUCAAUGGCAUGUAUAGUAUUUUUGAGUAUUUUGUUAUAUGUGUCAUUUGAUUUGCCAAACGAAGGCAUGUAAAAAUAUGUUUAUCUCUUUGUAUAUAACCAUGAAACUUAAUUGAAGUAGGUUAUGACCUACGGUUUUAUGCAUGGUUUUAAUUACAAGUGAUGGGUCGUUACCAAUUGGCAAUGAGUCACAUGAACGAGCCAAUUUUGGAUGAAUUAAAGUGACAUGAGAACCCAUAACACUAAAUGGAAAAUAACCUUUCAUGUAAGAAACCAAUGAUAUGAGGUUUCCAUACAACUAGUUUUAUUAAUAUUAUUUACAAGUGUAAAACCAUGUUUUAUUUCAAACUUGGUAACCACUAAGCACAAGUAGUAGAAAAGAGUGACUAAAGGCUUGAAAAAUAGCCAAUUAGAGUUCACAUGGUUAGACACACGGGCGUGUGUCUAGGCCAUGUGUGACACACGGUUCCCUUCCAUCGGCGUGUGCUAUGGUCGUGUGUCCCCUGCACUCAAAAUUUUAGCUCAAAGUUGUACAUGGGUAGGCCACACGGGCGUGUGCCAUGGCCGUGUUCAAUUAACAGUGUCGUCCACAGGCAGGCAGCACGGGUGUGUGCCAUGGCUGUAUUGAUAAGUCAGUGUUGCCCACGAUUGAAGGGCAUGGGCGUGCCCUAAGCCACACGGGCGUGUGAGUCCACACAGCCCACCUACACGGGCGUGUGUCCCUUUAUGUUAAGAAAAAUUUUCUGAGGAGACUAAGGUUCAUCAAACGUGCCCGUAUUUGUCCCGCAUUGCCUCUCGGUAUGAUAUAGGUCUCGUAGGCCCAUACAAGGGACAAGAUAUUCAUGAUUUAAAGGUUUUAAAUUUGAGUGAAAUUUUGUGACCCGAGUUAGUAUACUGAAAAUGUAAAGUUCCGAUAAUGCCUCGAACCCUAUCCCAAUGCUGAAUACGGGUGAUGGGUGUUACAUUUAUUGGUAUCAGAGCUACGGUUUAGUCGGUUCUAGGACUACCGUAGAGGAUGUUAAAGCUCGCUAUACAUGCCAUUAUUUGAGUGUUGAUAGUGUGACAUCUCCGAAUUGUUUAAAUUAUUUUAAGUAUAGUGAAUGUCUUCCAAUCAAGCACAAGAUGUGUCCGAGGGAGCCGAGAGCCAUGCUCCAACUUUCGUACAAUGAGCUGUAUCUAGUAGUAGUAGAAGGCUAAUGUCAGAAGGCUGAGAAGAGGCCUGAGCUGCCUUCUUUGAUAUGAUGGAUGAAUGGUUUGUAGAUUAUCUAAGAAAUCGCCCCAAUAUACUAAGACCUCCCCGCCCUCUAACCAACCUGAUGAGGAUGUGCCACGAGUUAUGGCACCAGUGAGAAUCGGUAAAGCCCCUGUAGAUAAGCUUAGGAAGUAUGGGGCUGAGGAAUUUAGAGCGAAAGUUGAUGAUGUCGCUGAAAGAGCUGAGUUCUGGCUCGAGAAUACUAUGCGGGUGCUAGAUGAUUUGUCAUGCACACCCGUGGAAUGUUUGAAGUGUGCUAUGUCCUUUUUGAAGAACACUGCAUACAAUUGGUGGAAGACUGUAUCCUCGGUAAUGCCGAUAGAAAAAAUUACUUGGGAUUUCUUCCAAGUAGAGUUUAGGAAGAAGUAUAUUAGCCAACAAUUUUUGGACUCGAAGCGAAAGGAGUUCCUAGAACUCAAACAAGGGAACAAGACUGUAGUAGAAUACAAGAGAAAGUUCGUACGACUAAGUCAGUACGCAACUGAAUGGGUCCAAACUAAAUCGGAAAUGUGUAAACGCUUUGAGAAAGGUCUGAAUGAGGAUAUUAAGUUGUUGAUUGGGAUUUUAGAAAUACGAGAGUUUGCCGCAUUGGCCGGUCGAGCUAAGAAGGCUGAGGAACUUAAUAAUAAAAGAAAACAAGCUAAGAGAGGGCUCGAGUUGCGAGCAAGAGGUCUAGCAGUAAAACACUGUCGUUCUCCACGAAGAAAGCCAGGAGCCUGUAUGAACGCUCCACUUCGUCAAUGGGAUAUUCAGGUAGAGUGAAAAGCUCUAAACGACAAGGUCAAAAGUCUUCCUCCCCAAUGGUGACUAGUGUGGGGAGUGUAGAUAAUCAAAAACCAAAGUGUAAGAGCUGCAACAAAUUUCACUUGGAGGAGUGCCGAAUGAAGAGCGGCGCAUGUUUCAGAUGUGAUUCUCUUGAUCACUUUCUCAGAGACUGCCCGGAACGAGCUAAAAAAGAUAAGAAAAUAGCUCCGAAGUCGGGUUCUCCCAUUCUACGAGGUAGACCUCCGAGAUACCCUGGGAGUGCUAGUGGCAGUCGAGUCGUGACUAAAGACACUGGAAAAUCAGAGGUUCGAGUCCCAGAAAGAACGUAUGCGAUACGUGCCUGAGAAGAAGCCGCUGCUCCUGAUGUUAUUACAGGUACUUUCUCUCUUUUUAAUUUAAGUGUUGUUGCUUUAAUUGACUCGGGGUCGACACAUUCAUAUAUCUGCAUGAGAUUGGCGUCUAGUAUGAACAUACGGAAGAUAUUAUUAGAGUGUCGAACCCACUAGGUAGAUCAGUUCUAGUUGAUAAAGUCUGUAAGAAUUAUCCUUUAAUGAUUCAAGGUCGUUGUUUCCUGGCUAACCUUAUGUUGUUACCAUUUGAUGUAAUAUUGGGUAUGGAUUGGUUAGCCCUUCAUGAUGUAACAGUGAAUUGUGGUAGUAAGUAUAUUAAGUUAAAAUGCCCGGAUGGUAAGAUUCUACCGGUCAAAUCAAGAGAAUUGGGUUCGUCGUCGGUUGUAAUCACGGCAAUGGUUGCCCAAAGAUAUAUGAGGAAAGGAUAUGAAGCCUUCCUUGCAUUUAUACUGAACACUAAGGAAACAGAGCUGAAAAUCGAGUUCGUGCCGAUAGUAUGUGAGAACCCCAAUGUUUUUCCGAAGGAAUUACCCAAAUUACCUCCUGAAAGGGAGAUAGAGUUUAGUAUUGCAAAAGCUGACGGAUAAAGGAUUUGCUAGGCCAGGUUUUUCACCUUGGGGUGCCCCCGUGUUGUUCGUAAAGAAGAAAGAUUGUUCGAUGAGGUUAUGUAUCGAUUAUUGACAAUUGAACAAGGUGAAUAUCAAGAAUAAGUAUCCUUUGCCAAGGAUCGAUGAUUUGUUUGAGCAGUUGAGAGGAACCACCGUAUUCUCCAAGAUAGACUUGAGGUCUGGCUAUUAUCAGCUGCGAGUUAAAGACUCGGAUGUACCUAAGACAAAUUUCAGAACGAGGUAUCGCCAUUAUGAAUUUCUUGUCAUGCCGUUUGGGCUGACGAAUGCACCAACUGUGUUUAUGGAUCUAAUGAAUAGGAUCUUUCGGCUGUAUUUGGAUAAGUUUGUCAUUGUGUUUAUUAACGACAUUUUGAUCUACUCUAAAGAUGAGACAGAGCAUGCGAAGCAUUUGAGAAUUGUGUUGUAAUCCUUAAGGUAAAAGUAACUGUAUGCUAAGUUUAGCAAGAGUGAAUUUUGGCUCUAGGAGGUUGGAUUUUUGGGUCAUAUAGUUUUGGGUGAAGGCAUCCGAGUUGAUCCAAGUAAGAUUUCUACAAUUGUCGAAUGGAAAUCGCCUAAGAAUGUAACCAAAGUUAGAAGCUUUUUGGGCUUAGCCGGUUACUAUCAAAGGUUUGUAAAAGGAUUCUCCAUGAUUGCAACUCCGAUGACGAAGCUGCUAUAGAAAGAUGUUAAGUUUGAAUGGACGGAGAAGUGUAAGCAAUGUUUUGAAAAGUUAAAGAUAUUACUGACCGAAGCUCCUUUUUUAGUGCUACCUGAACCAGGGAAGGAGUUUGUGGUCUACAAUGAUGCAUCUUUAAAUGGAUUGGGCUGUGUACUUAUGUAAGAUGGCAAGGUGAUAGCCUAUGCUUCAUGGCAAUUGAAGCCUUACGAGAAGAAUUAUCCAACCCACGACCUAAAGCUUAAUGCUAUUGUUUUUUCCUUGAAAAUUUGGAGGAAUUAUUUGUAUGGCUAGACUUUCUGUAUAUUCACGGACCACAAGAGUUUGAAAUACUUGAUGACUAAGAAAGAAAUAAAUUUGAGAUAGCGGAGAUGGUUAGAAUUAAUUAAGGAUUACGAUCUGAUUAUCGACUAUCACCUGGGAAAGGCGAAUGUGGUCGCCGAUGCAUUGAGUAGAAAAUCCCUGUAUGCUUUGAGAGCUAUGGAUACUCAUUUGAAAUUGCUUGAAGAUGGUUCAGUUCUGGCCAAGCUGAAAGCUAGACCGACAUUUCUGCAGGAAAUUUAUGAUGCUCAAUUUAAUGAUGAUGACUUGCAAGCAAAAAGGGCUCAAUGUGAGUCUGGUGUUGAGUCUGAUUUUUGAAUUAGUCCUGAUGGAUGUUUAAUGUUUAGAGAUAGGGUUUGUGUACCCAAAGACAAUGAACUUAUUCGGAAGAUUUUGCAAGAAGCACAUAACAGUCAUUUGUCCAUUCACCCGGGAAGUACCAAGAUCUACAAUGAUUUAAAGAAGAUGUACUGGUGGAACGGUAUGAAAAGAGAUGUUUUCGAGUUUGUAUCAAAAUGCUUGGUAUGUCAGCAAGUUAAAGCUGAACAUCAAGUGCCUUCAAGUUUGUUACAGCCUGUAAUGGCCCCCAAAUGGAAGUGGGACAGAAUUACCAUGGACUUCGUGACGGGAUUACCUUUGACUCCGAAAAAGAAAGAUGCUAUAUGGGUUAUAGUGGACAAAUUGACAAAGUCAGCUCAUUUUAUUCCGGUAAGAACGGAUUAUUCCCUUGAUAGAUUGGCCAAUUUGUACAUUUCUGAGAUAGUAAGAUUGCACGAAGUACCAUUGUCGAUUAUUUCAAACAGAGACCGAGGUUCACUUUGAGAUUCUGGAAGAAGUUACAAGAAGCCUUGGGUACAAAUUGAGUUUUAGCAUAGUUUUUCACCCUCAGACCGAUGGUCAGUCUGAAUGGAUGAUUCAGAUUCUCGAGGACAUGUUACGUUGUUGCAUACUCGAAUUUCAGAGUAGCUGGAAAAAAUAGCUACCAUUGGUAGAAUUUGCCUACAAUAAUAGUUUCCAAACAAGUUCGAAGAUGGCGCCUUAUGAGGCCAUGUAUGGUAGGAAGUGCCGAACUUUAUUGUACUGGAAAGAACUCAAGGAUAAUCAGAUUCAUAGAGUUAAUCUGAUCAAAGAAACUAAAGAAAAAGUUAAAGUGAUACGGGAUUGUUUAAAAGCGGCAUCAGAUAGGCAAAAGUCUUAUGCUGAUCUGAAAAGAAAGGAAAUUGAGUUUCAAGUUGGGGAUAGAGUAUUCUUGAAAGUAUCUCCAUGGAAAAAGGUAUUGAGAUUUGGUCGGAAAGGUAAAUUGAGUCCACGAUUUAUCGGACCGUAUGAGAUUACCAAAAGAGUUGGACCAUUAGCCUAUCGUUUGGCCUUGCCACCCGAAUUAGAAAAGAUUCAUGAUGUCUUCCAUGUAUCCAUGUUAAGGAGAUACCGAUCAGACGCCUCUCAUGUAAUUUCACCGACUGAGAUUGAAAUUUGACCGGACAAAACCUAUGGAGAGGAACCGGUUAAGAUAUUGGCUCGUGAAAUAAAACAGUUGAGAAAUAAAGAUGUGGCACUUGUAAAAGUCUUAUGGCAUCGACAUGGUGUAGAAGAGGCUACAUGGGAGCCGGAAGAAACCAUGAGAAGUCAAUAUCCGAAUCUGUUUUCUGGUAAGACUUUCGAGGAUGAAAGUCCCUAAGGGGGGAGAAAUGUAACAUCCUGAAAUAGGGCCUAUCAGAAUAGUGGUUUCUGGACCACAAAUCUGACAUCAAAUUAUUUAUUUUAUGAUUAUUAUGAGGCCUAUAAUAUGAAUAUAUGCAUGUGUUAAAGUUUCAUGAAGAAAUUUUAUGUAUAAGAUGUACAAUUGGAAAUUAGGGACUAAAUUGAUUAAAUUGGAAAACUUGGAUUCUAGAAGCAAUUUGUAUGAAAUUGCUUUAGAUUAUGAUUUAGAAGGUCUUUAUGAGUAAUUUUUGCAAAUUCUUAGCUUUUGGAAAAAAAAAGGGCGUGCAUGGAUGAAAUUUUAAAGAAAGGGCAUAAGGGCAUUUUGGUCAUUUGGCUUUUUAAUGAAUUAAAAUGGGAAAAAUCAAGCCAAAAUCAGCCUUUCUUCUUCUCCAUGCAGCCAACUUUCUCUUGUCUCCAUAGCUAGGGUUUCCAAGCUUUCCAAGCUCAAUAGUAAGUGCUCCUAAGCCCUAUUUUUCAUGUUCUUUGUAUUUUUGAAAUCCCGGUAGCUUGCUCUCUCCAUUUCUACCCAUAUUUCAUGCUAGAGUUCAUGUUCAAAAACUUACCCAUGCAUGAGUUGCUUGUAUUUUGAUAGAUUAUGGAGGAAUAUGAAAGAUAAAUAUGUGUUAAGCAUUUUUUCCUAGUUGAUUUUCAUUAGAAACCCUUAUAGGGACUAUUUUGCAAAAGAUAUAAAUUUAUGGUAGAAAUGAGAAAAUAAUGGAAAAUGUGGGCUACUAUAAGAAGGAAAAGUGUUCAGCUAGGCUUUGGUAAGAUACAAAGUGCAUGUGUUUCAUUAUACGAGCCUAGGGACUAAAUUGUAAAAAUGUGAAAGGUUAGGGGCAAAACGGUCAUUUGGACUGGGGGUAGAUAUUAAACUUGAAAUGUAUAAUGUGGAGUAUUAAUGAGUUAAUUUUGCUAUUAUAGACCCCGAGGAACAAAUUUCGGAGGUCGAUCGUGGCAAACGCAAGGUUUUGGAAUAAUCGAAACACAACUCCGAAAAGAAUACCAGGUAAGUUCGGAUAACUGAAAGUAAACCCCUAAUAUGUAUAAUUGUAUGAUUUAUGAAUGCAUGAUGAUUGUAUUUAUUAUUAGCAUGAAAUAUCAUACAAAUGCAUAUUUGAUGGUAACAUGUGAAAAAUGUCUCGGUUGAGGUUGAAAAAGGGAAUUCGAUGGAAACACCCUCAUUGAUAUGUGUAAAGAGAUCCUGCAUGUAUUGCAGUAAGAAUUUUGCCCGGACGGGUAAUCCGUGAUCUCAAGUAUGAAAAUGAUCUAGCCCGAACGGCUGUUCCUUGAAUGAUCAAGCCUCCCAAAGAAUAUGUGUGCAUUGUGGAUUUAGCCCGGACGGGUAAUCCGAUUAGGGUCUGAAUUUAGCCUGGACUGGUAAUUCAGAUCCAAGCUCAUUAAGGGUGUUUGUCGCUAUAAGGGAUUUAGCCUGGUCUGGUAAUCCCGACAUCACCUUAUGAGUUCAUGAUAUGGGGGAUUUAGCCUAGACUAGUAAUCCUGCCAUGAGAUGUGAGGUUUGUGGGAGUGCAUAUAUGUGAAAUGAUCAUUCAUAAGAAUUGACGGAUAAUGGGUAUUCCAUCGAGAUUUCCUAGAAACUCAACGGGAGUAAUAUGAUGUAUGUCAAUAAGAUGAUGAAUGAUGAGCUCAUCUACACAAAUUACAUGAUGCUUUGUUAUGUGACUAACUCAUUGAUUGAGUGCAUAUGAUAGGAAAUCAUUUCCUAAUUGAUGAUUUCAUGAUUUAAGUAUGGAUGUAUGCUAAUUACUUGGUAAGUUUACUUUCCGGUUAUUCAAGCUUACUAAGCAUGUAAAUGCUUAACCCUCUCUUUUUACCUGUCUCACAGAGCUCGAGGACUCAUAAGACCUGGAAGACGAUUGGAGAGUCAACACAUUAUCAACUAGACAAGCUUUGGUAUAGAGACUUUAUUUAUUUUGUUCAAUGGCAUGUAUAGUAUUUUUGAGUAUUUUGUUAUAUGUGUCAUUUGAUUUGCCAAACGAAGGCAUGUAAAAAUAUGUUUAUCUCUUUGUAUAUGACCAUGAAACUUAAUUGAAGUAGGUUAUGACCUACGAUUUUAUGCAUGGUUUUAAUUACAAGUGAUGGGUCGUUACCAAUUGGCAAUGAGUCACAUGAACGAGCCAAUUUUGGAUGAAUUAAAGUGACAUGGGAACCCAUAACACUAAAUGGAAAAUAACCUUUCAUGUAAGAAACCAAUGAUAUGAGGUUUCCAUACAACUAGUUUUAUUAAGAUUAUUUACAAGUGUAAAACCAUGUUUUCUUUCAAACCUGGUAACCACUAAGCACAAGUAGUAGAAAGGGGUGACUAAAGGCUUGAAAAAUAGCCUAUUAGAGUCCACAUGGCUAGACACACAGGUGUGUCUAGGCCCUGUGUGACACAUGGUUCCCUCUCAUGGGCGUGUUCUAUGGCCGUGUGUCCCCUGCACUCAAAAUUUUAGCUCAAAGUUGUAUACGGGUAGGCCACACGAGCGUGUGAAAUGGCCGUGUUCAAUUGACAGUGUCGUUCACGGGCAGGCAAUACGGGUGUGUGUUAUGGUCGUGUUGAUAAGUCAGUGUUGCCCACGGUUGAAGGGCAUGGGCGUUGCCUAAGCCCCACGGGCGUGUGAGUCCACAUGACCCACCUACACGGGCAUGUGUCCCUUUAUGUUAAGGAAAUUUUUCUGAGGAGACUAAGGUUCAUUGAACGUGCCCGUAUUUGUCCCUCAUUGCCUCUAGGUAUGAUAUAGGUCUCGUAGGCCUAUACAAGGGACGAGAUAUUCAUGAUUGAAAGGUUUUAAAUUUGAGUGAAAUUUUGUGACCCGAGUUAGUAUACUGAAAAUGUAAAGUUCUAGUAAUACCUCGAACCCUAUCUUGCUGUUGGAUAUGGGUGAGGGGUGUUACACUCUGGCAUUGCGAUACCUCCACGACCUUUUAGCCUACACCUUAACAGGGCGGCGAGAGAGUACCGGUGUCGUUAACACUCACGACGCAUACUUUCUAUGGAGCAUGAGGCAAGGGCAUAUUUUCGAUCUCGCAUACUUCAUCGCCUUGCCUUUUGCCAUCAAACAGAACGACACCGAAAGGGAGUCAUCAGUAUUGGCCCAUAUGUGACUCACCUAGCUCGAUACUUAGGGCUCCUGAGCACAUCGGCACAGUCCUCAUCGCUCACACUUAUCGGCCAGAUGUCCCUAUAGCGCAUCCAAAGUAUGCUCCAUAUGAGGAUGAUAGAGCGUCGUCGUGGGUUCGAUCCUCCUCAAUACUGACUUGCACGACCCACCAAUAAAGAUGACCCCGAAGAUAUUCUAGAAAAUAUCCCUUCAUUUCAUGAGGACCUACAUACUCAGCCACUGCCGAGUCACUGACCAGUUCAUACGGCUGCUUCAUUGACAGAAAUUUCUGCCCACCUGGAUCGAUUUGAGCAAUAUUGCACUCCAUGAUUCGACAACAUAGAGGCGACUCUGUAGCAGAUUUUUCAGCAUUUCCACAUUUCGCCUCUAGCACCACCACCUCAUGAUCCAGCUGCCAAUGAGGACUUUUGAGUCCAUUUAUUUCUACUUUAUUUUGAUUUUCCUUUUGUUUUCCUUUUUCUUUUUUUUUUCCUAUUUCCAGUUUUCAUGUUUUAAAAAGACUUUGAUUAGUAUAUUUUGAAUAUCUCAAUUUUAUGGUUGUUUCUCUAUGAGCAACCAUAAUGACCCCAUUGAUAUAACACCCUAAACCAUUACUGAUGAUAUCGUAGUUUCAAAAGGUUCAGUCAAUUGGUGCUACUCAGGAAUACACAAACAAUCCUAUAGGGAUAGUUAAUUCACGACUGCCAUGUCCUGCUCAACCACGACUAUAGCCACCACGACACCGACCACCACGAUAACCUCUUCGCUGGGUGCUGUGAUUAUGGAACCCAACCUCUACCACUAGCUUCACCCCUAUCUACAUGUUACAUACACAUUAUUUCCAAUGUCUCUAAACCCGCCUCUGCUCUUUCAAGGACUACAUCCAAAUUCAGGGAGUUUUACUUUCCCCCUCUUCUAUGAUAUUAUGCUUAUAUUGUCAUUAUCUAUCUUUGUACAUUGAGGGCAAUGUACAUCUUAAGUGUGGGGAGGUUAGUCAUAUCAUUAUCAGAAAACCCCUGAAUUUUGUCUAAUCCCCAAGUAAUUUUUUUCAUAUCACCAUUAGAAUGAAUUUUGAUUAAUUCAUGAUUUUUAUUGAUAUGUUUUGGAUCAAGACAUAGGUAAUUGUGCAUUGAUCAUCUAACCUUAAGGCAGUAAAGAAUCAAGCAUGAUAAGUUGACUUUUGAGUAUUAAAAUUGCUAGGUUGUUUCCCUAAAUUGAGGUAUUAUCUUGAAAUUCUAAGUUUACAGGAUUGACAUCAAAUACCCAUAAUUUUCACGAGAUUUUGAGCCUUUUAAAACAUAUACCUCCCUUGCUCACUUAUUUUAUUGGUUAUGAGUGUGUCACUUAGGUUUUAUAUACUAAGAUGAUAAAGACACUUAGGUUUUAACCCAUUUACCCCAUAAAAAGCAUGCCCACAUAAUUGACCCCUAGUGAACCCCUUUGAGCCUUAACCAUUGUUUCUUGAUUUUCCCUUAAUGAUUAACACAUGACUGAACCCUUUUUGAUUCAUUAAGAAUUUCUCUUUUUAUUAACUCCCUUUUUAUCGAGCUUUGAUUUGAUUAGUUACCUAACUAUUUCUGUCCAUUUUAGUUGUUGAAUUAUUAUGUACUCUCCAUUACUGUUCUUAUUCUUAAAAAAAUCGUAUAUUUAUAUUCAUUCAAUUACAUAUUGUUUAAAAGAGCUUGGAUAAGUUAAAGUUAUUAUAUUAAGGGAAAGCUCAUUUCAUCUUAGAAAGUUUUAUUUCUGGCACCUGUUUGUAAUUCAGUAAUUAGCUUUAUUCUUCUAAGUUGGGUAAUUUAUUAUAUUAAUCUUGAUUCUAACCCUCUUUUUCAGCCUUUAUCCACACCUUUAACCCAAGCCCCAUUACAACCCUGUUAAAGACCUUUUGAUUCGUGUAUCAUCUCAUUUAUAGUGGUGGAAAUUUGAUUUUCAUGCAAGCCUAUGGUAAUAACUUUUCAUGCUUGACUAUUGAGUGCUUAAUUAUUGAACCUUAAACACUUCAAGUGAUUUGAGUGAAUCUUUAGUGAGGAUGUCAACUCUUGUCAAUUUGGAAUUAAAGGUGAUCACUAAGAUAAAGGGAGAUACCUAUGAUUUUAUGAUUAAAAUGCUCAACUUGGAUUGUUUGAAACUUUUAUGUUCUUUUAGUUGAAUUCUCAAUGUGUGAUUAUUUGUGGAUUACUUCGAAUCAUUAUUGAUGGAAUUAUAAGUUAAGAAGAAUUAAUUUUAAUUGUGAGUUGAGAAUUUUGCUUGAGGACAAUCAAAUUUUUAAGUGUGGGGAUAUUUGAUAAACCAUAAUAUAUACAUAUUAUUACCUCAUCCUUGGCAUAUUUUUGAAAGGAUUAUCAUAAGAUUUAAUGAAUUUGAUGCUCCUAAUCCUUUAAUUUCAUGUUUUAUACUCAAGAGAGCUUAGGAUAGCAAAAAGAGCAAGAAACGAGCCAAAAACAAACAAAUUGGGCCUAAUUUAGUGUUUCACACGGCCUAGGCACUUCCACACGAGUAAUCCACACACCCAUGUGUGACACACAGGUAGGCCACACGCCCGUGUGUCAUGGCCGUGUCGACAUUAAAUCAAGUUAGAAUUGCACACGGCCUGAGACUUUCACACGGGCGUGGCACACAACCGUGUCCCUAUCGAGCACAAGUAUAAUUCUAUUCAGAAAAGGCUAAUUUUGGGCUAUUUUGGGCAUUCCAAAGUCUAUAAAAACACCCGAGAGGAGGAAUCAAGGGACACGUAAAGUAGAAAGUACAAAAUACUCGAAGAACAACCAUCGGAAUCUGCUCGAAAGUAGGAUUUACUUCAAGACUGAAGAUCUCCACUAAAUUUCUACUGAAGUUUUGGGUUUCUUUAUGUUUUGUUAUUUUCCCAAUUUUCAGACGUUUUCCUCUAUUGUUAUGAACUAAAUUCCCUAAAUACCUGAGGGAAAUGAAACCUAAGAUAGAUUUUAUUACUGUUCAAAUUAUUUGAUAAAUACUUGUUCUUUUUCUUAAUUAUGAGUUUUAAUCUUUGCUUUAAUAUAUUAAUUCAGGUUUGAUGUGCUUAUUCAGUAGAACAAAAGUCCCUGUUUAAGAGUAGAUCCUCCAUAAUUAAGCGGAGUUGUAUGCAAUCCUAGAGAUAGGACGACAUAAAUCUUCCGGAUUAGAGUCAAAUCUAAUAAGGGAAUCCAUAGGUCGAGUUAAUGCGAUAAUAGGGGUUUUAAUUAGAAAGAGAUUUCAAUUAAUCAACCUAGAGUCAGUUGUUUUUAGUUUCGAGAGAGAUAAUAACAUAAAUCAAGGAUUUCUACGAAUUAAGUCAAGUGAAUAAAUCGUCUAAUUCAGAAGUAAUAAGGGAAGUCUAGGUGGAUUCUUCCUUGGGAAUUGUCUUCUCCAUCAGUUUUCCAAAAGUAUUCUUAAAAUUUCAUCUCUGUCACAUUAUUAGUUAAUUAGAUAAUUAUGUUUAGUUUAGAAAACAUCCUUUCAAUUCUUAGGCUAGAUUAUAAAAGGAUGGUAAUUACUAGUACUUUUAGUCCUUGUGGAUACGAUAUUUCUGGUCUCACCUUAACCAUACUACUGUUCGAUAGGUGCGUUUGCCUUAGUUGAAUUUUUAGUUAGUUUAGUGACGAUCAGGUAUUGCUCAUGCAUGCUCCAUAGGAACUCUACUUCUCAAGUGCCCAUGACGCUCGCACUCUCCUUUCGACCAGUUAGAGUGUGGGCCAAAAUGGCGUGAACGUAGCAUAGGGCCAGGGGUAGGCACCAAACCAUAGACUAGCUCAGUUUGUACGAAGUGGCAACCUAAAAAAUGUCAAAGUAGUAGAGAAGGGUUGAUUGAUGUACGUGUCUCAAGAGAGUGGAGAACUCUGGCAUAGCCAAGAAGUUGUCAAAAUAUAUACUGAAAGUGACUCUAAAUCCCGCAAUACUUAAAAACUGAGUGACAUCCCUAAGAUGGAAUGACAUCACUCGAGGUUCAUCCCUUGAUGAUAGCAUCAUCUAUAGGAAAAAUGUGGAGCAAAACUCCAAAGUAAGCUCAGCAUAUGUCAGCUCCAUGAUCACAAAGAACUAUUCCCACGGUAUCGUGUCCAAUCAAGUAUGAACCCGUGCAGAUAGACCCAUAGUCUGAAGGGCUAUCCAGUUGAUACACCAACCCAAACCCAAUGACCUGUCCUUCAGGUGCUGGUACAUCUCCUCUUGGGGUGAAUGGUCAAAUGUGAGGUAUCAGUGUCAAGCGAUUGCGAUUUGAGAGGAGGAAGAUGUGGUCCCAACAACCUUUCAUUUCUUGGAAUGAGUGGUUACCUUACUUUUUCCUCGUGUAUUCAACAUUAUGUACUUGAAAUAAGAAUUCACAAUAAAAUGUUUGGCUAUUGUCAGUAAACAUUACAAACCAUGAAAACCAAUAAACUAUAGUGUCCUAACUACGUGCUCGAAAUAAUUCAUAUUCAAUAAUAAUAGAGGGCAGCAUCUAUCAGUGAAACAUCAAAAUCAGCUAAAACAAAGCCCCAAUAUUAAAAUCAACUAAACUAAAUUGAAAUAACAAAUUAAGCAAAUCUAAUCUAAAAUUUACGCAAAAUUAAACAGUCAAAGGAUGAAAAAAAUGAAAAUGAAAAUAAAAUUAAUAAUAAUCAUAACCUAAAAAAACAUAAGUAAUAAAAAAAGUAAUAAUAAAUAAAACCAAAGACAUGGAUGUUUGGGUGUGUUGGUAUCGACGACAACGUGGGGAUUGCAUUUGAUGGUGGCAUGAGGGUGGCACAAAGUGAAAUGGAAGGAUGACUAGUAGGGUACCGGGGGUUUGUUAUAGUAUGCCCAAAGACCAGUCAGGAGAUGAUUGUAAUCACAUAUUCAUUAUACCUUGUUUAUUAAUUAAAGGCAUUGCUAUUGUUAUUUUAGGUUUACUUUCUGUGUGUGUAAAAUAAACUGAUUUAUAAUAAUGUCCCGUGAAUAAUAGGAUUGUUUUUAAAAGGUCCUUAGUCAAGUAUUAUUGUGGGUUUGGACAACAAUAAUGCAUUAAGACUAAUAUGUAGUUGAUUGAUGACAAAGUGUUGUUAUUGACAUGGGGAUGUCAAAAUCAAUACAUGAGUAUAUGUUAGAGAACAAUAUAUUGUAUUGGCUCGCUAUGAGUAUGUUUCUUGGAUUAUUAAAUAAUAGUCAUAACAUUACUCAUAGUGAUAACUAUGUAUACAAUCCUUAAACUUGAGAUCAUUAUUGUCCCAUCAUAGUGAGUCGUAUAUUUUGAUACAGUCAAACAUCUACUGUAAUAGGUUGUACUAUAAAGACUGAUGUUGGGUAUGCCACAAUCUAUGUAGUGGGAUAUGAUUGAUCAAGAUAGGAUUUGUCCCUUCUACAUAAUGGAAGCAAUAUCUUAAGAAACUUAAUGAAGUGAGACUAGAAAUGCAUGGCCAUGCUCAAAUAAGUUAAUAUGUGAUAUUACACUUAUUUUUUUAUUGUAGUCUAUUUUGGGUAUCAAGAAACAUGAGAUUGGACUUUGCAAGUAUAACUAUUCCAUGACUUGUGUCCAAUUGAGAUAUAAAGGACAAAAUGAUAUAAUGCAUAAAAAUUUAUCACAGAAAGGUUAUGUUGAACCACGAAUUCUUGUAACUUGGGUAGUGAUGAUGCAUUGCUAGAUUCCACUUAUUGCUUGUAACAUUAGAAGUACUCUAGUAUUUUUAUCAAUGUUACAAGAGCUUACAGGGUCACACCCUAUGGUUGAAAUGAACAAAAUCUAAACACAGUUGAUAUUAAAUUUAAUUGUCACGGGAAUUAUAUUAAUUAUUGAAUUAGUUUAAUUUGACAGUUAAAUAAUAAACACAGUAUAUGUACAAAUUCGUUGUACAAGAAUAGAGAACAUAGUUAAAAUAAAUGUAUGAACUUGAUUCAUAUAAAAUAUUAAUUAUGUACUAUUUACCAAAAUUAUUAAAAUAAAGUGUUAUAAUAAUUUCGGUCAAACAUAAAAUAUAUGGAAAUUAAUAUCUUUUUGGAAAGGAUAUUACUUUAUGAUAUUUUCCAUAUAUUUUCUAGCAUCAAAAAUAGGUGAUUCUAGUUUUAAUAUGUAUAUUAAAAUAAAAGGGAAUCAUAAAAAUCCUAAGGUGAAAGAGUGUUACCAAUAUUAACAAUGAAAAGGAAAAGAAACCUAGGUCUAGCAUCCGUAUUUUUUUUGAAAAAAACUGGGUGAUUCCAGUUUGUUCAUUUGCAACUGGGUGGAUAUGUUGAGGCCAGGAUGAUUUUGUUGUGGCUUUGGUUUGACAGCGUGCGAAGAGGAUUAAACCAUUAGUGGUUCCUUCAUAUUUUUCAAAUUUCGAAAGGAAUAAUUUCAAACUUUUCCUUCUCGAUUUGUUCCUCAUGCAUGGAUUACUAGUUUGGAUUACCGGAAUAAUUUUUUUGCUGCGCCAGGAGGCGUCCUAAUGACCCAACAGGGUUAUGACUGGCGGUAGCGUGAGGAAAGAGAUGGAGGAGAGGGUAGAUGGCUGUUUGAAGGCCUUAGAAGGUGAGGGAGAAGGGUUAUCCUCAAAUAGGGCUAGUUGUGAGUGGAGAAAGGAGAAAAUGAAACAGUGGUGGCAUAAAGGAAUGCACAAAGGGAGGAUGAAAAAUGGUGGUGGAAAGAUAGGGCGAGGGGGACGAUGACAUGUGUAAGGUCUAGAAGGAAGAAAAAAAGGUCAAUAUUCUGUGAGAGGAGACGACGGCGAGGGGGACAAACGAUAAGGUAUAAGGCGUAUUGGGGAAGAUUUUGGGGGAAACAAUGUCUGAAAAAUGGCUGGGGUGCUUAAACAGCUAUUAGGAGGGAGGGAGGCUUUGUGGAAAGAGUAAGGGAGACAAAAGAAAAAAGAAAAAAAAAACCCUAGCUGUAAAGAGGGUACACGACCAUGUGCCAAGCCGUGUGGUCAGGUUGUGUAUCUCUUUGCAACUGCAUGUCCCAUGAAAAAAAUUUUAAAAAAAUGGUCAAGUGUAAACAUGACGUGUUUCACUGAUAAAUGAUAAAACUAACAUAUUUUAAUCCCAUUCUUAAUGUGUUUUUCUAUGAUUAUUUAUGCAAAUUGGUGAAUUUGAUGCUCCAAAUCCUUUGAAUUCAUGUUCCUAUACUUAGAUGAGCAUUUGAGAGCAAAAAAGGCGAAAAAAGGAGCGAAAAAGGGACAAAAAAGCAUAUUUCAAGAGCCAUACGGGCUAGGCCUUCCAACACGUGCUAGACACACGGCUGUGUGAGCCACAUGGGCUAAACACAUGUCCAAGUCCCAGAUCGUGUCAAUUUCGCAACUUGCUUCCCAAACACGUGGAAAAAUACAAUUUUUAGCCUUUCUAAGCAUUUUGAAGUCUAUAAAUACCAAAUAGAAGAAGAGAGAAGGGAGCCAUUAGAGAAUAAGGAAGAAAACAAGUCAAAUAUCACCAUUGGAGCCAACUCUGAAGCAGAUCUAAAUCAAGAUUGAAGACCUCCUUUUAAUUUCUUUUGAAGUUUUUAUGAGUUUCUUUAUUUCUUGUGGUUAUUUUGACUUUGAGAUGUUUUUAUUCAGAAUUAUGAACUAAUUCCCUAAAUACCUAGGGAAGAUGAAACAUAUGAUGAAUUCUAUUAUUUAAUUUUUGUUUUACAUAAUAAAUAAUUGAUUCUUGUCCUCAAUUAUGUGUGCUUAUCUCUUGUUUUAAUAUUUUCGAGAUAUUAAUUCAUAUUUAAUAUGCUUAAUUCAGUGGAGGAAAAGUCCAUAUUUAAGAGUAGAUCUAGCAUAAUUGAGUAGAGUUGCAUGCUAUCCUAGAAAUAGGACAACAUGAAUCUACCGAAUUAGAGUAAAAUCUAAUAAGGGAAUCCAUAAAUCGAGUUAAUGCGAUGAUAGGGGUUGUAACUAGAAAGAGGUUUCAAUUAAUCAACCUAGAGUCAGUUGUUCUUACUCUUGAAAGAGAUAUUAGCAUAAUUUGGCGAUUUCUACGAAUCAAGAUACCAAGUGAAUAAAUCGUUUAAUUCAGAUUCAUAAUAAUAGGUGAAAUCUAGGUGGAUUCUUUUCUGGAUAUUGUCUCUCUCAUUGGUUAUUAUUUGGUUGUUUUCUUAAUUUAUUUUUUGUUGAUUUCUUAGUUAGAUUAAUUUAGUAAAUUUAGUUUCAAACUAAUCACUCUAACUUGUCGGCUAAAUAAUAGGAAAAUGGUAAUUACUAAUACUUUUAGUCCUUGUGGAUACGAUAUCUCUAGUCACCAUAGCUAUACUAUUUAUCGAUCGGUGCACUUGACUCCGUCCUAUUUUUAGUUAGUUUCAUGACACACCAAAUUUUUUUCGCCAUUGUCGGGGACUAGAAUAUUAGGAACACUUUAUUUUUAUUAAUUUAGCUAUUUUUAUUAUUUUUAUUUUAUUUUUAUAUUUUUAAUUUAAUUUCUACAUUCUAAUUUUUUGUUUGCUUAUGGCAGGUUCUUUUAGUUUAUGACUAGAAGAAACCUAUCGGGACCAUUGCUUUUUUAUAGUGAAAUUGAAAGUACUACUCGUAGAAAUUAUAGAGAAGCAAGGCAAAGUUGACAAAAUAUAGUAGACAAACAAGAGGACAUCAUUAUUACUGAGGAUAUGGGCGAUAAUCAGAAUAUUCAGCUACCUCCUGCAACUCUUGUUCCUCGUACUAUGUACGAUUAUGCCAAGCCCAUUCUGACUGGGGUUGAAUUGAGUGUUGUGCAACCCACCAUUGCUGUAGAUAAUUUUGAGCUGAAGCCAAACACUAUUUAGAUGGUACAAUAGUAUGUUUAGUUUGAUGGUUUGCAAGAUGAAGAUCCUAAUACUCAUUUGGCCAAUUUCCUAGAAAUUUGCGACACUUUCAAGAUAAAUGGCGCCACUGAUGAUGACAUUCACUUUCGGUUGUUCCCAUUCUCAUUGAAAAACAAAGAAAAGUAGUGGUUAAACUCUUUACCACGAGGUUCCAUCACUACAUGGGCUCAAAUGAUUGAGAAGUUUUUUCUAAAGUACUUCUCACAAACUAAAAUAGCUAAGUUGAGGAAUGACAUCUCUUCUUUUGUGCAGAUCAAUUUAAAGAUGUUAUAUGAUGCAUGGGAGAGAUAGAAAGACUUAUUGAGAAGGUGCCCUCAUCAUGGGUUACCUUUAUGUUGCAAGUUCAAACCUUCUACAACGACUUGAAUCCUUCAACUACUCAGUUAAUUGAUGCAGCAACUGGUGGAACACAGAACAAUAAAACACCCAAAGUAGCUUAUGAGUUCAUAGAAAAGAUGGCAUUGAAUAAUUAUCAGUGGCAAGUCAUGAGGACAAAGCGAUGAAACCAGCCAAUGUCUUUAAUAUAGUUACAGUCACCAUGUUAUCAAACCAAGUAGAAGUAUUAAAUAAGAAUAUUGAUGGUUUAUAUGCUUCUACACAGGUGAAUCUGUUGAUGAAAUGCGAUACAAAUAGAGGUGGAAUGAAUAAUCCAGAAUGCUUACCCUUCGAUCCUAGCACAGAAAAUGAACAAGUUAAUUAUAUGGGUAACAAUGUUAAACCCCAAAAUAACCUUUGUAGUAAUAACUAUAAUGUAGGUUGGAGGAACCAUCCCAAUUUCUCUUGGGGUGAUCAAGGAAAUCAAAAAGCACAACAAUCUUUAGGCUUCUAGCAACCUUGUCAGAAAGAGAAGAAGCCAAACCUUAAGGAGAUCUUGACAAAGUUUAUCUCGGUGUCAAAAACCUGUUUCCAAAACACAGAGGCAAUACUGAAAAAUCAACAAGCAUCAAUUCAAGGACUCGAAAAUUAAAUAGGUCAACUUGCUAAAUUAAAUUCGAAAAGACCACAAGGUAGCUUCCCUAGAAAAACUGAAACUAACCCAAGAGAGCAACUUCACGUAAUUACUAUUCAAGAUGUGGAAGGGUUAGUUGAAACUGAACAAGAACGAAGACACAAAAUUAUGGCAAACAAUGAUAAGGUUGAAGAAGGUAAGAAUGAGCUAAAUCUGAUUGUCAAAGAAUACAAACUUCGAGUGUCAUAUCCUAAUGCAUUGAAGAGAGAUCACACAAAUGAACAAUAUGGUAAAUUUCUUAAGCUUCUUAAAAAAUUACACAUUAACUUAACGUUUGUUGAAGCUCUUUCGCAGAUGUCAAAAUAUAUCAAAUUUUUAAAAGAGCUAUUAACAAACAAGAGGAAGAUAGAUGACUCGUCCACUGUGUUGCUCAACACAGUUUGCUAAGCCAUUUUCCAAAAUAAACUACCUAACAAACUAAAAUAUCUAGGGAGUUUUAGUAUUCCUUGUCUCUUUGGUAGUUUUCAUGUCCUAUAAAAUGUUUAAACAACUAGGUCUCGGGAAACCCAAACACACUAGGAUGAGUAUUCAGCUAGCAGAUAGAACUAUUAAAAUAUCCGAGGGUUAUUAUUGAUGAUGUGAUUGUAAAAAUUUAGAAAUUCGUAUUCCCCGUUGACUUCAUUGUGUUAGAUAUGGAUGAAGAUAGUGAGGUACCUUUGAUUUUAGGUAGCCCUUUUUUAGCCACUACUAAGACUAUCAUCUAUGUUGGUAAAUGUGAACUUGUGCUUUGUGUAGAUGACGAAAAGAUUAUUCUCCAACCACGUGAUUCUAUGAGAGUCUUUAGGGAUCGAGAUGAUUUUAAAUGUUCUGUAAAUGUUAGUAACCACAUGGUUCAACCUUCUUUGUAGGAAAUCCCUCGUGGAAACAUGAUGGAGCCAUGUUUCAGUCAAGGUUACAAAAAUAGAACAACUUAUGAAGAGCGAAUGGUGCAAAUCGAUGAACUAGAUGAACGGUGAACACAUGCUAAGGAGAAACCAAAAAAACACGAUGAAGAGCCAAAACGAUGCCAUGACGAGCAUGUGAAUGGAAUAAACCAAUUUAAGGUUGGGGAAAAAGUACUGCUAGACAAAAUGGAUCCACAAAUUUACCCUUCAGAGCUUGAGUCAAACGGCUCGAACAAAUUUACGAUACUUGAACAUCUUCCCUUACGGUACAGUUGAGGUAACACAUCCUGAUUUCUACACAUUUAAGGAGUGCUAAGGAGAAAGAUGAGCUUUGGCUCCGAGAACCACCGUACGCAUACAAGGUAAAGUCAAGCUUAGACUCUAAAUAAGCACUUCUCGAGAGGCAACCCAAGUAUUUAACUUCUGCUAAUUCUUUUAAAUUUAUUGCAUGUUAAUUUAAAUUUAAUUUAAUUAAAUUCUUAAUUAAAAUAAAUAAAUAAAUAUUUUUUGAUCUAUACGGCUUGGACACACGGAAAUGUCCCAGGCCAUGUGCAAAGAGGGUAAUCAAUAGUGAAUCACAUGGCCUAGCAACAUAGCCGUGUGACACACACGGCGUGGACACACAGGCGUGUCCCAAGCCGUGUACAUAAUAGAGCAAAUGGCAUAGAGUUACACGGUGUGAAGACAUGGCCAUGUAGGUCACACGGCCUGGACACAGGGGCGUGUCCUUGGCUGUAUGAGUCUUGAGACUUAAUUUUUAAUUUCGGAGGUUACACAACCUGAAUUGGUGCACACGGGCUGAAGAAUCCCACAUGGGCAUGUGACACGACCGUGUCCCCUUUCUAACCCUUAAACCUUAAUUUUCUUUAGUUUUUUCUUCUUCCUCCUAAUCCCCCUACAAUAAAACCCUAGCCGUUCAUUUUCGCAGCCUCCUCUUCCAACCAGCCAUUGUCACGUAUCCAUUGUUUCCUCUAUUUCCCACCUCUGAACGCCCCUUCCCCCUUUCCCUUCCUUCUUCUUCCCUCAUCGAAAAAACCCUCUUUUCUUUUCUUUUUCUCCUUUUCCCUUCUACCAACCCUACGCGACUCUCCCCCUUCCCCUUUCUGCCUCACCUUGCUACACCCCUAACUGAACACCUCCCUCCGUUGAUGACCUCUCACCUCUGAACCGCCUCACCUCCCUUCCUCCUUCGACUAAACGCGCCCAAGCCACUGCCCAUCACCACUAUCCACCCACCCCAUUUCCAUUCUUUCCCCCCUUCAAGCCUCCCUCUCCCUUUCCCUCUUGUUCCUUCUUCUCCUUUAACAAAAUACCCCCACGUCAUGCCCCACCACCCGUCGACCACCGUGCGUGCCUUCCACUCCAUCCCAUCGUCGGUUCCUCCAUUUUUUACCUUUCCUUCUCCUUUUUAGACUUAUUAUUAUUUAUUUAUUUUUCUUAUUUCUUAUUUAUUUUUAUUUUUCUUAUCUUUUUUUAUUUUUCCUAUUGUUACUAGUUUUAUUUUUUUAUUAUUAUGGUUAUUCUUGUUAUGAUUAUUUUUAUUACUGUUAUUAUUCUUUGCACUAUUAUUAUUAUUGUUAUUGAUUAUUCAUAUUUUCUUUUUAUUUUUAGUAUUGUUCAUUGUUGGUUUUUUUUAUUAUUACUCAAAUUUGUUUCUUUUGGUAUUAUUUUUCUGAUUUUUGUUUAUAUUAGGUUGAAUGUCGACUUAUUUAUAAGGCAAUUUGUUUAGGUUGAAUUUGAUUUUUAUUACAUAAGUUAUUAUUGCCCUUACUAUGUUAAUUCGUAAAUUUUCUUCUAGUGAUGAUGAUAUUUGGUUACUUUAUUUUAUUGCAGGUACACCAUGACAAAGCGGAAGACUCCGGGCACGACCUCAUCGUCAGGUGCUUCCAUCAAUGCAUGCUCUCCAUGUCUCCAAUUUUCACAGGGUCCUCAAGAGGACUCAGCAUCUCCGACAGCGACCACUGGGAUUGGGCCGAUGUAUUGAUUAGGCUUCCUUGGAGCAGAUUCAACUAGUUGAUAGAGUGCAAGCCAUCAUUGUUACAGCACUAUUACUUUCAAACUUGGAGGUACGACGCGUCAGCUGAGCGUCCUAGAGUUCUGAGCUGCAUUAGGACUCUAUACUGAAGAGUUUAUGAGUGCCGAGGGGUUUCUCACUUUAUACCGACACAUCCACUAUUUUUCGUCUCUGUGCUAGACAGAGCUUACUACUAGCACGACACUCUAUGAUCCGAGUCGGUUGAAGGCGACUUACCUAACUCUGGCCUUGCACUAUAUUCAUGCCAUCUUGGCUCACACAUUAACUAAUCGGAGGGAGAGCACCGAAGUCUUCAGUAUAUUUGACGCUUAUUUUUUAUUGAGCAUGGCCACGGUGUGCACUUUUAAUCUUGUCUAUUUCAUCGCCCUAGCUUGUCACAUCAAACAGAAGUAGGAAGGGUACUAUCUACUUAGGCCCUUAUGUGACUCGCCUCACACAACACUUCGGCCUCCUCAACACUCCGGAGCAAUCCUCCUCCUUUACACAAGUUUGAUAGAUGACCUCGUAGGGGUUAUCAAGUAUAAGUCACAUGUGGAUGAUCGAGCAACUGCAUGGUGUGGAUCCUCCUCAAAACUGAUUAUCUUAUUUUGACCCUCAAGAUGAGCAUGGGAACUUCACUAAUUAUGUCCCUUUCCACCACGGGGAUCCGCCUCAUCAUCCAGCUCAGAGUCAUCGUACUACUACUUCUGCUACUACCCUCGCGGAUCUCUCCGAGUGGUUCACUCAUUUCAAGCAGCACUAUUUUGAGCAAUUCAACAGUAUUGAUGCGACGUUGUAGCAAAUCUAUCAGCACCUCUACAUGCUUCUUCAGCGUCGGUGCCUUGCAAUCUCGAUGCCUCUGACAACAAAGAUUACUGAUUUUAUUUCUUUUCUUUUCAGCUUUAUUUUUAAUUUUCUUUUUCUUUUUAAUUUUCUUUUUUUAGUUAGUUGUUUUAUUUUUAUUUUCUUAGACUUCUGUCGUUUAUUAUCUUUUGAACUUUACUUUUUUUAUGAUUGUUUCUAAUUGAGUUUUUUAAUUUCUUAAUCUUCUUCAUUAUUUGUGUUUAUUUUCUUAUUAGUUUGUUUGGAACAAUGCACUACAAUUAGAUUUGCCUACAAUUCUAGUUUUCACUAUUUUGGCAAAUUCAUCCAUAUUCAGAGUAGUUUCAGUUUUCUCCCCCUCUUAUGAUAUUUUGCUUAUACUGUGCUUAUAUCUAUUUGUACAUUGAGGACAAUAUACAUCUUAAUUGUGGGGAGGUUAUUCAUAUAAUUAUUAGAAAAUCCUUGAAUUAUUUAUUAUGUUUAAGUAAUUUUCUCAUACUUUCACUAGAAUGAAUUUUUGUCGAUUUGGGAUUUUUUUAAAUGUUUUUUGGAUUAGUUUGUAGAUAUUGGUGCAUUGAUUGAUUUAAACUUUAAGUCAUGAGAGAAUCAAGCAUGAUAAGUUAUUUUUCAGAAAUUAAAAAUUUUAGGUUGUUUCCCUAAACCUCUUGUGACACUUCUUUUUGAUUCUAAACGAUGGAAUCGACCUUUGCGAUAUAUAAAAAAUGACCGGGUUGAAAAUGCUAUAAAAAUGAAAUGUCACAAUAUUUUUUUUAUACAUGUCAAAGUGAUGGAAAAGAAAAAAUAUCUUUUACGUAUCCACCCAGUUUAGCAACUUUUGGGGAAAUGAUAAAUAUUGGUAUUGGGUUUGAUAAAUAUCAAUGCAAUGAAUUGUUUCAAGGCUAAUCAUAAUUGGCUUAUCAGAACAGAACGAAAUUCAUUUAUUUGAUUAAUACAGGUACCUUAGCAAUUCGACAUAGAUCCAAUCUAUUUUAUCGAAACAUGUGAUGAAGGGAUUUGCUUUGUCCACCGAACCCAAUUUUUAGUUUUUAGAAAAAAAAACACAUACACAUAAUUUUUGAUAACUUCUUGCUGCUUCUUCAAAAAAUUCCCGAUUUACUUUUUGUUAAUUUACUGGCUUAGUGUGAGAUAGAAACAUGCCUGUCUCGUCGAGAACAAGGAAAUACCCUUUUCCAUUUUCUCAACAACUAGAUUAAAACGAAGAAUCGAAAUAGAUUCUAAGCGAGACAAACAAAAAAGGGGUUAGAGACCACUCAAUAAAAGAAUGCCUAAGGUUUUUUUUUGAGCAUUUUGAGAGUUAUUUGACUUGAGUUAUGAGAGUACGAAUGCUUUUUUCUUCUUUUUUUUUCGAAAAAAAAGACGAGGUUAAAUGUCUAAUUGAUUUGCUGGUUUAUGGAUCUUUUUGACAUGCUAAUUCCAUACAUUAUAAUUCCAUACAUAGACAUAACUUUAAAUUAAUCAUUUUUUUCUCGAGCCGUACGAGGAGAAAACUUCUUAUACGUUUCUAGGGGGUAUUAUUUAACUACAUCUAUCCCAAUGAGCCGUUUAUCGAAUCGUUGCAAUUGAUGUUCGAUCCCGAAGAGAGGGAAGAGAUCUUCGAAAAGUGG
rnacentral:lncRNA from 1 species